rnacentral:lncRNA from 1 species
AGGGCGUUUAGAUGUGGAAAAACCUUACUCCUGCCGCAACACCUCAAACAGAUUGUGAUCAGACAAGACUUAGUUCAUCAUUAGUAGUAGUUGGAGCUUCCAUUUGUUCUAGAGAUUUAAAGGCAGCAAGCUGCUUCCUCAGUGCUACUAAUUCUUCCCCGGCAAUGCAUGUGUAGCCUGAGGCUUGUCUACCAGACAAAGUUGCUCCUUCCAUACUAUCUAUGUAAUCCAGUGAGAGUGAAACCAUUUAGAAGACGUAUCUCUUUCUUUCCAAUAUUUAGAAUGAAACAAUUAUAUAUACAGUUACCUGUUUUGUAUAUGAGCCGGCGAGGAAGAAGUUCUUCACUGGUGUCUUUUGAUCACGUCUGACGGGGUCUUUACCAGGUCCCUCACCGCACAAAGAUUGCCCAAUUUUGACGAAAGAUGACCAAAUAACUUCUAAACCUUGGGAUGAUGGAAAUAGAGCUAAAACCUAAUAAAAGGAACCGUGAAUGGAUAGUAUGGACUCAUGUAUAUUAUCCAGAAAGUUGCAUGACCUUUUGUGGUACUCAGGUCACUAAAAAAUGUGAGAUAAACAUCUAGGAUAAGAAAAGCAAAAAAGCAUAACCUAAUACGUAUUAUAUGAAUUGAAGGUGUCACUGAACGCUACCAACCUGUUUUGCCACUCUCCUUAUGAUUUCAUCAUUUGGUAAGGGCAUAUAAGGAUCUCCAGGCGUCAAAACGCAUCUGAAAUAUAAUAUGGCUAUAGUAAGCAACACGGAAUACAAAGACACUUAGCAAAAGGAAGUCAAUCAGAUUCCAUGCACAAAAAAUAACUAAUAAUGACGAGGAUAAGAAAUUUUUCUUACUGGAGCAAUGAACCUUGCCCUUCUCUGUAGUAGUCUUCUGGUGAAGUGAGUGCUAGAUCUGCAAAGCAAGAGAAAUCUGCAUCUGGAGUAUAUGAAAUGUUAUCUAACCCCAUAGCUUGCCUCAAUUGUCUAUGUUGAUGCGAGAUUCCGGUUCUCCUCGUUCUACGACCAGGAUCUCUGCUCGAUCAACUUCGUCACGACCAGGAGGUCUCCUCGCUAGGCUUCUUCUCCAGAGGUUCCUGCGUACACAGACAAGUCAGAGUACGCCGGUUGUUUUCCCGGCGCAAACCCUCCGACGCUCAAGUCAGAUAUGAAGGUUCGGGGAAUGCUUGCCACAGAUCUUAUGGCUUUUUUGUGGUUUUCUCUUCUUUUUUAUUUCUUUUCUAAUCUCAAAAAUGCCAACCCUUUUACCUCGUUGGCUACCUUUUUAUAGGCUUCGAAUCCCAGUUUUCCACUUUUUUCGAGACGGUAUGGGACUCUGACUCCUGCGUUAUGGGCAAACGUGGGAUCUUGCGUGUUACGCCACGGUUCUGGGGAAAGCGUGGCUGUCGUGGUUCUGUGAGAUCUUGCGUGUUACGCCACGGUUCCGGGGAAAGCGUGGCUGUCGUGGUUCUGUGAGAUCUUGCGUGUUACGCCAUGGUUCUGGGGAAAGCGUGGCUGUCGUGCCUAGAUUCUCGGGCUGGAGAUCAUGUCUUGCCAACUGCCGUCGACCGGGUCUCCUCGCCUCUCGACCUCUAGCCGGAAUGAUCUUAUGCCUCUUACAGGAAAUUGGCCUCGCGGAUGACGUGCUCGUGGACGAGCAGGAUAUUUCUGCUCCUGUUCCCCCGCGCAUCAGGCUUUUACGGAACACACCGGCUCGCAGAACUCUGCCACCAGAUAUCUGCUCACCAUGCCUGGUCUCGUCGACGUAUUUCUCCCAAACACCGGUCCCCCAGUUUCUGGUGUUGGGUAAUGUAGUGGACCAGCAGUAGAAACUCGAUAGUACUCGCUCGCGUGGGAUUGGAAAAGGCUGCCAAGAGUCAUGUCGCAUUUAAUUGCGGACGAGGUGACGUGGCAGAAAUCCCCCCCCUCCAUUUGAAUUUCAAACCGACGGUUAUGAGGCCCUCGGGAUUCGGCGCUGUUAAAUGCUGGCAACCCAAGAGUCCGUCCUCAUUAGGAAAACCAAAUCCUCUCGAACGGCAUAUUCAUCAUCCACUCCGUCUCCGUCUCUGUCUCUCCGGCAAAGAAGUUCCGGCAUAAAAGUCCUCCAUCUCUGAUUUUCACCGACUGAACCAUUACUUCAGGUAUUUCUUCUAUCUCCUUGGUCUCGGAUAGUUGUAGAUAAUUUCUCUUCUCUUCUGUUUGGGUAGUAGUUGGUGGUGUUGUGGUUAGAGCUUAGGGAAUGUCGAAAGGCAAAGAGAAGGUCAUUGAGGUCGAUGACGACGAGUUGGACUUCCUGCCUAGUCUGCUCACCGAUCCUGCUUUUGACCCUGGGAUUCCCUUAGAACCCAUUAGGUCUAGUGUCGGGACUAGUGCUAGGAGGAUGUCUCCCCAAACAACCUCUACGAGCAGAAGUAAUGGUGAGGAGAGAUCUUCUGGCUCUGAGGAUACGUUGAGUGAGAAUGGCGAAGGUGACUCUGGUGAGGUGUCUCCAUCUGGAACAUCACGACCAGAAGAACGGGGUACAGUAGGAGGCAGGGCCUUGUCGCGCGAUUAUGCCAUUGAUUACAUGACGUGCACGACCUCGUUUGACGAGCUCAAUGACCUCCGGCUUAGGUAUAGCAUUCCUGGUGAGAUACCUCUCAAGGUCCCAGGAAAGAAGGAUGCUCCCAGCCGGCCUCCUAGGGGAUAUGUUACCCUGUAUCUGGACAGCUUUAAGUACGGACUGAGGUGUCCCUUGCAACCUUACUUUGCCCGGAUACUUAACGGGCUAAAUCUAGCUCCUGGUCAGCUGAAUCCCAAUGGGUGGAGAGUGCUCUCUGGUCUGUUCAUAUUGUGGGACAGAUGUUGCCAAAGCGAGCCCACGGUUGAUGAGGUGAAGCACCUGUACCAGCUAAAGAGCAGCCCCAAAGAUGCCGGCUGGUACUACUUCCAGUCUAGCACCAAGAGCAGGAAACCUAUAACCGACCUCCCUACUGGUGGUGGUGGGAAUUGGAAGAGAAAGUUCUUUUUUGCUGGGGGUCCUUGGGGUCAGGUUGCACAAAUGGACGGGAAGGAUUAUCGGGUCCCACCCCGUUUCACGGUCCCGGGUUGCCUGCUCGCUUUAGAUGUCUUGUAUCCAUAAUUGUUCUUGCUUUAUUGGCUUGUCUCUAACCAAGAGUCUGUUUGUGUUGUAGUUUCUUGGGGUGUUCACUUCCCGCUCCCACCUGACCAGCUCAAACGGGUCGAGGCUGUGCUCGCCAAUUCCUGCUCGAGCCGAGAACUGCUAACUAUAUACAACUUGCUCGAGUCUCGCUUGGUACUUCCUGGCCAUAGGAUGGAGGACGCUGUGAUUGGGGCUCUGACCCGAAAACGUUCUCGACCUCCAACCACGAAGAGGGACCAGAGUAAGGAUGCCCCUACUGCAAAGCGGGUCAACAUCGUGCAGCAAGUCUCACCCCUGAAGACUUUGCCUCCUGCUCCUGUAAAAGUCGGGGAAGCUAGUGGGGCAGCCACAGAUCAUGCUUCCUCUUCUCCUCCUGUCGGGCUCGAUCUCGUUUACCUGACAGCCGAGCAGAACACCUGGUCCUCUACCUCAAUGAGUUGUCUAAACUCGUGAGCAAGAAAGACCUGGAGGACUUCGACGGCUGCACCUUGGGUGAGUUGGUGGGGGCCAUGCAGCAUAGCGCUUUCCACCUCAGCUGCAUGACCACUUAUUACAAGGCUAAGGUUGGUCGCUACGACCGGAAAAUGAAGGGGGAUAUUCAAUCGGCGACGACCAGAGCUGACGUUGCCGAGAAGAAAGCAGGGGAGCUGAAUCUCGAGAAUCUGAAGCUGAUAGAGCAAGAAUCACUUGCUCAAGCAAAGACUAUUACCCUCGAGGAGGAGCUUACCAAGGUCAAGGAGGAUCUGCAAAGGCAGAAGGCUAUGUAUGAGGCCCAGCUCGAAUCUCUCCGCGACUCCAACCGAGCUCAGGUCGAGAACUGGGAGAGGGAGGCCGAGAAUCAGUAUGACCAGGGACUUCGGCAUUCUUAUCGUUGCAUCAUGGCCGUCAUCGGGAAGCAACACCCUGAUCUGAAGAUGGAUGACCUUGCAGCUGGUGUUGCCCAACAUAUGGACGAGGAGGCGGCCAAGGAAGAUGCUGAAGGGGUAGAGCCGGUCGUGAUCGAGGAGGAAAGUUCUCCCCCUCGUGCAGUCCCUGCUGAUGUUGGUGAGGCGAGCACCCCUCCGGACGCAACUGGUGAUACCCCCCCCGCACCUGAGGAGGUCCAGCCAACCGAUGCUGCUCGGCUUACUGAUUUACCAUCUUUUUGAUAUAUUUCUUUUUGUAUUGUAAUGAACAACGUUUAUGAAAUUUAUCCCCUCUGUUAGCCAUUAACACAUUAAUAAAAAUGUUUUUUGAUUACUUUCUCGUCUUGUAAUCAUCACUUAUUUUCCGUUUGGGAAUCUGCUCGUCUCGUCUGGUCGAGGAGGUUCUGGUUUGGCAUAUGGUUUUGCAACAUGCCUUAGAAAUUUUUUUUUUUUUUUUUUUUUGCUUGGGGAUUCUGCUUGCCUUCGCGUGGUCGAGCAGGUCCUGGCACGCUUGGCUUCAGUCUCGCCAUAAACAGGCUUUGAGACUUGGUGAGGCCUUUGCAUGCCUUAGAAAACUUUUUCGAUGCUUGGGGAUUCUGCUCGACUUCGCUCGGUCGAGCAGAUCCUGGCAUGCUUGGCUUCUGUCUCGCCAUAAGACAGGCUUUGAGACUUUGUCGAGCCUUCGCAUGCCUUAGGAAUUUCUUCAAAGCUUGGGAUUCUGCUGCCUUCUCGUGGCCGAGCAGACCCUGGCAUGCUUGGCUUCUGUCUCGCCGUAAGACAGGCUUUGAGACUUUGUCGAGCCUUCGCAUGCCUUAGGAAUUUCUUCAAAGCUUGGGAUUCUGCUGCCUUCUCGUGGCCGAGCAGAUCCUGGCAUGCUUGGCUUCUGUCUCGCCAUAAGACAGGCUUUGAGACUUUGUCGAGCCUUCGCAUGCCUUAGGAAUUUCUUCAAAGCUUGGGAUUCUGCUGCCUUCUCGUGGCCGAGCAGAUCCUGGCAUGCUUGGCUUCUAUCUCGCCAUAAGAUAGGCUUUGAGACUUUGUCGAGCCUUCGCAUGCCUUAGGAAUUUCUUCAAAGCUUGGGAUUCUGCUGCCUUCUCGUGGCCGAGCAGAUCCUGGCAUGCUUGGCUUCUGUCUCGCCAUAAGACAGGCUUUGAGACUUUGUCGAGCCUUCGCAUGCCUUAGGAAUUUCUUCAAAGCUUGGGAUUCUGCUGCCUUCUCGUGGCCGAGCAGACCCUGGCAUGCUUGGCUUCUGUCUCGCCGUAAGACAAGCUUUGAGACUUUGUCGAGCCUUCGCAUGCCUUAGGAAUUUCUUCAAAGCUUGGGAUUCUGCUGCCUUCUCGUGGCCGAGCAGAUCCUGGCAUGCUUGGCUUCUGUCUCGCCAUAAGACAGGCUUUGAGACUUUGUCGAGCCUUUGCAUGCCUUGGAAACUUUCUCGGUUUCAAGCGAAAGAAAUUCUUCGACGUUGCAUUAAUGGCAGGAUUCGACUUACAUGAAAUUGUUUGGACAUAAAACGUGAAAGAUAAAUGAUAAUGAACAUGAGCAAAAACAGCUUUCAAAUGCGAACAAGUCUUACUGGAAGUAUUUUCGGAGGUGUGCUGCGUUCCAUGGGCGUUUCACCUCGUGGCCGUCCGUGCGAACCAGCUUGUAAGCUCCGGGUCCCGCUAUCUGCUUGACUCUAUAUGGCCCUUCCCAGUUCGGUCCCAGCACUCCUUGAGUCGAAUCUCUGGUGCUCUGAUUCACUCUUCUUAGUACCCAGUCUCCGACCCUGAAUUACCGUAUGUUCACCUUCUGGUUGUAAUACCGAGUAACCCUCUGUUGGUAAACGACUGAUCGCUCGGCUGCUUGCUCCCUUCUUUCCGUUAGCAGAUCAAGAUUCAAACAUAUCUGCUCGUCAUUCUCCUGCUCAUUGAAAUGAUCUGUCCGGUGUGUGGUCGUUCCUAUCUCAGCCGGCACGACCGCUUCAUGUCCGAAAGCCAAAGCGAACGGUGUCUCCCCAGUUGCGGUUUUGUGGGUUGUUCUGUAUGCCCAUAGCACACCUGACAGCUCGUCAACCCACGCACCCUUUUUUGCUCCAAGCCUGGUUUUCAAAAGCCUCUUGAUGGUCUUGUUGGCUGCUUCUACUUGUCCAUUCGAUUGAGGGUGAGCAGGCGAGCAAUACUUCAGCUCUAUCCCGAGGUUCUGGCAGAAAUCCCUGAAGCUGUGAUUAUCGAACUGCCUGCCAUUAUCCGUUACCAAGGCAUACGGGAUCCCGUAUCGACAGACCAGGUUUCUCCACACGAAGUCUGUUGUUUUCUUCUCAGUGAUCCUGCUAAGGGCUUCUACCUCUAUCCACUUCGUGAAGUAAUCUAUAGCAACUAUUGCAUGUGUUGCUGCUCCUCGUCCCUUUGGCAAUGGGCCGAUCAGAUCAAUUCCCCAUUGAGCAAAUGGCCAAGGGGAGGCCAUGGAGGUGAGCUUCUCUGGUGGUUGGUUAGAGAAAUUUGCAAAACUUUGGCAGCUUACACAACUCCUGGUCUUCUCUUGCGCAUCCUGGUGCAUUGUCGGCCAGAAAUAUCCCUGCCUUAGAACCUUGUGGGCCAGGGACCUCCCGCCAGAAUGAUUUCCGCAAAUUCCUUCAUGUACUUCUCUCAGUACGUAAUCCGCGUCGUCCUCAUCCAAACACCGAAGGAAAGGUAGUGUAUAUCCUCGCCGAUACAGUACCCCAUCAAUCAUCGUGUAUCUCGAGGCCUGGGCUCUAAUCUUGCGAGCUCGCAGCUUAUUUGGUGGUAAUACCCCGUCUCUAAGGUAUGAAACUAUCGGGUCCCUCCACGAGCAUUUUUGUUCUAUCCGCAACACCCCCAAAUUCUGAUCGAUACUUGGGCUGGACUUCACCUCCAGAGGGACCGACUUUGGCAUUUUUGGGUCGGCUACUGCUGCCAUCCUCGCCAAAAUGUCUGCUCGAGUAUUCUGCUCCCUGGGGAUUUGUAUCACCUCCACUGCCUCGAACUUCCCCAUCAGCUGCCUGACUAUCUUCAGGUACUGCUCCAUCUUCUCCUCUCUUGGUUGGAAUCUUUCACUGACAUGAUUCGCAACCAGCUGGGAAUCAGUUCUGAUCUUAACUCUGUCUGCUUUCACGGCCUUAGCCAAUUCCAGACCUGCUAUCAAGGCUUCAUACUCUGCCUGGUUAUUUGUGGCUGCAAAUUCCAACUUUACAGCAUAAGAGAUCUCCUCCCCCUCUAGACCUUCCAAGACAAUCCCUGCUCCUGAACCCCGCUCCCCUGAUGACCAAUCCACAGACAUCUGCCAUACUUGAGUUUCGUCAUUGCCUAUAACUGCAUCUUGUUGAUCUAAGCAUACUUCGGGCUCUGUGAAUUCAGCUACGAAAUCGGCCAUUGCCUGGGCUUUUAUCGCUGCGCGGGGUUUAUAGUCUAUGUCGAACUCGCUCAGCUCUACAGCCCACUUGACGAGCCGACCAGAGGCAUCUGGCUUGUGAAGAGUUUGACGCAAUGGCUGGUUUGUUAUUACCGAGACCGGGAAUGCUUGAAAAUAUGGCCUCAACUUCCGAGCAGCAACCACAAGGGCAAGUGCCCAUUUCUCCAACGGUGGGUAUCUGGUCUCAGCGUCGAGCAGGGCCUUGCUGGUGUAGUAUAUCGGAUAUUGAACUCCUUCUUCCUCUCUCACCAGAACAGAACUGGCGGCCCGAUCCGAUACCGCCAAAUACAGAUACAACUUGUCCCCAUCCCUCGGUGUGGACAGCAGCGGAGCUUGCUGCAAGUAUUGCUUCAAGUUCCGGAAGGCUUCCUCGCAUUCUGGGGUCCAUUCUGUUUUCUUCCCCCUCCUUAUCACUUGAAAGAAUGGCUGACACUUAUCUGUAGCCUUGGAUAUGAAUCUGCUCAACGCCGCCAACCUCCCCGUGAGGCUAUGCAUCUCCUUCAGGUUACGAGGAGACGUCAUCUGCACAAUCGCCUGGAUUUUCUCGGGAUUUGCUUCAAUCCCCCUAUGGCUCACCAUGAAUCCAAGGAAUUUCCCUGACUCGACCCCGAAAGCACACUUCUCCGGGUUGAGCUUCAUCUUAUACUUCCUCAAAAGCUCGAAUGUCUCCUCGAGGUGUCCGACAUGUUCCUUUGGGAUUUUGGACUUGGUGAUCAUGUCAUCCACGUACACCUCCAUGGUUUUCCCAAUCAACGGCUUAAAGACUUUGUUCACCAGCCUUUGAUAGGUGGCCCCAGCAUUUUUGAGACCGAAUGGCAUUACCCUGUAACAGAACAAACCUUGGUUAGUGAUGAAAGCCGUGCUCUCCUCAUCCUGCUCGUACAUGGGGAUCUGGUUGUAUCCCGAGAACGCGUCCAUGAAGCUGAGCAGACCAUGUCCAGCCGUUGAAUCUACUAGUUGAUCGAUCUUUGGUAAAGGGAAGCUGUCUUUUGGGCACGCCUUAUUGAGGUCUGUGAAAUCCACACACAUCCUCCACUUGCCGUUUGCCUUCUUUACCAACACCACAUUCGAUAUCCACUCAGGGUAACUGACUUCCCGAAUAAACCCUGCUCUCAAGAGCUUCUCCACCUCGCCAUUUAUAGCCUCAUACCUCUCCUGGUUGAAGCACCUCCUCUUCUGCCUUACUGCCCGAGCACCUUUCUUUAUUGCCAGCUUAUGACAUGCUACCUCAGGGUCAAUCCCUGGCAUGUCUUCAUGUGUCCAAGCAAACACAUCAGCAUGAGCCUGUAAGCAUUUCACCAACUCCUGCUUUUGCUCUCCCUUAAGUCUCGACCCGAUUCUGAUCGUCUUUCCCGGGUUCUCUGGUCCCAGGCUUACUGUUUCCAGAUCCUCUACAGGUUCUUGUCUGCCAUUCUUGUUUUCCACUCGGGUAUCGAGGGAUGUUAUCUGCAUUGCUUCCCUUGCUGCCGAGGAGUAGCAGCUUCUUGCAAUCCUCUGGUCUCCUCGUACCACACCUACUACCUCAUUCACCCGGUACUUCAGAGCCAGAUAAUGGUUGGACAACACCGCUUUGCUCAUCCUUAAAAAUGGCCGACCUAGGAUCAUCUGGUAAGGACCUUCCUCAUCCACUACGACAAAGUCCAGUAUCAUUGUUCUUUCUGUCGGGGAGCUCCCAAUUGUGAUAGGCAGCUCGACCACGCCCAGAGGGACCAGCUUCCCUCCUCCGAACCCCUUCAAGGAGGUAUUGGUGUAUUCCAACUUCCGGUCGGCUAUUCCCAUCUCUUCCAGGGUUGACUUAAAUAACACAUCAACUGAGCUCCCUGUAUCAAUCAGUAUCCGGUCAAACUUCUUGCUAGCGACAGUAGCCUUGAUGACUAAAGCAUCCUCGUGGGGGUAUAGAAUCCCUUCCUCAUCCUCAUCCGUCCACAUGAUUGGCACUUGCCCGACCCUUGCUCGUUUGGCUGCUGGGGUGUUGAAGAGUACCUCUUUACUGGUCAUGGCGUAUCUAGCAUAAUUUUUUCUCGAUCUGUUGGAAUCUCCGGCCAAUGUUGGGCCCCCAGCUAUCACCCUUACUGCGGGUUGCUCGCGCCUCAAGUUUCUACCACUCUGCUCCCCUUCAUCUGUUGUGGCCACCAUCGGGAAAGUCCCAUCCAUAAACUCGUCCAGGUACCGAUUUCUCACAAAAUCUUCGACCUGGGUCUUGAGAUCUCUACACUCUGCUGUGGUAUGGCCAUGGGUGCCAUGGAACUUACAAUAACGUCCUCUAUCCCUCCUGUUGGGUAGCUUUGUUAUUGGUGUAGGGAGGUGCAGCAGCCCUCGAUCCUUUAUGGCCUCGUACACCUCAUCCAGGGACAUCUUCAAGGAAGUGUACCGCCCAUAGUCCUGGUUCUGGUCGAUCAGGUGCACUGCUCUUUCUCUGUUCUGCUCGUUCUGCUACUGUGGGAAUGUUGAUGAAGACCACCAGAUGCCGAAUCAUGCAUUCUCCAAGGCUCCCUAGCUGGGGAACGAGGAGGUUGCGCCCCGCUGCGCUGAUACUGCGGUGGCCUCUGAUGAGGCUGGUAAGCGGUUACCCGGCCUCCUGCUCCACUACCGGAGGCCUGGUGAUCCCUCCUCCUGAUCGGCCCAUUCCCCGGUAAUGCUUUCUUCUCUUUCCUCCCCAACCCUUCUAACUGGUCUGUCUUGAUCCGUGCAGCCUUCUCCUCUUCAAUCUCGAUGUCUCUCUUAGCCUGUUCGUAUGCGGCUGCAUACGUUUGAAUAGCUGGGCUUCUCAAAUUGUACCACAGCCUUCCUAUCUUCACCCAUUCUUUCAAUCCCCUUAACGCCUGAGGGUGGUUGAAGGCUCCCAAGUCGAGGACAGCCCGAUGAAACCUCUUGAUGAAUUCCCGAAGGGUUUCUUGCUCCCCCUGUUUCAUGCUUUUCAGCUCCAUCAUGUCGUCUUCCGGUGCCAUUGCCCCACUAAACUGCUCCGCGAAUUCCUGGCACAUCUGCUCGAAGGUUUUAAUGCUGCCCCGAGGAAGUUUCCUGUACCAUUCUCGUGCACGUCCCUCAAGGGAUAGUGGGAACACCCUGCACCUUUGGGAUUGAGAUAAUCCUUGUACCCCAGUUAUGUCGUUGAAGCGCUCUAUGUGCACCAGCGGAUCAGUUCUUCCCGAGUAUCUGAGGUCUGGGAGGCGGAAAUCUCUCGGAAUAACUGCCCUCAUGAUCUCUGCUGCGAGCGGUGAUUCUCCGUCCAGCAUUAUCCUCCAACCAGGGGCUCUGUUCCUUCCUUGCAUGUCGUCAAUUAUCUGCGCUAGUCUGCGCAAUUCCUCCUCCAGCAACCCUGCACGACCAGGGUCACGUGCUGCAACUUGAUCCCGCUCUUGCUCUACAUCAUGCAAGUGUUGCCUCAACUCUGUUUCCUCUGCAUUCACCUCCCCGUCGUCCUCGUCACAAGUCUGUCUUGCCGGGGACUGCUCUCUUUCUCUAUGAAAUUCUCCCCGUGGAGGUACGUUACCUCUCUCACCACCAAAUCUCCCUGUGGUUUGACUUCUCCCCGCACUAUCGGGACCUGGUGCCACUCCACCGCCUCUCACCCUUCCCUCUUGGGUUACCCUUCGCUCGCUCCGCAGCUCAUGCAGGAUGGUUGUCAAGGUCUCCAUCUGCUUUUCCAUCCGUUCCAUCCGGUCGAACAUGACUUUUUCCUGUGCUUCACUGACUAUCUCCCUCAGCGUCACGGAAUCGUUAAGCCUCCUAUCACCCCCUUGUGCACUACUUCCUCCUGUCUCCAUCGCUUUUCACUCGCCUCACCCCUCUUCUUGCUAUCAACAGAAGCUUUUUGCUUCGGUCUCCACAGACGGCGCCAAAAUGUUGAUGCGAGAUUCCGGUUCUCCUCGUUCUACGACCAGGAUCUCUGCUCGAUCAACUUCGUCACGACCAGGAGGUCUCCUCGCUAGGCUUCUUCUCCAGAGGUUCCUGCGUACACAGACAAGUCAGAGUACGCCGGUUGUUUUCCCGGCGCAAACCCUCCGACGCUCAAGUCAGAUAUGAAGGUUCGGGGAAUGCUUGCCACAGAUCUUAUGGCUUUUUUGUGGUUUUCUCUUCUUUUUUAUUUCUUUUCUAAUCUCAAAAAUGCCAACCCUUUUACCUCGUUGGCUACCUUUUUAUAGGCUUCGAAUCCCAGUUUUUCGCUUUUUUCGAGACGGUAUGGGACUCUGACUCCUGCGUUAUGGGCAAACGUGGGAUCUUGCGUGUUACGCCACGGUUCUGGGGAAAGCGUGUCUGUCGUGGUUCUGUGAGAUCUUGCGUGUUACGCCACGGUUCCGGGGAAAGCGUGGCUGUCGUGGUUCUGUGAGAUCUUGCGUGUUACGCCAUGGUUCUGGGGAAAGCGUGGCUGUCGUGCCUAGAUUCUCGGGCUGGAGAUCAUGUCUUGCCAACUGCCGUCGACCGGGUCUCCUCGCCUCUCGACCUCUAGCCGGAAUGAUCUUAUGCCUCUUACAGGAAAUUGGCCUCGCGGAUGACGUGCUCGUGGACGAGCAGGAUAUUUUUGCUCCUGUUCCCCCGCGCAUCAGGCUUUUACGGAACACACCGGCUCGCAGAACUCUGCCACCAGAUAUCUGCUCACCAUGCCUGGUCUCGUCGACGUAUUUCUCCCAAACAGUCUACAUGUUCAAAACAAGGAUCUGUUAAAAAAUGGAAAUUUCUUCAAUGCAUUAGUAAAGGGAAGUGAAGUGAAAGCUGAUUUCUUAGGCCUUCACAGAGUUAGGCCUUCACAGAGCAUCAUGUGUUUGAAUUCCGGUAACCUCACAAAAGAUUAGAGCAUCACCUUGACGGUUCUAGGUCUUGCAACUCAGUAACCCAACCAUUGUAUCUAAGCUGCACUGUGACAACAGGAACUCCAACUAGCUCAUAAAUAUUGUUGAAAAUUUUCAUUUCCCUCAACGAUGAUGGAAGCAAUCUUUUAAUUCCAGGGACAUCACAUGCGGCCAUUAAAUAAGAAGUUGAAUAAAGAAAAAUCGUUCAACUAAAUGAUUCAGGAGUUAAAAAAAAAUUGUAGAAGUAGAAAUAAAUAACGAAGAUUUAACCAUGAACCUGCAACAUAUGCAUCAGCUUGCACAACCUUCUUGUCAGUGGCCUGAAAUAGAAUGAGAAAUUGAAAGACAGUAAGCAUUAAAGAAUAAACUCAAAGAAGCUGCUUCUAACAGAUGAUAUAAACAAUAAAUUUACAAAUGUCAGUGUUAAGCAAAUAAAAGCACCAGGUCGGCCAUGAUACUAUUUCCACCCCGGCAUGAAUCACCUCAGCCAAAUGGUACGAGCAGAACAGGGGGUAACAUGAGCCGAUCCGAGACGAAUACUGACCAGAGCCAUAUACCGAGCCGGUACCCGUCCCCCAAAAAGUGGAAACACGAUCUCACAGAAUCACGGUAGUUGCGUUUUCCCAGAACCGUUGCGGGAGACGCGAGAUCCCAUGUUUGCCCAUAAUGCAGCAGUUAGAGUCCCAUGAGAGGCUACCACUACCCGAAAAAGGUGGGAUGAAGGGCAAACGGGAACGUGGGGACAGCGGCUAUAAAAGAAGAAGAAAUCGAUGAAGAAGGGGACAGAAAAAUGAAGAGAGGGAAAACGCUGCCAAAUUGCAAUUAGGCAUUUUUUACAAACUUCGAAACAAGUUAGAAACCAUUCUUGAAUCCAAAUUACAUUGUUUUCCCGUAAACACCUUGUGCUAACUUAGGCAUCGGAGGGUUUACGCCGGCAAAACCACCGGCGUCUCUGAUCCGUUUUUGGUGAACGCAGGUCUAGUAGGAGAGAGGAGGGUGAUUCCAACCCCAGUGGUUCGAGCAACAGUUAAUAACACGAACGUUGGUGGAGGAAUUUGGUCGGCCAAAAGGCGAGCAGAUUUAAGCAUCAACAUUUUGGCGCCGUCUGUGGGGAGCUGGAUAAAAAGCUACCACCGAAUUAGUAGUUACCGGAGAAACAGCGAACGAUUAGACAUGGAUUUGCCAAGGAAGGACGCUUUGAGGGAGGAUAACGAAUCGGGGGAGACAAUCACCCUUCGGGAAAUUGCAAAUGAAGCCCGAGAGAGGGUGAUGCAGGAUCGGUUGGAACGAAUGGAGAAGCAAAUGGAGACUCUCGCUACCAUACUGAAUGAGCUGAGAGAUGAGCGGAGAAGGGAUUGCGAAAUCCCCGUGGGGAGAGAUGAUAUUGGAGCAGAACUCAACCUCCGGAGGCGUAGAGUCGAGGAAAUCCCUCUGCCGGCGGACCAACCUUAUGGGGUGCAUCCCCACAGAAGCACUGGUCGGGUUCUUGGAGAACAAGUAGAUGAAGGGAGGAACCAACCUCGCCCCAGGCGAGUACCGGAAGCUGAUGACCGAGGGGCCAGUGCUGAUGAAGGAGAGUUAAGACAGCGGUUGCAGAAUGUCGAGCAGGAGCGAGAUCAGAUAGCUGCACAUGAUCCUGACCGUGCUGUAGAAUUGGAGGGAGAGGUGCGCAGAUUAGCGAAAGUGAUAGAGGAGAUACAGGGUAAGAGGAAGCCCCCAAGCUGGAGGAUAAUGCUAGAUGAAAAAUCUCCACUAUCAACUGAGAUCAUGGGUACCAUAAUCCCAAGAUAUUUUCGCUUCCCUGACCUCAAAUACCCCGGGCGAAGUGACCCGCUGGUGCACAUUGAGCGUUUCAACGACAUGACGGGUGUGCAGGGGCUGACACCAGCUCAGAGGUGCAGGGUGUUCCCGUUGACAUUAGAGGGACGAGCCCGAGAAUGGUACCGCAAGCUGCCCCGAGGAAGUAUAAAGGGGUAUGAGCAAAUGUGCCAGGAGUUGGCCGAGCAGUUCCGAGGGGCAGUGGCCCCAGAGGACGACAUGAUGGAACUGAUGGGGAUGAAACAGGAAGAGCAUGAAUCCCUUCGAGAUUUCGUAAAACGAUAUCACCGAGCCGUGCUGGAUCUGGGAGCUUUUAAUCACCCGCAGGCGUUGAGGGGAUUAAAAGAAGGUGUAAAAAUCGGCCGGCUGUGGUAUAACUUAAGAAGCCCCCUUGUACAGAAUUACUCGUCGGGGUAUGAGCAGGCGAGGCGAGAUAUAGAAAUCGAAGAGGAGAAAUCGGCAAGAAUAAAAAGUGAACAGCUGGACGAGCUGAGGCGAAAGGAACGGAGAGCCCCGACAGGGAGCGGGUCGGGAAAACGAGUUGGAGAAUCUUCAGUGAUGGGCGGAAUAUCGGCUCGGUCCCGCCCUUACCCCAUAGCUCCGAGGUCACAGCAGUUCCAGCACAACCGGGCUCAACCUCCGCGUCCCCCAUUUCCGGAUCGGCAACGAGAAUUCCGGCAGAUGGCUGCCCACCCCUAUCACAACACUCCCAGAGCAUCACAUGCAACCAAUUCCAGGGCUAGUCAACCAGAUCAGUUAGCGACUGUGCCAGCCCGAGGUGACAUUCAUGAUAGCCGAGCAGUUCAGCUGAUAGACCAGAGCUUGGCGUAUAGACAGUACACUCCAUUAAAGAUCUCCAUGGAGGAAUUGUAUGAGAGGAUCGAGGGACGAGGUCUGCUGUACCCUCCAGCCCCUAUAACAAAACCGGCUCACCGACGGGAAAAGAGCAAAUUCUGCAAAUUCCACGACACUCAUGGUCACACUAUCAGCCAAUGUCGUGACCUGAAAAUUCAGGUGGAGGAUUUGGUGAGAAACUGUUAUUUGGACGAAUAUGUAGAUGGAAUGUCCCCCGUCAUUGAAUCACAAUACACGCGGGAUGAAGGAGCUGAGAUGGGCCUGGAACGUGAACAGCCGACUAUCUGUGUAAUAGCAGGGGGGCCAACAUUGGCUGGGGAUUCGAACAGGGCACGGAAGAACUAUGGGAGAUAUGCCCUGACUAGCAAAGAAGUGCUUUUCAAUUUGCCGGCAACCAAGAAGGCAAAAGUGCGGCAAGUUCCCAUUAUGUGGACAGAUGACGAUGAGGAGGGUAUCUUAUAUCCGCAUAAGGAUGCAUUGGUGAUCAAGGCAAUGGUGGCCGGUACAGAAUUGCGAUGAAUACUAGUAGACACAGGCAGCUCGGUUGACAUCCUGUUUAAGUCGGCUCUAGAUGAUAUGGGGAUUGCAGACUUGAAAUUGGAGCGGACAAAUACAUCCUUAAAGGGAUUUGGAGGGGGACGGUUAACUCCCAUGGGGAUCAUCGAACUCCCAAUUACUAUGGGGACAAAGCCAUUUGAAAGAACAAUGAUGCUGGAUUUUGUCGUGGUAGAGGAAAGAAGCCCUUACCAGGUGAUACUAGGGAGACCAUUCAUGAGGAUAAGCCAAUGCGUUGUAUCCACGCAUUACUUGGCACUGAAAUACAGAGUAAAUGGGGUGGUUGGCGUAGUAAAAGGCGACCAGAGGAUGGCAAGGAGUUGUUAUGCUACAGCGGCCAAGGAGACACUGCAGGUUACUUCUCUAGAUAAUCGAGGAGAGUCUAAAAAGGGCCGCCAAGAGCCUGUUGAGAAACUGGAGGAAGUUGCGGUAAGCAAAAGCAACCCGAGCAGAGUAGUGAAGAUCGGGUCAGGAUUGGUUGGGGCAGUAAAAGGCGAGCUGAUAAAUUGCCUACAGUCUCAUGCGGAUAUAUUCGCCUGGUCUCAUGAAGAUAUGCCCGGAAUUGAUCGCGGGGUAGCUUGCCACAAGUUGGCAAUCAAGAAGGGGGCAAGGCCGGUGAGACAGAAGAGGAGAUGCUUCAACCAAGAAAGGUACGAGGCCAUAAACGCCGAGGUGGAGAAGCUGUUGAAAGCAGGAUUUAUAAGGGAAGCCAAGUACCCAGAAUGGAUUUCAAAUGUAGUCCUGGUAAAAAAGGCCAACGGGAAGUGGAGAAUGUGUGUGGACUUCACGGACCUCAAUAAGGCAUGCCCAAAGGACAGCUUUCCCCUACCCAAAAUAGAUCAGCUGGUGGACUCAACAGCAGGUCACAGUCUGCUGAGUUUCAUGGAUGCCUUUUCUGGAUACAACCAAAUACCCAUGGACGAGCAGGAUGAGGAAAGCACUGCCUUUAUAACUAACAUGGGUUUGUUUUGCUACAGGGUAAUGCCUUUCGGCCUAAAAAAUGCAGGAGCCACCUAUCAAAGGUUGGUAAACAAGAUCUUCCAACCGUUGAUUGGACACACUAUGGAGGUAUAUGUGGAUGAUAUGGUUACAAAGUCCAAAGAGCCGAGGGAUCAUGUGAAGCAUCUAGAAGAGACCUUUGAAUUACUGAGGAAGUAUGAGAUGAAACUAAACCCGGAGAAAUGUGCAUUUGGGGUCAGCUCGGGCAAGUUUAUGGGAUUCCUGGUAAGCCACCGAGGGAUUGAGGCCAACCCCGAAAAAAUACGAGCGGUUACAAAUAUGAGAUCUCCGCGGACAGUUAAAGAGGUGCAGAGCCUUAUAGGGAAGUUGGCAGCAUUGAACCGAUUCAUCUCGCGAACCACAGAUAAAUGCCACCAUUUCUUCCAAAUCAUAAAGAAAGGGAGAAAGAUGAAAUGGACAUCAGAGUGCGAGCAAGCAUUUGGGCAGCUAAAGGAAUAUCUGGCCCGUGCACCGUUACUGUCAACUCCGAGAGAGGGUGACCAGCUGCUUUUGUACUUGGCAAUCUCCAAGCAGGCUACCAGCUCGGUCUUAGUCAGGGAAGAAGAAUGGAAGCAACACCCGGUAUACUACAUGAGCAAGGCCCUGGUGGACGCAGAAACCAGAUAUCCACUAAUGGAGAAGUGGGCGCUGGCUCUGAUAACGGCAGCACGCAAACUCCGACCAUAUUUCCAAGCCCACCAGAUAGUUGUGAUGACUGACCAGCCCCUUCGGCAAGUGCUUCAAAAACCAGAUGCGUCUGGUCGGUUAGUAAAAUGGUCAGUGGAGCUGAGUGAAUUUGACCUGACCUACAGGCCCCGAGGAGCAAUCAAGGCCCAAGCCCUGGUAGAAUUUAUGGUAGACCGAGCUGAGCCAGGGGAAAGAGAUCGGGAGGAGCAACCGUUAGAGCAGGAGAAAACAGAAGGGGUGUGGUUAGUAAUGGUUGACGGAUCCUGUAGUGAGCAAGGAUCCGGAGCNNNNNNNNNNNNNNNNNNNNNNNNNNNNNNNNNNNNNNNNNNNNNNNNNNNNNNNNNNNNNNNNNNNNNNNNNNNNNNNNNNNNNNNNNNNNNNNNNNNNNNNNNNNNNNNNNNNNNNNNNNNNNNNNNNNNNNNNNNNNNNNNNNNNNNNNNNNNNNNNNNNNNNNNNNNNNNNNNNNNNNNNNNNNNNNNNNNNNNNNNNNNNNNNNNNNNNNNNNNNNNNNNNNNNNNNNNNNNNNNNNNNNNNNNNNNNNNNNNNNNNNNNNNNNNNNNNNNNNNNNNNNNNNNNNNNNNNNNNNNNNNNNNNNNNNNNNNNNNNNNNNNNNNNNNNNNNNNNNNNNNNNNNNNNNNNNNNNNNNNNNNNNNNNNNNNNNNNNNNNNNNNNNNNNNNNNNNNNNNNNNNNNNNNNNNNNNNNNNNNNNNNNNNNNNNNNNNNNNNNNNNNNNNNNNNNNNNNNNNNNNNNNNNNNNNNNNNNNNNNNNNNNNNNNNNNNNNNNNNNNNNNNNNNNNNNNNNNNNNNNNNNNNNNNNNNNNNNNNNNNNNNNNNNNNNNNNNNNNNNNNNNNNNNNNNNNNNNNNNNNNNNNNNNNNNNNNNNNNNNNNNNNNNNNNNNNNNNNNNNNNNNNNNNNNNNNNNNNNNNNNNNNNNNNNNNNNNNNNNNNNNNNNNNNNNNNNNNNNNNNNNNNNNNNNNNNNNNNNNNNNNNNNNNNNNNNNNNNNNNNNNNNNNNNNNNNNNNNNNNNNNNCCAAAGCUUCUCCGAAGUUCCUGUUCAAUCCUCAGAAAAGCUGACCACAAUGACAUCCCCAUGGCCUUUUGCCCAAUGGGGAAUCGACCUGAUUGGCCCAUUACCGAAAGGCUGAGGAGCGGCAACCCAUGCAAUUGUAGCAGUAGACUACUUCACCAAGUGGAUAGAGGUGGGGGGUCCUUAGGCAAAUCACGGAGAGAAAGACAACGGAUUUUAUCUGGAAGAACAUCAUCUGCCGAUAUGGGAUCCCCUAUGCCAUCAUUACAGACAAUGGGAGACAGUUUGACAACAGCAACUUCAGAGAGUUUUGCCGAAAUUUGGGGGUGGACCUGAAGUUCUGCACCCCCGCACACCCCCAGGCAAACGGACAAGUGGAAGCAGCCAACAAAGUGAUAAAGAAGCUCUUGAAAACCAGAUUGGGAGAGAAGAAGGGAGCUUGGGUUGACGAGUUACCAGGGGUAUUGUGGGCUUACCGGACAACUCACAGAACUGCUACAGGGGAAACCCCGUUCGCUUUAGCUUUUGGUCAUGAGGCAGUAGUCCCAGCAGAGAUUGGAGUGGGGACACAUCGAACGGAAUAUUUCGCUGAGGAACAAAAUGACGAGCAGAUCUGCCUAAGCCUGGACCUACUUGAGGAGAAAAGGGAAGGGACCUCACAGAAAGUGGCCCAGUGUCAGCAAAGGGUCACGCGUUAUUACAACAAGAAUGUACACGUGAGGUAGUUCCGAGCAGGAGAUUGGGUACUUAGGAAGGUGAAUCAAAACACUAGGGAUCCCAACCAUGGAGCUCUUGGCCCAAAAUGGGAAGGCCCGUAUAGAGUAAUACGAGCAACGGGACCAGGAGCUUAUAAGCUAGCAUACCCAGAUGGGCGAGACGUGAAGAGGUCGUGGAACGCCGAGCACUUAAAGAAGUAUUUCCAGUAAGCAAAAUACUCUACUAAAUCUUCAAUUUGAUAAGUUAUAUUUGUCAAAUGCAUGGUGGCUUGGUGCACAUGCAUAUAUUUUGUAUUUUUGUAACGCAUUCAAAUUUCAAUAAAGAUGAAUUCAGCAUGAAAUCCCCCGGCUAAUAAGCCCAUCAAAAAUUUACCAAGGCAAGUAAGUGCCUGCUUCUGCUCGGUCAACGAAAGACCAGCAGCUAAUUCUACAAAAAAUCUUACUAAGGCAAGUAAAUGCCUACUUCUGCUCGGUCAACGAAAGACCAGCAGCUAAAUUUAUGAAGAUUCUACUAAGGCAAGUAAGUGCCUACUUCUGCUCGGUCAACGAAAGACCAGCAGCUAAUUCUACAAAAAAUCUUACUAAGGCAAGUAAGUGCCUACUUCUGCUCGGUCAACGAAAGACUAGCAGCUAAAUUUACGAAGAUUCUACUAAGGCAAGUAAGUGCCUACUUCUGCUUGGUCAACGAAGGACCAGCAGCUAAUCCUACAAAAAUCCUACUAAGGCAAGUAAGUGCCUAGUUCGGCUCGGUCAACGAAAGACCAGCAGCUAAAUUUACGAAGAUUCUACUAAGGCAAGUAAGUGCCUACUUCUGCUUGGUCAACGAAGGACCAGCAGCUAAUCCUACGAAAAUCCUACUAAGGCAAGUAAGUGCCUAGUUCGGCUCGGUCAAGGAAGACUAGCAACCAGUUUUACGGAAAUUUUACUAAGGCAAGUAAAUGCCUACUCCUGCUCAGUCCACUAAGGAACCAGCAGGCAAAAUCAGAUAAGUUGUCCAAUUGUUUUUCAGAAACAAUCUAUGAGCAAAAACCGGACAAGAAAGCAAAUAAAGAGCAUCUAAAAAUUUAUAAAUGUUCAAUUGUUUACAAAACAAAUGCAAAUCUAGAGUUUAUACAAAAAUAGGCUCAAAGCUUAGCAGAGUCAACGGCUCCAGCAGCUGAAGGAUCAGCGAGCUCAGGAAGUAAGGGAUUAGCAACAUUAGGAGGUGGGAGAUCAGCAAUGCCGGGAGGAGGAGGCAUGGACCCUUGACCCACUUCGAAAGUGCGUCCCCCAACUUCCCCCUCUUGCACCCCAUCCAAAGGAGCCUCCACCUGAUCCUGCUCACCCUGCUCCUUGUCCGCCUGGCCGACCUCUGCCAUAUACCGCUGCACUCCAGCCUCUAACUUGCUCAUGUCCAGCUCGGGAUAUUCCCCCUGAAGCACAUACAUGAUACACUUAUAGGAGAAAGCAACCCCCGAGUCAUACUCGGCAUCCAACCGAUCGCCCACAUCAGCGGAUUUGCCUUUCUCCUCAGCCAGCUGCUCAUUCAGGGAUUUGAUUUCUCCCUCAAGGGCGGUCCUCAAAGUAUCUCUUUCACUUUGAGUUACCUGAAGGUCCGACUUCAGGCCACCCAACUCACCCUCAAACUUGGAGGCAGUAGACUCAGCAACUGCAACUUUCUCCUCCAGCUCCGUAAUCUGCUUGUUCAGCUCGGCUAGUUUCUCCCUGGAGCGGUCAGCAGAUUCAGCUUUCUUUUUCAACUCCUGAUUAUCAGCUUGAAGCUUCUUCUCAUGACGCGCGGACUUGGUCUUGUAGCACGAGACCAUUGUGGCCAGCCUGAAGGAGACUCUCUGAACAGAAGCAGCUAACUCAGAGAGGCUCAUGCUCUCGAUGUCCUUCACCAUCUUGGGCCCAACCGAUUUUUUAUAAUCCUUCUGAUAUGGGCUCAGGUAGUCACCUUGAUCCCGAGAUGGGAGAGGAGAAGAUCGGUCCCCAGACUGCAAGCUGACCUCAGGACUCUUGUCGGAGGUUUUCUCCCCACCACUCUUAUGAGGUGGAGGAGGGGGCAGAGCAGGAACAGGCGCCUUGGAAGGACCGACGCUGGGUUUCUUUGGAGGAGGAGGAAGGUUGCUGGAGCUACUCGGAGCCCGACCACGCUUCCUGCUCAUCGCGCUGAGGAUCUUGUUAUCCAUUCCAGCGGCUAUGUCCACUAGGCCCGAACCGACCAGGUUUGUUGGCGACAGGAGGUCUUGGCAGGUAGACGCGUUCAACAGAGCAGUUUCCACCUGAAGCAAAGGUCGAUCUUCAAGCCCCCCGAUCAAACCCCACGACUCUGAAAUAGCAAAAGAGGUUAAAGAACUCGAUAAGUGACAAUUUGAGAAAGAAUAUAGGCAAAAAAUGAACGACCUGGGGUGACAAACUGCGUUGGAAGGUAAAUAUCACCACCCAACGAACGGAGUGCUGAACACCACUUUCCCCCAGCAAAGAAGAAUUUGUUCUUCCAAUUUUUGCACGAGGAGGGGAAACCAGUGAUUGGCUUUCUCUUCGCAGAACUAGACAUGAAGUAGUACCAGCCCGCCUCCUUUGGGUUGCUCCGCAGCUGAUACAGAUGUUUCACUUCAACAAGGGAAGGCUCCUCCGACCCGCACCUCUCCCACAAUACAAACAUUACCGAGAGAACCCUCCACCCGUUCGGGUGUAGCUGACCUGGGGCCAGGUGCAUACCCCCCAAUAUUUUGGCAAAAUAACGCUGAAGGGGCAGCCGAGCUCCUAGUUUGAAACUCUCUAGGUGCAUUGUCACAUACCCCCGCGGAGGCGGACUAGGAACGUCACCCUUCCCAGGAACUACAAGGAGAACCUCCUCAGGAAUGUCGUAGAGGUUCCUAAGCUUGAAUAAGUCAGUUUGGGUGGUGGCACAAGCUAUGUAAUCAAUAGGGUAGGAAUCAGCCUCCACCCUAUGGCCAAGAUUCCUUUUCUUAGUAGGUCCGCUCGGUCCGGAACUGCUCCCCUCACCAUCGCCAACUCCUUCAGGGAUCCCAACCCCACCAGAGCUGUGGUUCUCACCAGAUCCCGACGCAGGUCCACCUCUAUUCCCUACAAGCUCUAGUUCGGGAGAGAAAGAGACAACCAAGGGGCGUGGGUACUCAAGGGUAUCCCUGCCAUGGGGAGGACCUACACUACUGGAGGGACCUAAGAAAUCGGUGGGUAUUGACAAGUUGAGGCCUAAAUCCCCUGAUUCUUCAUCACCCUCAUCAACAAUUAACUUUCUUUUCCGGUUUGACAUAUCGGAACCCCAAAAGAAAACAAAGAAAACUCGAAUAUACGGGUACAAAAGGGGGCAACACGGAACCCAAUCAACAACAACCAGAGAAGAGAUUAAAAGCAGUACCUGAAAUGAACUGGCCCUGAUAGCGCUGCCGUGACAGAGAAAAAACCAGCAAGUAGAAACUCCGGACACAGGAAGUGUGAGUAAAGUUCAGAAAGGGGGUAGGUUAACGACGGAGAGACGAGUAACAAAACGAUGACGAUGUAAGUCUAGGGAUUUGAAACGGAAAGGGGGAAAUGAAAGCAUUUAAGUGAUGGAGACGCCAGCUCACUCACCGUACAUCGAGGACAGAUAGUCCGUCGUUUCAAAUUUCAAAUACGAAGAAUCUGGAGAUGCCACGUCACCAACCGUUACAAGAGGCCAGGCUAGAUGCAAGCCCAGAUACGCAAUGAACAUGCUCAUUUAGGCCCACGCCCAGAUCAAAAUCUCCCCUGAAGAAAAAUGAUACCUCAGGUCCGUCCCGGUAGACAGAAGACCAGAGGAGAAACCCCCGGAUUGGUAAGAGCCGACUAUCAGUUUCUACUCUUGACUCAUUUCACUCACAAGACCAGAAACUGGGGGACUGGUGUUAAGCAAAUAAAAGCACCAGGUCGGCCAUGAUACUAUUUCCACCCCAGCAUGAAUCACCUCAGCCAAAUGGUACGAGCAGAACAGGGGGUAACAUGAGCCGAUCAGAGACGAAUACUGACCAGAGCCAUAUACCGAGCCGGUACCCGUCCCCCAAAAAGCGGAAACACGAUCUCACAGAAUCACGGUAGUUGCGCUUUCCCAGAACCGCUGCGGGAGACGCGAGAUCCCACAUUUGCCCAUAAUGCAGCAGUUAGAGUCCUAUGAGAGGCUACCACUACCCGAAAAAGGUGGGAUGAAGGGCAAACGGGAACGUGGGGACAGCGGCUAUAAAAGAAGAAGAAAUCGAUGAAGAAGGGGACAGAAAAAUGAAGAGAGGGAAAACGCUGCCAAAUUGCAAUUAGGCCUUUUUUACAAACUUCGAAACAAGUUAGAAACCAUUCUUGAAUCCAAAUUACAUUGUUUUCCCGUAAAUACCUUGUGCUAACUUAGGCAUCGGAGGGUUUACGCCGGCAAAACCACCGGCGUCUCUGAUCCGUUUUUGGUGAACGCAGGUCUAGUAGGAGAGAUGAGGGUGAUUCCAACCCCAGUGGUUCGAGCAACAGUUAAUAACACGAACGUUGGUGGAGGAAUCUGGUCGGCCAAAAGGCGAGCAGAUUUAAGCAUCAACAGUCAGAUCAUUGCAUUAGCUCUAUGCCUCCAUCAGAGGGAAUAUUAAUAGAUGCAUAAAAAAAUAAUUAGAACCAUGUGAGAAACAAUUACCUUAGACAUGGCAACUCCUUUGACAUAUGUUUCUCCAUUAGCAGAUUUAUCAUAAAGUAUCUCUCUGCAUCCCCACCUAAGAUGGAACCUGUUCUAGCAAAAACAGACCCCAAGGUUAGGAAAAUCAGUUCAUCAUAGGAGAAAACAAACAAGAUUAACAAAUCACUGCAAUGAUGUGAACCUGUAAAUAGAAAUUUACCUGCCCCCUUUAUCUGUGAUAUGUUUUCGUAUGGGCCCACUCAAAUAAACGUCUGGAGAACCCUUGAGCAUCCGCAAUAGGGAAGCCUCAGUCUUAGUCGCAAACAGUGCGAAUAUAGUGAGCAUACAACAAGCACUGAUGUUAUCACAGUCAAUAAACCCAAGGGCAUAAGCAACAGGAUCCCACAUUCUCUGAAUACUCGUCCGUGUCCCACCUUUGGACAAAAACCAAUCAGAGAAGCUUAUCUGUAAGAAGAAAUGAAGUUUUAGGUAAGAUAACAAUUUGUAGGAACAAGGAUUGAUAUUAAAACAAACUAGAAAAUAAGAUGUCAUUCUUACACUAUCAACGAGUGCCUUUACAACAGGACUCAGAGCAAGAGCAAGAGCAUUUCUUGCUUUAUCAUAAGUCUGCACUUGAGCAAUACAUGAGGCAAAGUACAUCAAAAGAGAAUCCAAAAGAAGCAAGAAGUUUCAACAUGAAAGAAGAAAUAUUGUCUCAUCAUACUGCUGACUAAUCAGAUUGCAAAAGAUUACAUCAACAUAAUCAAAAUGGAAGAUAAAUCCAUAUGCACUACCUUAAGCUAAUUUGUAGACAAAAAUGCAUGAAUCCCAUGUACGGGAGCUCCGACCGGAAACCGAAAAUCAAGUUCUGGAGUUAAAAAUCAAAAUCAUGAACUGAAUCAGAGAUAUUAUUGGACCAGAGAAUCCAUAAACCAAUUUCAGAGUGUCCAACCACCAAACAAACUAUCAGUAGUCUUAAGUGAUCAAGAAAUAACCAUACCACCAAUUUCACCACCCUUAUUCACAAGUGUACGAGUAUGAUCCUUCAUGAGUAAAUUUUUGUCCGCGCUGACCUGUAGACAUCCAUGAAAAACUAUCAGAAUAUAAACACAGGGUCAAUUUAAAGAGGAGCUAUGAUUAUGAUCCAUCGUGAUAUUUGAAGAACAUUUUCAUAUUUUCCUACAACAAGUAAACUAUAACCAGUUAUCAUCACUAUAGAUGGCAUGGUCAAGAGGAAUUAUAGUUCUUGUUUCAAGAAUCUCAAAUCAUAAUUCCUUUGCAUGGCUAGUGUGCUUUUUAUAAUCAUUCAAACACACAUAUCCACAACUAAGCAAGCUUUACCUUUUUCAUCAAUCGGAACAGAUUAUUGUAGCAUCCAAAGAAAAUGUGCAGGCCCAUUUCAAUAUGGUUUCCAUGUUUAUCAAUAAAAGAACCCACUUUACCACCAAUGAAAGACCUUGACUCAUAUAUAUCCACCUGGAAGAGGGGGGCGGGGCCAUCAAUAAAAUCAGUAAAACACAAACUAAUUCAAAAUGAAAUAAACUUUGUGAAUUGAAAUAAUGCCUGCCCUAAAGAAAAUGAUAACUGCUAUUCAUUUUUCUGAACUGCUGAUAAAAGCUUCUGUGUACUAAUUCAAAAUGAAAUAAACUUUACCUAAAAAAAAUGCAUGAUUAGAAUGAUUAAAGAUCAUUUGAUGAGGAGUUUCAUCAUUAACUGUGUCGAAACACAGCAGCAAUCCACAAUACACUUAACACGAGAGGGGCACACAAGCAUGCAUGAAUCUUCCACCAUUAAACCUGAAAUCAUAAAAUAAAAGAAACAAGAUGAGUGUUGUUUUACGGUCUGAAAGCCGAUUCCAAAUAAUAAUAAUAAUAGUAAUAGUAAUAGUAAUAGACCUUUGUUAAUAAUUUCUACUAGUUGUCUCUGCCUUUUGCAUCUUCCUCCUUUGUAUCAUCGUCCUCUUCCAAUCACACGGCUAGACCAGUAUGUCUCGAGAAUCUCUACUGCCUUCUCAGAGAUGCCGUUGUCGUCAUGACUUCGUAGAUUUUCAAUCUUUUCUAAUCCCUCAGCCUCCUCAACCAACUGGGCAUAUUGAUUAAAAUCUCCAACGGUACCCGUAUUCAUUUCAGCUACCCCGACCUUCAAAAUGUUCUCUAAUCCUUCUACGCAAACAGUGGCGAUCUUUGGAUCAGCGCAUAGAAGCAGAUCACACAAUGGUUUUAUACACCCCUCUCUCACGAGGUACUUGAUUUGCUCAUGAGUGCCACCUGAGAUGGCAUUUGAAAUUACCCAAGCGGCCUUCUCCUUUGUAUCAAAUUCAGCAUUUUGAAGUAGAUUGACAGUGGGACCAAUUAAGCCGGAAUCAAUUACCGCCUGAAUCUGCUCCCCGUUUCCAGCUGUAAUAUUUGAAAUAAUCCAGCUGACUUCCUUCUUGAUGCUCUCUUCAUGCUUAUGGACCAACAUGUCCAAAAGGUAUGGCAGUGCACCACAGUUAAUUAUACACUGAGUCUGGAAAUCGUUCCCCAUCACAAUAUUUCCAACAGUCCGCAGGGCAGGGGUAAGCACUGAGGAUGAUGGAUGACCAAGGAGCUCAACAAGUCGUCGACAGACACCUGCCUCGAUCACAGCUUGAAUUUUGUCAUUCGUACCAUCAGAAAGAUAGGAGAGUGUCCAACAGGCGUCACUCAACACCUCUUCAUCAUCUAAAUGAAUAAGCUGUGCAAGUGCCGGAAGAGCUGGCCUUACCUGAUCAAAUGGUGGUUCUGGCUUGCCCUUGCAUAAAUUAGACAAUGUCCUUGCGGCAAUUCUCAGCAUUGAAAGCUUAGCAUGCUCAUUUAACUCUGCCAGCAAUGGAAUCAAAGCUCCUUCACCAAGCACUAGAUCACGGCAUCCAGAUGAGUCACCAGCAACAUUUCCCAAUGCCCAAACAGCCUGCUCGCGGACAUCAUCACUUGGGGAAGCAAGCAGCUUCACAAAUAUUGGAACGGCACCGUGGUCAAUCACCACCUUAAUGUUCUCUGAAGUUCCAGAAGCAAUGUUUGAAAGAGCCCAAGCAGCCUCAUACUGAAGUUGCGGAUAGUCUUCCCUCAUAAGAAACUCAACAAAGCGCGGGACAACGCCAGAUUGUAUGACUUUAUCAAUUUGUGGACUCCUCUCAAUCGAAAGCAGUUUGCUGAACUGAGUAGUUGCUUCCAGCUGCAAGCCGCUGUCAUCUGACCAAACCCCAGCAACCAUCCCGGGUAAACUCGCAUACUUAUUUUAGGAGCAGGAGCAAGAGGAGGAAAUUAAGUUAGGGAUUUGGAGUGAGAGUGAAAGUGGAGAAAAAGCAAGAGAGGGAAAAAGCUAAUUGUUGAGAAAUAUAUACCUUUCGUAUGGUUGUGUUAAGGUCGUCCUUCCAAUCCCAACAUGCUUCACCCCGCCGCUGCACUUUGUGUAAUUUGGGUGUACUUAAUUUUCCUUCAGAGAAAAUUUUCAUAUUGGGGCAAUUAUCCACCACUAAUCUUUCCAAAAAUGGGAACUUGAAAGCACAAUUGCCAGAGCAGAAGCUUGUCAGGUAUUUUAAGUCUAAAAGCUUCAACUCCUUCAAUUCUCUGAAAGUAAUAACCUCAUCUUGUGCUACAACAUCAUCCACCAGUACUAUUUCUGUUAUCUCAUCGCAUGAUUCUAUCUCCAUAUAUCUAAGUCGCACCAGAGUCUUUGCAAUUGAGGGUGUUAAUACGAUUUUCAAGCCUUCGCAACAAUACGAUUUUCAAGCCUUCGCAACACGAUACCACCAGAUUUGCAAGAUUCUGAAAGGAUGUCGAGGAUGGCACUAGAUUGACCAAACGGUCACACCCCAUUACGCGUAGAAAAACCAAGUUGUUCGUAACAGAAGACUCCUCUAUCAAAAUGUUCUCCAGAUCAUAACAAUUAUAUGCUUCGCUUAUUUCUACCCUCAUCCCAUUUUCAACCUUCUCUUCCGGCAACCAAGCACCAUGUCCUCCUAUUUGGAGGACUUUCAUUGUGUGAAGUCUCUGGAGGAAGUCACCAAGUGAUAAAAUAGUCCGCUCAUCACCUAACUCCACAGAAAGAUAUUUUAGUUUGCAAAGCAAGCCUUCAGAAAAUAGAUACUUAUUUGUUACUACGUGCUUUGCAUCAACUUCCAACUUUUCCAAAUUAGGGAAUACCUGGGAGAUCAAUCAGAACCCCAAAAAAAAAAAAAAGAAAUACAAGAUGAAUCAAUUGAUGAGAAAUAUAAGUUACCACUAAUUUAUAAAAUAUAUUUUAUUCAAUAAAUCUUAACCUUUAAAAAAAAUAGUAAUAAUAGUACGCCUAACAUCUAGAAUAAUUAUGAAUGAAUACCAUACACUAAUCUGUAAGAGAGUUACGUAGCUGACAAUUUGACUUUUAGUAAGAAACCAAGCAAUGAAGGCAAAGGCAAUAUAACUCUAAGCUAUAUGAUAUAAACUUUCACAGUACAUACAUAAGAAUUGAAAAUUUGAUUAUAAAAUUCUUGUACGUACCCUUUCCGUCAAGAUAUUAGUAGUUCUUUUGUAUCUCGCCAUGAAUUCAGGACAUGCAGAUAUCCAUAAUCCUUUCAAGGAUGGAAAUUCAAGAAUAUCAAGAUCUCCAGUGCAGAAGCUUGUGAACUUUUCAAGACCAGACAUCUUCAGAUAUUGCAACUGGGGAAACGUUACAAUAUUAUUCGUCAUUUCUUCUUGGUUGUCCACGACUAUUAACUCUUCCAAGACGGGACAUCUGACUAUCUCAAUGCUUUGGAGUCGAACAAAGCUACUAACAGUAGAAGAUGAAAAUAUACAUCUUAAAUUCAUACAUCCGUGCAGGAUCAAGUGUGUUAAAUUCUUAAUACCACAAGACAUGGCUGUAACUUGGUUUUGCCAAAUCCUUCCAACGUUUAUUGAAUACAACUCCAAGUUCUCCAAAUUUGGUAAUGCAACCUGUUCGAUCAAAAAGUUAACUUGUUAAUUACAAGCAACAAUGAUUUCUGUUGAUGGACAAAUCAAUAAAAUUACUCUUUCUCUGGUUAUAGUUCUUUUCAGUUUUUCAUACAAACAACCGUUAAUCAAGUUUUCCAAAUUAUUCCUUACAAAAUGUAUAGAUUUAGAGGGCGGAUAAUAUAAUUCAUAUUGCAAAAAUUCUUUGAUUGUAACGAAUUUUGUAAAAUUAAAUUUUGGUUGAUUCGCAAUAGGACCUACUAUCCAGCGCGAGCAGUUCUCGGGGAUUUAACUACUGGCACCUCGAUUAUAUAAAAAUUUGGAAUAUUUUCAAAGGAAAUCACAUAAUUCCCCCUUGCAAAUAGUAAUUAUCAUCAAUUGCCGCGGGUUCACAUAUAAUUCUAAGAAAUUAGGCGAGAAGAGUCUCAUCAACAAUCAAUCAGCAGAUAUCACGUUUGGCAGAUCAUCAUGAUUUCCUCAGAUGCUAGAGAAUCAACGUGAUUUCCGCUCAUGCAGGAGUGGACACAUUAUCUUAGAGCAUCCCUCACUGAGAUCUUUUAAAAAAUUUAUAUUAUAAAGUGAACAACAUAUUUAGUAUAGAUUUAGACGGCGGCUAAUAUAAUUUAUAUGUAUUCUAAUGACGUAUAUUAAAGAAAAUGACUAACCAUAAUUUCAAUCAACUUAUAUAUAUAUAUAUAUAAUAUUCAGUGAUUACAACAUAUUUAGUAUUUUGUAACAUGAUGUUUAUAAUAAUAAUUAUUAUUAAUUCACUUAUUGUGUCGAGUACCUUUUCUUUCUCUAAGAAUGUAUUUGUUACACCCUACUAUACUUCGGAUGAAAAAUUUAGAAUAAUUGUGAAAUAUGAUUAUUAAUCACUCUUUGCCAUAUUUGCUACCAAACAAGAAUGCAACAAAGAAAAAAAAAACAAAAAUUAUAGAGAAUUAAUAAGACCAUUGACUUAUCAAUAAUUGACCUUGUCAGCGAAAAGUGUAUUAGAAAUUUGGACAUUGUCCUCCAAAAUGAUUUCAUGUGACCGCAAAUCAUUAGCUGAUUCCUCCUGUCUCUGCUAACAUUGCAGGUGUAUUGAUUUUAGAGUGUAAGCUUAAUUGUGAGCACAACCUUAAUGCAUAGAUACAAGAUCUUUAAAAAUUAGUACAAUAAACUUAGCACUAAAUCUAAAUUUGAUAUUUUGGAUUCUAUGAUUAAGAUUUUUUUUAAAUGAAAAUUUAAUAGAGUUAAUUUAAAAAUAAAAAUUAAAUAUGAAAAAUUAGACUUGCAAUUAUGGAUUUAAUUUUGAUAAAUAAUGAAUGUUCUCUUAAUAUUUUUUUUAAAAGGUAAAAGAGCGUACAAAGCCCAAAUUCAUUUUUUUAGUCCCUUACUCUCCCAUGAUUCAAACUUGGGUGGUUGUAGGACUGAAAAUAUAUAAGACAGUUAACUUUACUUUUUUUUUCUUUUUUGUUUAGAGAAAAGAGAAGAAGGAUAUUACAAAGCAUGAAGCUCGUGCAAUAUAAGGGCAAUUAUGGUUUUUUCUUUAAAUUAAAAUGGUAAGAUUCUGAAGCUAAAAGAUUAAAAUAUUAAUUAAAUUACAAACAUUAAAGAUUUUUUUUUUUCAAAUGGUUGCUUUGAAAAUGAGAAUAAUAUAAUAUUUGAAGACUUUUCAAAAUUAAUUACUGUGAUGCACUAGAAAUUUCUAGCUUUAGUCUAAUGUAUAAAUUGACAAAACGAUAUUAGAAUCCCAGGAGAAAAGAACCCUCUCAUACCAAUUAUUUAAAUUAGGAAUGAUCAUACCUUUGACUCUGCCGGAUUGAGGGCGAGGUCUGAACCCUCCAGACGGAGACGCUUGAGAUGGGAAGAGCCCACUUUGACUAAUUCAUUACGAAAAUAAUCGACAUCUUGCUCUUGCAAUUCACUUAACUCAAGGUCUUCAAUUCUCUGCAGUUGCACGAUCAGCGAAUCCUUCAAGCAAAUCUUGUUAUUUAGCUCGACUCUGAAUUGACGACACCAAAUGCCGGUUUUCCUCGAAAAAUAACGUCGAAUAUAUAUGCUGUACCUUUCCAGCUUCUCCAAGAGCAGGCCUCUGGGCAGACUGCUGACGUCACGGACGUGUACUUCCAAAGAGGUCAAGUUGGGCAAAUGCUUCAAUUCCUCAAGGCUUGCAUUCUUAACCCCUUCCACCUCCUCCUCCCAAUCAACAAAGCUUUCACGACCUAUAUAUAGUUCUUCUAAAUGUGAUAAUUUUGACAGUAUAUUUGGUGGAAUAACUUUCAGAAAACAACAAUCCCUCAAAUCAAGCAACUUUAGCCAAGUCAAUUCACCUACUUCUACUGGCAACUUCACAAUAUCAGAACCUCUUAAGCAAAGGAUUUCUAGUUUCUUCAAGUAUCCUACAAAACUUAUAUCAGGCAAGCCGCAGCUACACAAACUCAGUGUUCGAAGGUUUGACAGGAGACCAAGUGAUGAAGGCAGUAUCAUGUCAGUCAAGUUUACAACUCUGACCUCGAUCAUGCUCUUGAAAAAGUUGUCUGGAAUUGUUACUGGUGAAGUUUCCCAAGGAUCAUCACGACCACCACCACGUAUAAAAAGAAGUUCGAGUUGAGGACAUUCCAGUACUUCAGGAAGCAAAUUAGGCUUAAUACCAUGUAAGACGAUUGAAGUGAAAUGCUUUAUUGUACUUCCGUCUGACCAUUCCCUGCAACCAUCAACCUGCUCAUUUGUAGCAGUAAACACAUUUCGUUUAGUAGAUGCAAUUGAUAUGGCGACAUGGCGAACUACAUCAUGCAUAGAAAACAACUCUUCCUUCUCGCUUUCAUGGUCAAGCAACAUACAAGAAGCUUUGAGUGUGCGCACCAAUGCAUGUACUCGAUUUCGUGCUGCUUCCAUCUUAUUCACACCUUGAAAUAAACCCAAUCCCAUACCACACAUUAACAAGUCAUCAAUAGAUGCUAUGGCUGUAUAUCCUAUUAGCAAAAAGAUGUUCUUGAGAUCAUCCCUUCCUAGUUUAUUGUAGCUCAACUCGAUAGCUUUAUAUGCAGCUGGCUGUACAUCCUUAAAAUGGAACACAAGUGACCACAACAAGAUGGAACAAAAUAAAAAGGAAAAAAAUACAAAGAGUGGAUGGAGAAUAAAACAGAGACAGCGGCACAGCUGGACACAACUAGAUAGAGAACAGAGCAAAACCAAAUAACAAGACUUAAGAUUACAACAAACUGUGAAGAUAGCUCAUUAUGGAGAAAGAAGCAAUGGAAAGCAGAAGAAGGAAAAGCUUAAGUUGAAGCAGGAUACAGAGUAUAGUAGCAGCUCAGUUGCCAGCUCAGCAUAGUUAGUUUCAGUUCGUUAGAAGUGCAAAAUGUAUUGUGAUGAGUAUUAGCUAAUAACUUCCUUAAUUAGUUACAUUGAUUGUGAUUAACUAGAUGUUAGUAUAAAUACUCACGAAUUGUAUUACUCUGUAAUUAAGGAAAAUAACAAACUCUGCUCAAGAGUAUUUCAGAAUCCUUCGUUUAAUAUUUUCUCUAGAAACAAACAACUCUCUUUUAUAAUUCUUUUAUGGUAUCAGAGCCACUCAUGGCUAGUUCAAGCAAUACAAUCUUCAAUCCAAAUCAUAUUACUUCAAAUCAAUCAACUCAGAUAUCAUUUUCCUUUAGUUCUCCAGUCAAGCUAGAUAGAUCGAAUUUUAUGCUAUGGCGCAAGCAAGUUCUUACUUCGAUUAGAGGAAAUCGACUUGAGCAUCUAAUUUCUGAUAAUCAAGUGACACCAGAUCGUUACAUUACUCACACGGAAGUUGAUGGAUCUAUACAGAAAGUAGAAAAUCCAGCUUUUGUUCAUUGGAGAGCACAGGAUCAAACUCUUCUUGGCUGGAUCUUAUCCUCAAUUAGCGAAGGUAUUCUCAGCUCAAUUCUUAACUGUGAUAGUGCAUUUGAAGCUUGGAAAUGCAUUGAAAAACAAUUUGGAGUUCAAUCUGAAGCUAAGCUCAUGCAACUUCGUUAUGAACUAAAUAUUCUUAGGAAAGAAAAUAUGACUGUUGAGGAAUACUGCUUGAAGGUUAAAGCACUUGCUGAUAAACUCGCAUGUUCUGGAAGUCCUAUUUCUGAAAAAGAUCUACUGAUACAAAUCUUGAAUGGAUUAGGUCCAGGAUACUUAGAUCUUGCAUCAAUAAUUACUGCUAAUAAAAUGUCAUAUGAUGAUGCAUAUGCACUGCUAUUAACGCAUGAAGCUAGAAUGGAACAAAGUCAAAAUGCUAAGAGUGUGUUUAAUGCCAAUUAUGGCAUGAUGAAUGGGAAUUAUCCUCAAACUAAGGGCUAUAAUAGAAGAGGAGGUUAUAAUGGAUAUCAGGGACACUUCAAUGCUGGAAAUAGAAAUUUUGGUGCAGGAAGGGGAAUAAUGUUUACAAAUUCAAGAGGAUUUGUCAAUGGUGGUCAUGGUCCUGGUGCUUAUAAUUCUGGUAGGGGACAACUAAUGCACAUGCAGGCAUAUAGACCAACCACUUAUAAUAGAAACAUCUCUAAUGCUAACCUUGGUGCUGAAAAUGGAUCUGGAGAUAAUGUAUUAAUAUGUCAAAUUUGUCAUAAGUCUGGGCACACUGCAGAUGCUUGUUGGUAUAGGUUUGAGAAUUAUGUGCCUCCACCCAGAAACUUUGGAAGAGGGAGAGGUCAAAGGUCAGCAUAUAUGGCAAAUUUUGAAUCAUGUCCAAGUGCUGCUGGAUAUCCAAGUGCUGCUGGACCUUUUGAAACACAAUAUUAUCCAGACUACUCUAGUCAUCAGAUGUCUGAUUUGAAUUCAAUGAAUCACUCACUGGACUCUUUCUCUGCUCCUGGAGCUGCCUAUGUUGCUAACUAUGAAAGACCAGCUGAUGAGGGUUGGUAUUUAGACAGUGGAGCCACACAUCAUUUGACAAACAACAUGGCAAAUAUGCACAUCAGGGAGCAAUUCAGUGGAUCAGAUCAACUCAUUAUUGGCAAUGGACAAGGUCUGAAUAUAACUCAUAUUGGUGAUGCUUUUCUCAAUUUCAAAAGUUCAAAUGACAAACACAAACACACACCCAUAGCACUAAAAGACAUAUUGCUUGUUCCUUCAAUUACUAAGAACCUUUUGAGCAUUUCUAAACUUACUGCUGAUAAUAACCUGUCUGUUGAAUUUCUUGGAAAUAUCUGUGUUGUGAAGGAUACUCUGAAGGGGCAAAUACUGAUGCAGGGCCUUGCUGAGAGAGGAUUAUACAGGCUGUUAAUAAAUUCAUCUUCUUCAAAUACUCAGUCAUCUUCUUCUUUUCAUUCCCAUAUGUCUUCUAAUAAACCACUUUCAAUGUUGUCCUUUUAUCAUUCUGAUUCUGCUGGUCACACUGAUGUCGUUAGUGGAACUGCAAAUUUGAAAACUUGUUAUCAGACUGCUGUAUUACAUUAUACUAAAUCAAUCAAUAAAGCUUUACUUUUUCAUAGAAGAUUUGGUCAUCCUAGUGUUCAAGUGCUAUUACAUAUGCUCAAAAUUAACAAGUACAUUUCCAUUCCUACAUAUCAAAUUCAUCAAAUGCAUCAAACAACAUGUGAAGCAUGUCAAAAGGGCAAAGUUCAUAGGCUUCAUUUUCCCUGCACAGACACUAAAACUACCCAAGUUCUUGAGCUCAUACACACAGACUUAUGGGGACCCUCACCCACUCUAUCUAGGGAUGGAUAUCGAUAUUAUAUAAGCUUUGUUGAUGACUUCAGCAGAUAUACCUGGAUAUACCUUUUAAAAGUUAAGUCAGAUGCAUUAGAAGUUUUCAAACUCUUCAAGUUGCAAGUGGAAAAUCAGUUUACCACCACCAUUAAAACUCUGCAAUCUGACUGGGGAGGGGAGUAUAGAUCUUUUACAGAAUUUCUAAACCAAUCUGGUAUUAUCUUUAGGCAUUCAUGUCCUUAUACACAUCAUCAAAAUGGAUUGGUUGAGAGGAAACAUAGGCAUAUUGUAGAAUCAGGAUUAACUCUGCUGGCUCAAGCUCAUUUACCUUUUCAAUUCUGGUGGGAUGCCUUCCAUACAGCAGUUUACCUUAUCAACAGAUUGCCAUCACCUGUUCUGAAAUUUUCAAACCCAUAUGAAAAGAUUUUCAAGCAUAAGCCUAAUUAUGAUAUGCUCAGAUGCUUUGGCUGCACAUGUUACCCUUAUUUAAGAGAUUACAACAAACAUAAAUUUGCCUAUCACUCUAGCAAAUGUGUAUUCAUUGGGUAUAGUCCAUCACAUAAGGGUUAUAAGUGCUUACAUGCUUCAGGAAAAAUUUAUAUUGCCAGACAUGUUGUCUUUGAUGAGUUCACUUUUCCAUAUACCACAGACUCUUCUUUUCUUAAACAUUCAGCCUCUGAUUCUCAGUCUUCAUAUUCUAUUACUCCUCAACAAGUUCAUCAUCUUUCUACUUCACCUAUCCUACCAAUAUUUCUCAAUGACAACACUAAUAAUGCAAUCUCAGUGAGUUCAGAAAGCAUUGGUACAAGCACUUCAGUUCAUCCUACACAGCAAGAAGUUAAUCUAGAAUCACAGCAAGGUACGAUCAGUAACUCUUCACCUGUUCUUAUGUGUCCAUCCUCAGUUUAUGAACCUGUACCUAAUUCAUCACUUCCCCAUACUCACAACUCCCCUCAACAACAGUUCAAUAAUCCCAUUACACAUUCUCAUACACCUCAGAAUACACACCAAAUGAUAACUAGGGGAAAAGCUGGUAUCUUCAAACCCAAAGUGUAUAUUGCUGAUCUUGUUCACAAAGAACCAGACACUAUACAUGAAGCAUUAAAUGACUCAAAAUGGCUACAAGCCAUGAAGGAGGAGUUUGAUGCUUUAAUAAAAAAUGAUACAUGGACAUUGGUUCCAAGAGCAGCUAAUCAGCAAGUUGUUGAGAAUAAAUGGAUUUACAUAAUUAAGUACAAUACUGAUGGAAGUGUGGCUAAAUACAAGGCACGGCUAGUUGCUAAAGGAUUCCAACAAAUAGCAGGUGUAAACUAAUUUGAAACCUUCAGUCCUGUUAUUAAACCAGCAACUGUCAAAGUGGUAUUUGUUGAGUGUUAGAAAAUGUAUAUUUAUAAAGGAGAAAACCGUCAUUUUACAUUUCAAGUCUUACUAACAACCCUUACUUUUAUGUAUUUAACCUCCUUGUGAUUUAAUUACAUGUGUUUUAUUUUAAUUAAGUAUUUUAUGUAUUUUAGGGGCAUUAUAGUCAUUUCACAAUAAAGGAGAGAUCAGACGGCAAAACGGACAUCACUUUUGAACUCAGGACGAUCGAAAACCUUAGGAGGAGCAUAAAAGGAAAAAUGGCACUAUUCACAUGUACGGUACUAUUCACGUGUACGGUACUGUAUACGUUACUGUUCACGACACUGUUCACAUAGACGGACGAUGACGUGGCAUUGACCGAUGAUGUGGCAUUGACUGAUGAGGUGUCACGAUCCUGUUGGGCUAAAAUUCUUAUGUACUGUUGAUGCUGACGUGGCAGCAUAUCAGUGGAUGAAAAAUCUCGCGUACGGUACAUACAUCACACAGGAUUAUUUUCAAUCAAACCGCAUUACUGUUCAUCCGGGUCAAACCGUGUUACUGUUCAUCCGCGUGGUCAAACCGUGGACUGUUGACUGAUGACGUGGCGCAAUCCUGAGCGUUCAAACUGUUUUUAAUCCGAUGGCCAUGAUUUACUCCAUGUAUCUAUAAAAAGGGGGCCUCUCCCCCCUAAUUUGAUAUCUCUGAAUCCAUUUUUGGGAUCCAUUUUCUGUAAUUCCCUCUCCAUCUUGUAUUUUCUUCGUAUUUUAAUAAAUUCCCAUUUUGCCCCUAGUUCAAUUAUGAGUAGCUAAUUUCCUUUCAAGCUUGGGUUGAAGGUGAAGUCUCAACAUAUGCCAUGGGCUUAAUUUGGUAAAUUUAUUUUCUCUUCCCCUCUAGUUUUUGUGGAUGUUUUGACUUCUCGUCGACAAAUAAUACUAAUCUUAUCUAGUACCGCCUUGGUUUCACCGGCCCUCUAGUACAAGGUUAUUAUUAUUUGGCACGAUAAGCCCUUAGCACCAUAUUGAUUAGAGUGUGGUUCAUGAGGUGUGGAUUUCCCCCUCAUGAUUUAAUUGGUAUUAAUAAGGAAUAUUUAGCCCAUGGUGCAUGUUGAUACGGAUCCGGAUACCCAAGUGCUUCAUUUCAAUAGAUCUAUCUUCAAUUUAUUCUCGCCAUUACAAUUCCAAUUUUAGAAUUUAUUCUCGCCAUUUUAAUUUAAGUUUUAGCAUAUUCCAAAUCAUUUCCACCACAAAUCCAAUCCCCGAUUUACAAAAUUAAUUCUAUACACAAUUAAAAUCCACCUCCUCGUGGGAUCGACACUCGUCACCAUUAGUCUAUACUACAAUAGAUUUGUGCGCUUGCGAGUACAUUAAAAUUUGCACAACAAGUUUUUGGCGCCGUUGCCGGGGAGGUAAGUAAUUUUAAUUCAUAAAAUUAAUUUUUGUGAAUAAUUUCUUUUAUUUGUUUUCUUGUAUUUUUUAUUAAAAAAAAAAGUAAAUCUACAUUUAAAGGUUAGUAUUUCUUUUCUUUUUCUCUUCUUUAAAAUUCUGUAAUUUAAUUUUCAAUUUAUUUUUUCUUUGUAAUUUUUGUUUAUUUUAUUAAUUUAAUUUUUAGUUAAUUUAUUUCACGUAUUUGUUUUUGUGUAUUUUUAUAGAAAGGUUGUAAUAGCGCAAUAAGGUUAGUAUCGUAAUUUCUCCCUCUUCUUUAUUUUUAUUUGUUUUGUUCCCAUCUUUAUUUUUAUUUUAUUUGUUUUGCAUGCAUGGUCGUAGGUCAUUAUUACCUAAUCUUAAACCUAUAGACCUUGAAUUAGAAAAAACACUUCGCACACAAAAGCACAUUAAUAAAUUUGGAAUGGAUUUACAAGCACCACAGGAGAGGUCAUUCAAGGACUAUUUUAGUCCUUUAGCUAAUUUGAGCACAUCAUGUAUAAGAUACCCAAAUGUAGCUACUAGGAGUUUUGAAUUAAAACCUAGUGUGCUAAAUUGUCUCCCCACAUUUUAUGGCCUAGAAAAUGAGGACCCAUAUAAUCAUCUGAAUGAUUUUCAUGCCAUUUGUCAAACUUUUAAAUAUGAAAAUUUUUCAGACGAUGAUGUUAAACUUAGAUUAUUCCCAUUUUCUUUAAAGGAUAGAGCUCGUUCAUGGUUAAAUACUUUGCCUGCUAAUAGCAUUGCAUCAUGGGAACAAAUGGUAACUAAAUUUUUGAAUAAAUAUUUCCCAGUGCAUAAAACCAAUGCUAUUCGCAGGGAAAUCUCAGAGUUUACUCAGAGAGAGGACGAGCAGUUUUUCGAGACAUGGGAGCGAUUCAAUGGGCUACUCUUGAAGUGUCCACAUCAUGGGUACGAGAAAUGGCAUCAAUGCCAAUACUUUUUGGAGGGAUUAUUGCCGAAUGUGCAAGAAUGGCUAAUGGCAACAAGUGGAGGAGAGCUAAUAUCAAAAAGUGCAUCAGAGAUUUGGGAAUUCUUCCAGCGACAAGCGGAUAAUUCCCAACAACGGAGUCGAUCACUCAGGAAUACUAGAAGAAUUAAGGGAGUAAAUGAGGUUCAAAUUGGCGAGUCAACUUCGGGAAUCAAAGAAGUCAAGGAGAUGGUUGAAGGUCUUGCUCGACAAAUAGCAUCGUUGUCGACUGCUAAAUCAACAGAACCACAUGACCAUGACUCAUACUCCGAUCAAGCCAAUGCCAUAGGUGUAAUCAGAAAACCAUCGAAUUACAACCCAUACUCCAACACAUAUAACCCUGGAUGGAGAGACCAUCCCAAUUUUUCAUGGUCUCAAGGAUUCCAACAGAAUGGACCAGCAGCUCCAGCUCCGCCAAUUCCUCAAGUUCCUCAAGCCUCUCAGCCCCCAUUUAGACCAUACAAUCAGAACCAGAACUACUCUCAACCUAGACCAUGGGAGGAUUCAUUCCAGAAUCUCAAGAAUCUUACUCACUCUACGAUUGAGCAACAGAACCGCACCAUUGAUGGACUACGAAAUGAGUUGAGAGCGGGCUUCAACUCACAAGCCCAAUCAGUUUCAAGCCUCGAGAAGAUGGUGGGACAACUUGCUUCUUCAGUUCAGACCUUGGCAAUGACUGUUGAUAAAGGUAAAUUUCCAAGUCAACCAGUGCCUAAUCCUAAAGGAGUACAUGAAGCAAGUACUAGUUCACCACAGCAGCAUGGAGAGGUCAAAGCAAUCAUGACCUUGCGAAAAGGAAAGGAAGUCGACAACAAAGUGGAGAUGCCUGUGACAAAAGAAAAUCAAAUUGUACCUGUGAAUGUUGAAGACUCACCACCGGAGGAGAAAGAAGAAACCAACCCACGAGAAUACGUUCCGAAAGCUCCAUUUCCUCAGAGGUUAGCGAAAGGAAAGAAGGGAAAAUCCACAGGUGAGAUUCUUGAAAUCUUCAAACAGGUAAGUGUUAACAUCCCUUUGCUUGAUGCUAUUAAACAAGUUCCAUCUUAUGCCAAGUUUCUUAAAGACCUUUGUACUAAAAAGAGAAACAUGCAUGUUCAAAAGAAGGCAUUUUUAACAGAAAACGUUAAUUCUAUACUCCAACAUAAAAUUCCUUUAAAAUGCAAAGACCCAGGCUCCCCCACUAUCUCAUAUAGUAUAGGGAACCACACAAUUGAGAAUGCUUUGUUGGAUUUAGGAGCUAGUGUAAAUCUGUUGCCUUACUCAGUAUUUUUGAAACUUGGACUGGGAGAAUUACACCCAACUCCAGUGGUGUUACAGCUUGCAGAUCGGUCCACGAAAAUACCUCGUGGUAUUGUGGAGGACGUGCUUAUCCAGGUAGACAAGUUUUAUUUUCCUGUUGAUUUCAUUGUAAUUGACACUCAACCAAUACAGGAUUCAAGGAAGCACAUCCCCAUUAUCCUAGGCCGACCUUUCUUGGCAACUGCGGAUGCUCACAUUCAAUGCAGGACUGGAAAUAUGCAGUUGUCCUUCGGCAACAUGACUAUGGAGCUAAAUAUUUUCAACAUUGCCAAACAACCUCACAGUGCAGAUGAUGGAAUUGUUGAUGUGGAUUUAAUUGAAGCAUUAGUUGAUGACACUUUUAUUUCAAACCUUAGUGAUGAUCCUUUACAGACAUGCUUAACUCACUUUGGUUUUGAUUUUGAUAUUGACAGAUCGGUUGAUGAGGUCAACGCUCUACUUGACUCAACACCAUCCAUGGACACUAAUAAAUGGAAGUCAAGAGUUGAACAACUAGCACCAUCAGAAAAGAAACUCAUCCCAUCAUCAGAAUCACCACCGAAACUCGAGCUCAAACCAUUGCCCAACACUCUGGAAUAUGCAUUUUUGGGAGAAGAAAGUACUCUGCCGGUAAUCAUCUCAUCAUCCCUAAAUGACGAACAAAAAGGUAAGUUGUUGGAUGUUUUAAAAGAGCAUAAAGGAGCAUUAGGAUGGACCAUAGCAGACAUAAAAGGUAUAAACCCCGUAGACUGCAUGCAUUACAUUCACCUUGAUGAAAAUGCUAAAUCUACUAGGGAAAUGCAACGUCGGUUAAAUCCUAAUAUGAAAGAAGUUGUUAGAACUGAAGUCCUUAAGCUAUUAGACGCAGGUAUCAUUUACCCAAUUUCUGAUAGUUCAUGGGUCAGUCCUGUACAAGUUGUCCCCAAAAAGUCAGGAGUCACAGUAGUUACCAAUGCUGAUAAUGAAUUGAUACCAACUAGAGUAACUACAGGAUGGCUUGUAUGCAUUGAUUAUAGAAAGUUGAAUUCUGUCACACGUAAAGACCAUUUUCCUUUACCAUUUAUUGAUCAAAUGCUUGAUAGAUUAGCAGGCCAUGAAUUUUAUUGCUUUCUAGAUGGCUACUCAGGAUAUAAUCAGAUUCCCAUAGCACCAAAAGAUCAGGAGAAAACUACUUUCACUUGCCCUUUUGGCACUUUUGCAUAUAGGAGAAUGCCAUUUGGAUUAUGUAAUGCACCUGCUACAUUCCAACGAUGCAUGUUGAGCAUUUUUUCUGAUAUGGUUGAACGAUUCCUUGAAGUCUUUAUGGAUGAUUUUUCUGUCUUUGGUGACUCGUUUGAUCAAUGUUUACAUCAUCUAACACUAGUUCUGCAGAGAUGUAUUGAGAAGAACUUAGUCUUAAAUUGGGAGAAGUGCCAUUUUAUGGUAAAACAAGGUAUUGUUCUCGGUCACAUCAUUUCGAGCAAAGGUAUUGAGGUUGACAAAGCCAAGGUGGAUCUCAUUUCUAAUCUUCCUCCACCUAAAACAGUCAGAGAAGUAAGAUCUUUCCUUGGACAUGCUGGUUUCUAUAGACGUUUCAUUAAAGAUUUUAGCAAAGUUUCUAGACCCUUAUGCAAUUUACUUGCUAAGGAUGUACCUUUUAUCUUUAAUGAUUCAUGUCUCAUGGCGUUUGAAAAAUUAAAGCAGUUGUUGACAUCAUCACCCAUCAUUCAGGCCCCAAACUGGAGCUUACCAUUUGAGCUCAUGUGUGAUGCAUCUGAUUAUGCAGUAGGAGCAGUAUUAGGACAAAGAGUUGAUCGAAUUCCGCAUGUUAUUUACUAUGCUAGUAUGACAUUGAAUGAUGCACAGUUGAAUUAUUCAACUACUGAAAAAGAAAUGCUAGCAGUAGUGUUUGCAUUAGAGAAAUUUCGAUCUUAUCUCAUUGGUUGUAAAAUAAUUAUAUUCACAGAUCAUGCUGCUCUUAAAUAUCUUCUCACAAAGAAAGAUGCAAAAGCUAGACUAAUUCGUUGGGUGUUACUUUUGCAGGAAUUUGACUUGGAAUUCAAAGAUAAGAAAGGGACAGAAAAUGUUGUGGCGGACCAUCUCUCUCGUCUCCAUUUUGACACAAUUACAGAGCCAUUAAUAUUGAAUGAGUCAUUCCCAGAUGAACAAUUAAUGAAUGUGGAAGUAUUACCUUGGUAUGCUGAUAUAGUUAAUUAUCUUGUUACAGGUAAACUUCCAGAGCAUUGGACCAAGCAAGACAAGGCUAAAUUCUUUGCAGAAAUAAAGAAUUUCUUUUGGGAUGACCCGUAUUUGUUCAAGUAUUGUGCAGACCAAAUUGUUAGACGAUGUGUCCCAGAAAGUGAAAUUCAGAAUAUCCUUUCAUUCUGCCAUGAACAAGCUUGUGGAGGCCAUUUCAGUGCUAAGAAAACAACGACUAAAGUUUUAAAAUGUGGUUUCUAUUGGCCAACUAUAUUUCGAGAUGCUUACACUUUUUGUUCUUCAUGUGAUAGGUGUCAACGAAUGGGGAGUAUUACACGAAGGAACAUGAUGCCACUAAAUCCAAUUUUAGUGGUUGAGAUUUUUGACGUAUGGGGUAUCGACUUCAUGGGACCCUUUCCCCCUUCUUUUGGCCAUCAAUACAUAUUGGUUGGUGUUGACUACGUCUCAAAAUGGGUAGAAGCAAUUCCAUGUAGAACCAAUGAUCACAAGGUGGUGAUAGGAUUUUUGAAAAGCAACAUUGUUUCGCGCUUUGGAUUCCCUCGAGCAAUAAUCAGUGAUGGUGGUGCCCACUUUUGUAACAAAGCAUUCAAAGCUCUUUUGACAAAGUAUUCAAUCACACACAAAGUGGUGACCCCGUAUCAUCCGCAAACCAGUGGCCAAGUUGAGAUAUCCAAUCGAGAAAUAAAGCACAUAUUAGAAAAAACGGUGAGGCCAGACAGGAAAGAUUGGUCAUUAAGACUUGAUGAUGCAUUAUGGGCAUACAGAACGGCUUUCAAGACCCCGAUUGGGAUGUCACCCUACAGGCUAGUGUAUGGAAAAGCUUGCCACCUACCUGUGGAACUCGAGCAUCGUGCGUAUUGGGCCAUCAAGAAAUUCAACUUUGACAUGCAGCAAGUCAGCUCAGAAAGAAGAUUACAACUGGCAGAACUUGAAGAAAUUCGCAAUGACGCAUACGAAAAUGCCAAGAUUUACAAGCAACAGAUGAAAAUCUUUCAUGACAAGCAAAUUAUGAGAAAAUCGUUCACUCCAGGUCAGAAAGUGCUUUUAUUCAAUUCUCGUUUGCACCUAUUCCCAGGUAAGCUACGCUCUCGAUGGUCUGGUCCCUUUAUUGUUCAUACUGUUUUUCCACAUGGGGCAAUUGAAAUUAAGGACCCAAAGAACGGUGUCACGUUUAAAGUUAAUGGUCAAAGAUUAAAGCCAUAUCUAGAGUACCAACCACAUGGAGAAGACACCGAAAUAAAUUUGAGUGACCCACCAGAUUUGAAUUGAUUUUUUCUUUUUAUUGAUUUGAUUUUUCUUUCUUUCUUUUUAUUGUUCUUUUGCUAAUUGAAAUUAUUUUUGCAUAAGUGUGUUUGUUUUACCAUUAAGUUUUUUUUUCUUAUCAUUGUUAAUCAUGAGUACCAUACUUAGACCGUUCCUCCUGAACAUUCUUAAACCACUUCAGCGUGUCAAAACUCAUCUCAAAAAGCAGAUUCAAUUUUGUAAAACACAACGCAUUUGGGCUUUACAACCACCAGAGUUAGUAGCCUAUGUUGAGGGUUUAGAACGCCAACUCAGAGACAUUGAGAGAAGUGUUUACGACAUCCAAUUGGAGCUUGAGGUAAAUUCAAUAAGAGGACGAUUUUAAUUUUCUUUGUGUGUUUUAAUUUGUUUUUCUGUUUGUGUGCUUUAGUUUGUUACCCCGGUGAAGUGGCGGAUAACGGUACUCUGUGACAAUCAAGUCGGUUACUUCAGUUUCCCAUAAUAACUGACAUUCUGAGGCAAAAGUAUGGACAGAAACGAGAUUCUAGCGAAGCUUCACAAGCGAUUCCCUUCACUUCCUCAGAAUGCCCUCCUUAUGAUCUAUAAAGCUCGGUCCGAACGCAUGCGAUUGCUCAUGAGGAAUAACAUACCUGCUGAUAUCCGUUGGUUAAUCGAGGCGAAAGUACGAUCGGCAGGUGAGUUACCUCCAAAAUUUAUUGCAUACAUGUCUGGUUGUGGUAAAGGAAAUUAUGCAAGAAAACGACGAGCUCGACGAAUUUCUGUUGCUUGUCAUAAGUGUGCCAGAAUGAGUUGCAAUAAAAACCCAUGUUCUUUAGGAAUGAUGUCUGAUAACAGGGAAGACAAGAUUCAAUUCAUUAGGGAUGGCUUGAAUAAGGAGUCAUUGGAUGAUAUCCUUUUGUCUCUUGAAACGCAUCCCAGUGGAUAUGUGCAAGGAGCGAUUCUCCAGUUAUGGCUAUUAUUCCAGAAAGAGCAUGCACGAUACAGUCUCGGGAAUCUGACUAUAAACGACCAUGUUUGCCAGUUUGUAAGAAAACUGGAUAGGAAGCCUAUCCUCGACUCAUAGAGGGCGUUCAAGCCGUUUCUGGACGUAAAACCAGAGGAAGAUGUGAGCCACAGUCGCAACUACGUGUAAAUAUCCUUUUACUUUACUGUACUUUUUCCUCCUUACUGUUUGCUUUUUUCCUUAUUACUAUUUGCUUUUUCCUUUUUACUGUUUCCUUUUUGACUCGCGAUCCACGUGCUUUACGCAUUAUUUGACACUGACAUGUUACCUCAUACACCACUAUGACCCACUAUCACCAAGACUCUUAAAUGUGAUUUCUUUUUUGUCAAGCACUCACAAAUUGUUUUUGAGAAGUAUCACAAUGGCCGCUACUCCCAAUAGACAAUUCAAGAACAUUUGUGUGCUUUCUGGAUUUACCUAUGGCAAACAUAAAGAGUUCGUGGAGGCAGCCAUAGAUCUUGGUCGAAGCAUAGCAGCGAGAAAAUUACACUUGGUGUAUGGAGGAGGUAACCGAGGGUUAUAAAAAAUGGUCUCAGAAGCAGCUUUUAUCAGAGGAAGUCAAGUGUUAGGCAUCAUCCCAAGAGUCCUAAAACCAUUGGGCAGUUCGUCUGACUCAUCAACUGGAGAAGAGUUAGUUGUCUCAGGUAUGCAAGAAAGAAUAACUGAAAUGCUUAAUCAUGCUGAUGCUUUUAUUUUCCUUCCAGGAGAUCUUGCAACACUAGAGGCACUUAUCACACUAGCAUCCUGGGCCCAUCUGCACAUCCACCAGAAACUCAUCGGUUUGUUAAAUGUCAAUAACUUUUAUGAUGGCUUUAUCGCAUUUCUUAACCAUGCAAUAAAAAACUACUUCAUUCCUUCCCAUGCGAAAAAACUUUUUAUUUGUGCUCACACUGCUAAUGAGCUACUUGAUCUGUUACAAGCUUAUAGACCGGAGCCAGACCCCUGGACCUUUGUGUUGGAGCGCCCAAAUAAUGAUGGUAACAGUAGCCGCAGUAAGAAGUACAAAUUAGAUUUAACUCUCCGCUUGUGAAUAUUUUCUUUUGUGUUGCACCACCCAGGUGAUGUCUUCUAAACUCUACUUCUUUCCUUUAAAACAUUGAGGACAAUGUUUCGUUCUGGUUGGGGGGAGGGAAUAGUCGACAAUUGUGGAAUCUUGGUUAAGUUUUUACUGAUUUUUUUUGUUGUAGAAACUAACUAUUGCUAACUUUUUGUGUUGAAGAAGGCUGAAUAUGGAGUGUAGUGACUCUAGAAACGCAUCUUCUUCACAGAGAUCAACGAUGCGUACUGUCUUCUAACAGAGGAUGGAGAGCCUCCAACUUUUCAUGAAGCUUUAAACAGUUCAGAUGUUGCUUUGUGGAAGACAGCAAUGCAGGAAGAAAUUGAAGCUCUAUACAAGAACAAGACAUGGGAACUUGUACCACUACCACACGGAAGAAAAUCCAUUGGAAACAAAUGGGUCUACAAGAUCAAACGUGAUGGUAAUGAUCAAGUGGAGCGGUAUCGUGCAAGACUGGUGGUGAAAGGAUAUGCUCAGAAAGAAGGUAUUGACUUCAACGAGAUAUUUUCUCCGGUGGUUCGACUCACAACAGUCAGAAUAGUCUUGGCAAUGUGUGCUACAUUUGACCUACAUCUAGAGCAGUUAGAUGUUAAAACUGCAUUUCUUCAUGGAGAACUUGAAGAAGAAAUUUAUAUGCUCCAACCAGAAGGUUUUGCAGAAACAGGAAAAGAGAACUUGGUUUGCAGGUUGAACAAAUCUCUAUACGGUCUCAAACAGGCACCGAUGUGUUGGUAUAAGAGAUUUGAUUCCUUCAUUAUGAGCCUUGGAUACAACAGACUCAGUUCAGACCAUUGUGCAUAUUACAAGAGGUUUAAAGAUAAUGAUUUCAUCAUUUUGCUGUUGUAUGUGGAUGACAUGUUGGUAGCAGGUCCCAACAAAGAUCGAAUCCAAGAAUUGAAGGCACAAUUGGCUAGGGAGUUUGAAAUGAAGGACUUGGGACCAGCAAACAAGAUUCUAGGGAUGCAAAUUCACCGAGACAUAAAUAACAGGAAGAUUUGGCUUUCGUAGAAGAAUUAUUUGAAGAAAAUCUUGCGGCGCUUCAACAUGCAAGAUUGUAAGUCAAUUUCUACCCCACUUCCUGUUAAUUUCAAAUUAUCCUCAAGUAUGUGUCCUAGCAAUGAAGCAGAGAGGAAGGAGAUGUCUCGAGUACCGUAUGCAUCAGCAGUGGGAAGUUUGAUAUUCGCUAUGAUAUGUACAAGACCGGACAUUGCACAAGCAGUGGGAGCAGUCAGUCGAUACAUGGUGAAUCCUGGUGGAGAGCAUUGGAUAGCUGUGAAGAUGAUUCUGAGAUACAUCAGAGGAACCUCAGAUGUUGCAUUAUGUUAUGGAGGAUCAGAGUUUACUGUCAGGGGCUAUGUGGAUUCAGAUUUUACAGGAGACCUUGAUAAAAGGAAAUCCACUACUGGUUAUGUGUUUACACUUGCGGGAGCAGCUGUAAGCUGGGUUUCGAAACUGCAGACAGUUGUGGCUUUAUCUACAACAGAAGCAUAGUACAUGGCAGCUACACAAGCUUGCAAGGAAGCUAUUUGGAUACAAAGAUUAUUGGAGGAGCUCGGGCACAAACAACAGAAAAUUCUUGUGUUUUGUGACAGUCAGAGUGCCUUGCACAUUGCAAGGAAUCCAGCCUUUCAUUCCAGGACAAAGCACAUAGGAGUUCAGUAUCAUUUCGUUCGAGAAGUAGUGGAAGAUGGAAGUGUGGAUUUACAGAAAAUCCAUACGAAGGAGAACCUAGCAGAUGUUUUGACCAAGCCGAUAAAUACUGAUAAGUUUGUCUGGAGUAGAUCAUCUUGUGGCCUAGCAGAAACGUAGGCAACAUGAUUAUGGCGAAGCAGAAAGGACGGUGUGGAGAUUGAUUGUUUUUCAAUCUAAUCUCCAAGUGGGAGAAAUGUUGAAUAUGGGGCACCACUCUUCUAGAAAUGUUGAAAAUGGGCCCUCUUCUAGAAAUGUUGAAAAUGGGCCGAAAUGCUUGAAGAGGAAAAUGGAAAAAGAAAUGUUUGAAGAAGAAAAUGAGGAACACGGUUUUGACUUUCUUGGCCAUCAUUUUGCUAUAAAUAGAAGUGCAAAUGAAGAGCUUAAGUAUUCCAUUCUGAGAGUAAUUUAGCAGUUGAGAGAGAGUUUAGAGAGCUUGAAUUUAUAAGCUCUUGUUAUAGUGAUUUUGAGAGUUUGGGUGUAUUGGAGUUUUGGGAAGUGAGCUAAAAUACUACAAUACUUGUAACUCCUUUUCACUAGUAAAAUAUUUCCUUCUGUCUUCGCCCGUGGAUGUAGGCUAAAAGCCGAACCACGUAAUUUCUGGUGUCCUCUAGUGUGCUUGUUCUUUAUUUUCUUCCAAUUUUAUUUUAUCUGCGUGUAUGCUUCACCCACCAAUUUCCUAGCAGUGGUAUCAGAGCUAUUGGUUGUAUUUUUUGGAGUCAGGAACUAUUCACGUAAUGGGUACUAUUCACGUAUAUGGCACUAUACACGUACACGAUACUAUUCACGUAUACGGUACUGUUCACGUAUACGGUACUAUUCACGUGAAACGGUGGAAGCGAUCCAAGAAUUUUGCGGUGCAAAGCAGGGAAUAGUGGUGUGAGUAAAGCAACUGUGUGGUUUUGUACAUGUCUAGGAAAGUUCUGUCACAAAGGCGAUAAGAGCUUAAGGAGUCUGGGUUUUAAGUGGGACCAUUGUGACCCCUCAAGUCUUUCCUGGGAACUUUCCUGGUGUGCAUUCUCACACAUACUCACAACUAUUCAAGGUGGUAUACUAGCUUGUGUGCAGUAUUUAUCAACAAAAUAGCGGCAAAGUAUGAAAUUGAGAAAUUUAACGGAAAUAAUUUUUCGUUGUGGAAAAUGAAGAUGAAAGCUGUAUUGAGGAAAAAUAAUUGCUUGGCAGCAAUUGGAGAAAGGCCCAUGGAGAUAACUGAUGACAAGUGGAACGAGAUAGAUGGCAACGCCAUUUCUGAUAUACACUUGGCACUUGCAGAUGGAGUAUUAUCUAGUGUGGCAGAGAAAAACACAGCGAAGGAAAUAUGGGAUACUCUUACAAAAUUGUACGAGGCCAAAUCACUACACAACAAAAUCUUCUUGAAGAGAAAACUCUAUACUCUUCGAAUGGUGGAAUCUACAAUGGUGACCGACCACAUCAACACCUUGAAGACUCUAUUUUCACAACUCACAACGUUGGGUCAUAAUAUAGAGGAAAAUGAACGUGCAGAGCUUCUACUUCAAAGUCUACCAGAUUCAUAUGAUCAACUCAUUAUCAACCUGACGAACAACAAUCCAGUGGACAGUCUAGUUUUCGACGAUGUUGCAGCCUCCAUAUUAAAUGAGGAAAGCAGGCGGAAAAAUAAGGAAAACAGACAAGCAAGUUCGCAGCAAGCGGAGGCGCUAUCAGUGACGAGAGGGAGAUCAACGGAACGUGGCCCCAGUGGGAGUCAAAAUCAUGGUAGAUCAAAAUCCAGAAGUAAGAAGAAUGUUAAAUGCUACAACUGUGGCAAGAAAGGGCACGUAAAAAUGGAGUGUUGAAGUAACCAGAAGAGAAGAGAGGGUAAAGAACCUGAGUCAUCAAAUGCUCAGGGGUGUGUAGCAAGUACCUCAGAUGAUGGCGAAAUACUCUACAGCGAGGCAACAACUGUUUCAGAAGGCAGAAAAUGACUUUCUGAUGUCUGGCUUAUAGACUCAUGAGCUACCUGGCACAUGACCUCUAGGAGAGAAUGGUUCCACACAUAUGAACCUAUCUCAGGAGGAUCUGUAUAUAUGGGUAACGAUCAUGCAUUGGAGAUCGCUGGUAUUGGUACUAUCAAAAUAAAAAUGUUUGAUGGUACAAUUCGCACAAUUGGGGAGGUACGACAUGUCAACGGCCUGAAGAAAAAUCUAUUGUCUUUGGGACAAAUAGACAAUCAUGGGUGCAAAACUCAUGUGGAGAAUGGAAUUAUGAAGAUCGUUAAAGGAGCACUUGUAUUGAUGAAGGCAGAAAAGAUCGGUGCUAAUCUAUUCAUGCUUAAAGGAGAAACACUACAGGAGGCUGAUACGUGUGUCGCAUCAAAUGGAGAAGAGUCAACGAUGAUGUGGCAUCUCAAACUUGGCCACAUGUCAGAACAAGGUUUGAAGAUUCUCUCUGAGAGAAAAUUGCUUCCGGGGCUCAAAUCGGUAAGUUUACCAUUUUGCGAGCAUUGUGUUACAAGUAAGCAGCAUAGAUUAAAAUUCAGUAGAUCUAUUGCUAGAAGUAAAUGCAUUCUAGACUUGAUUCAUUCUGAUGUUUGGGAAUCACCGGAUAUAUCCAUGGGAGGUGCAAAGUACAUGGUGACUUUCAUUGAUGAUUAUUCCAGAAGAUGUUGGGUAUAUCAAAUUAAGAAAAAGUCAGAUGUAUUUCUAGUGUUUAAAGAAUACAAAGCGCGGUUGGAACUUGAAUCUGGUAAAAAGAUCAAGUGCUUGAGGACGGAUAAUGGUGGAGAGUAUACAGAUGGCGAGUUUCUUGCUUUCUGUAAGCAAAAAGGUAUUCAGAGGCAGUUCACGGUGGCAUACACUCUUCAACAAAACGGAGUGGCGGAGCGGAUGAACAGAACUCUUACAGAAAGAAUAAGAGCUAUGUUGAGGACUGCUGGUCUACCCAAUUCAUUCUGGGAAGAAGCAGCCAAAACUGCCUGUUAUAUAGUAAAUCGAUCGCCAUCUACAGCUAUUGGGCUGAAGACAGCGAUGGAGAUGUGGACUAGAAAGCUAGCUGAUUAUUCUUACCUACAUGCAUUUGGAUGUCCUGUGUACAUAAUGUACAAUGCCCAAGAAAGAACAAAGCUGGAUCCAAAAUCUAGAAGAUGUAUCUUCUUGGGGUAUGCUGAUGGAGUAAAGGGGUAUCGUCUGUGGGACCCCACUGCCCACAAGAUCGUCAUCAGCAGAGAUGCUAUCUUUGUAAAAGAUCAACUGCAAAGGAGAGAUGAGGAUGAUGGCACUACAAAAGAAAAGUCAGAGACUGUUCCAGUAUAUGUGGAAAAUAAUCUAGAAGAUUCAGAUUCUUCUGAAGUAGCACCAGAGCACGAGGAACAAGAACCAGUCGACUCCGAGACUCCAGAAGUUUGUCGGUCAACUCGUGAGAGACGACCGCCAACGUGGCACUCAGAGUAUGUCACAGAGAUCAACGUUGCGUACUGUCUUCUAACAGAGGAUGGAGAGCCUCCAACUUUUCAUGAAGCUUUAAACAGUUCAGAUGUUGCUUUGUGGAAGACAACAAUGCAGGAAGAAAUUGAAGCUCUAUACAAGAACAAGACAUGGGAACUUGUACCACUACCACACGGAAGAAAAUCCAUUGGAAACAAAUGGGUCUACAAGAUCAAACGUGAUGGUAAUGAUCAAGUGGAGCGGUAUCGUGCAAGACUGGUGGUGAAAGGAUAUGCUCAGAAAGAAGGUAUUGACUUCAACGAGAUAUUUUCUCCGGUGGUUCGACUCACAACAGUCAGAAUAAUCUUGGCAAUGUGUGCUACAUUUGACCUACAUCUAGAGCAGUUAGAUGUUAAAACUGCAUUUCUUCAUGGAGAACUUGAAGAAGAAAUUUAUAUGCUCCAACCAGAAGGUUUUGCAGAAACAGGAAAAGAGAACUUGGUUUGCAGGUUGAACAAAUCUCUAUACGGUCUCAAACAGGCACCGAUGUGUUGGUAUAAGAGAUUUGAUUCCUUCAUUAUGAGCCUUGGAUACAACAGACUCAGUUCAGACCAUUGUGCAUAUUACAAGAGGUUUAAAGAUAAUGAUUUCAUCAUUUUGCUGUUGUAUGUGGAUGACAUGUUGGUAGCAGGUCCCAACAAAGAUCGAAUCCAAGAAUUGAAGGCACAAUUGGCUAGGGAGUUUGAAAUGAAGGACUUGGGACCAGCAAACAAGAUUCUAGGGAUGCAAAUUCACCGAGACAUAAAUAACAGGAAGAUUUGGCUUUCGUAGAAGAAUUAUUUGAAGAAAAUCUUGCGGCGCUUCAACAUGCAAGAUUGUAAGUCAAUUUCUACCCCACUUCCUGUUAAUUUCAAAUUAUCCUCAAGUAUGUGUCCUAGCAAUGAAGCAGAGAGGAAGGAGAUGUCUCGAGUACCGUAUGCAUCAGCAGUGGGAAGUUUGAUAUUCGCUAUGAUAUGUACAAGACCGGACAUUGCACAAGCAGUGGGAGCAGUCAGUCGAUACAUGGUGAAUCCUGGUGGAGAGCAUUGGAUAGCUGUGAAGAUGAUUCUGAGAUACAUCAGAGGAACCUCAGAUGUUGCAUUAUGUUAUGGAGGAUCAGAGUUUACUGUCAGGGACUAUGUGGAUUCAGAUUUUACAGGAGACCUUGAUAAAAGGAAAUCCACUACUGGUUAUGUGUUUACACUUGCGGGAGCAGCUGUAAGCUGGGUUUCGAAACUGCAGACAGUUGUGGCUUUAUCUACAACAGAAGCAUAGUACAUGGCAGCUACACAAGCUUGCAAGGAAGCUAUUUGGAUACAAAGAUUAUUGGAGGAGCUCGGGCACAAACAACAGAAAAUUCUUGUGUUUUGUGACAGUCAGAGUGCCUUGCACAUUGCAAGGAAUCCAGCCUUUCAUUCCAGGACAAAGCACAUAGGAGUUCAGUAUCAUUUCGUUCGAGAAGUAGUGGAAGAUGGAAGUGUGGAUUUACAGAAAAUCCAUACGAAGGAGAAUCUAGCAGAUGUUUUGACCAAGCCGAUAAAUACUGAUAAGUUUGUCUGGAGUAGAUCAUCUUGUGGCCUAGCAGAAACGUAGGCAACAUGAUUAUGGCGAAGCAGAAAGGACGGUGUGGAGAUUGAUUGUUUUUCAAUCUAAUCUCCAAGUGGGAGAAAUGUUGAAUAUGGGGCACCACUCUUCUAGAAAUGUUGAAAAUGGGCCCUCUUCUAGAAAUGUUGAAAAUGGGCCGAAAUGCUUGAAGAGGAAAAUGGAAAAAGAAAUGUUUGAAGAAGAAAAUGAGGAACACGGUUUUGACUUUCUUAGCCAUCAUUUUGCUAUAAAUAGAAGUGCAAAUGAAGAGCUUAAGUAUUCCAUUCUGAGAGUAAUUUAGCAGUUGAGAGAGAGUUUAGAGAGCUUGAAUUUAUAAGCUCUUGUUAUAGUGAUUUUGAGAGUUUGGGUGUAUUGGAGUUUUGGGAAGUGAGCUAAAAUACUACAAUACUUGUAACUCCUUUUCACUAGUAAAAUAUUUCCUUCUGUCUUCGCCCGUGGAUGUAGGCUAAAAGCCGAACCACGUAAUUUCUGGUGUCCUCUAGUGUGCUUGUUCUUUAUUUUCUUCCAAUUUUAUUUUAUCUGCGUGUCUGCUUCACCCACCAAUUUCCUAGCAUUAACUAAAUAUUUUUUAACCAUAUAUGUAUAGUUGGAUUAAAUAGUGGAGAUUACAACAAAACAUAUGCGAAUUAGUUGUGAUGUUGAGUUCAGAAGAUUGAAGUUAAAAAAAUUAAAGGUUUCUUGAUCAAGGGAAAUUUCAAAAGAGUGAAGCGUCUUCUAGAUCAAGACGAAAAUAAGGAAAGGGUAAGGGUGUAUUUUCAAAGUGAUUCUAUUGAAAGAUCUUUGAAGAUUACUUUCGUUAAGAGCAGGAUCCCACACUCUUGAGCCUUUGUCGUCCCAGUCAACUAUAAAGACACAUUAUUAUUGAGUAUGAACAUUGCGACUUAUAGAUCACCAAAUUUUCAAACUUAUGAUCUUCGUUGAAUCUGCAAUCCCUUUUGAAAAAAAAAAAAAAAAAAAAGGAAAACUGCAAAUAAUGAAACAAAAUUCUGUUCCUUGAUAGAGUUACGCGGCUUCAACUUGCAAGUGCUGUCGGCAUUUUCAAACUUGUAAGACCCUUCAACUUGCUUUCCAAGAUAGCUAUAAUCAAUAAUGACAACCGAAGACGGCUACGUUUGCGGUACAAAAGUUGCACCAUAUUAGACGUUCUUUUUAGGGAUGGCAAUGGGGCGGGGUGGGGGUGGGGAUGCCUACCCCAUUCCCCACCCCAUUAAAAUUUUUUGCCUCCAUUCCCCACCCCAUUCCCCAAUAAAUUUAGUGGGUUGGGGAUGGGGAAUCCCCACGUGGGGAAUGAUUCCCCCAUCCCCACCCCAUUCCCCAUUUACAUAUUUUAUAGUAAAUAUAAAAAUAUGAUUUCAGUAAAUUAAAAAUUAGAGACUUAAGAUAAAAUCAUCACAAUAUUAUAAAGUAUUUAAUUUUAAAAAAAAAUCUCUAAAAAUUUGAAACAAUAUCUUAAAAUGAUAUUAAAAGUGAAAAAUAUUUAAAGAAAGCAGCACCUUAAAAGAGAAAAGAAAAUAUAUUAAUGUUUUAAAGUUGAAAAAUAUUGUAGAAUUUUCUUUUAUUCAUAUUCUAUUUAUAUUACAUAAAAAUUAAAAAAAAAUUAUUAAUUGACAUUAUAGUUGAUAAAAUACAAAUUAUUAAAUAAGAAUUAAAAACAUAUUUAUAUAUAAUGGGGAUUGGGGUGGGGGUGGGGUGGGGAGUGCAAUACCAAACCCCACCCCGUUAACAAUUUGGGGAUUACUUUUCUCCCACUCCCCACCCCAUUCCCCAAAAAUUAUUAAAAAAUUUCCCCAUUUGGGGUGGGGCUCCAUGGGGCCCCAACCCGUGGAGGAUUUUGCCAUCCCUAGUUCUUUUUUGUUCUUAUCCGAAGUAACCGUUGGAUUCAAAGGAAAGUGAUCAGACAUUCAAUAGCUUCACACGUGGACAUUAUAGGAUACCGGUCAAAUCGGUUAGUGCUCCUCCACAUCAAACUCACAAGCAUGGCUAUCAUCGUAUCAGCUUGGAAACUUGUUACAAGUGACGAAGAGCAACAGGGUCCGCUCCUCUAGAGUCGGUUAGUGCUCAAUAAUGUUACAGGUUUUAUAAUCUAUGUAACUGGUACGAUCGCUGUCUCAAGUGGUAAACUUUUGAGGCACAAAUUUAGAACGAAAAGUUUCCAAUAAAAUAAGUUAUUUAAUUAAUUAAAUAAGAAUAAAAUGAAUUUGUAAAAAAAUUUUAAAUUUAAUUUUGAAUUAUUUUGACCAAAAUUUAAGUUUUUUUUUUUAAUUUGUUUAAGAAAAUGUGUUGUAAUUGUCUUGUUUUAAUUGGAAAAUCAAUGAAAAAAUUAUGUAAAAAAAAAAAAAAGCAAAACGCUUUGUUUUGGAUGGAGGCCAUAGAUUCCAAUAUUUCCUUAACGAAAACUACAAAAAAAUUAUCAAAGGCAUCAAUUUCUACACUCUCACCGAGCAAUACUCUUAUGCUGUGUUUACUUGCUGGAGUGGGAGUGAGGAGUGUGGAUUCCUCCCACUCCAGCGUUUACUUACUCAAAAUGGGGAGGGAUUAGGAAUCUCACUCCGUGGGCCCCAUCCAUUUUUGAAGUGGGGAGUGGGAGUGGGACUCCGAUUGGGGGAGGUGGGAGUGGGAAUCCACCCCCACCUCUCCCAUUUCUACCCUUUUUUUUAAUUUUAUGUUUUAUAAUUAAUAAAAUAAAAUAAAUAAUAUUAUAUUUAUUUGAAUAAUAUUAUUAUAUUUAUUUGAAUAAUAAUAUUAUAUUUAACUAAAUAAUAAUUUACAUUGAUUCUAAGUUAAAAUUAUUUUAAAAUAAUAUUAUUAUAUUAAUAGAGAAUUAAUAAAUAUAAUAUUAUUAUAUUUAUUUUAAAAAUAAUAGUACUAUAUUUAUUUAAUAUUAAUAAUAAUAAAUAGUUUAUUCUAAGAAAAUAUUAAUUUUGUACUAAAUAAUAUUAUUUUAUUAUUUUAUAUAAUAAUAAAUUUAAUAUAAUUAUAUUAAAUAAAAUAAAAUAACAUUUCAUUUUAUAUUAAAAUUAAAAUUAAUAAUUUAUUGUUCAUAAUUAAGAAUAUUAAUAAUUAUAAUAAAUUUACAAAUAUAAUAAAAUAAAUAUUAUUCAUUAAAUAUAUUUUUUAUUAGUUUUGUAAUUAAAAACUAUAAUUCUUUAAAUAAGGAUAAAAUUGUAAUUUGAAACUAUUUACUCCCAAUCCAAGACAAAGUAAACACAUAAAUUGAAUUCUGAUCUCCAUUCCAUACUUCUAUUCAAGUGUAAGUAAACAACCUACUCUCACUCCCACUCCACACUCUCAAUCCUAGGAUUCCCACUCCUCAGGAUUCCCAAUCCAAUCCAAAAAAUAAACGCUACCUUAACCCAGAAGGAAGUGUAUAAACCAACCCCAAUCAGUCCAUCAAUGUCGUCAACCUCAUACAGCAUAAAAAAAAUAUGUGUCCAUUAAACCGCCAUUUUUUUUUUUUGGUUAAACCACGAGGUAUCCUGGUAGGGCCCCAACUGUGGGAGGCACCUUUAAGCCCGUACCACAACCCAGACUAUAGCUCCCCGCUCGCACGUUGUGGCUAGUGCUCCCAACAAAUGCGACUUCUCUGCGACUCGAACUGGGGAGCAAACCCAGUCAAACCACUUAAGGGGGCUCCAGUUGCCAGAGGAGCCAACACUUUGUUGGUAUUAAACCGCCAUUUAAACUGACUUUAUUGAGUCAUUAGACUAUUGGUGUCAUCUUCCCAUCUCGUUGUAGCAUUUUACCGUUCAAAUCUAGUUAUCAAUUGUGGAAAAUGGGGACCAAUCUGCAAGUCUUUAAAAUAGAAAGAAACUUUAAUUGGGCACUAUGUUCACGGUAGUGGACACAGCAGCAGCUAUUUGUGCUUUAAAAAUUAUUUUACACUCUAAUUUUAAUAAAAAUAUAUAUUACAAAAUUACUUAUCAUAUAAGUUACUGGAUAAUAUAUUAUAAGUCAACAUUAUAUAAUUACUUUGAACACUUAUAUAGCCCAAUCCUAAUUCAAUUUAUUAUUCUCAUAACUUAAAUAUAAGUCAACAAUAUAAGGGGGUUGUGACAUGGGUUUAAACAUGAUUUAACAAGUGCCACCUGUGAAUUGUCAGAGAUUGUAUUUUCAUACACAUGUCAAAUUUUCAAGUCCAACAAAUUGUUAUCUUUCUAAAGAGGCUAAUAUUAUUAUUAUCUAUGCAUAGCAUGCUAUAAACAAUUCAUAUUCUGUACACAACAUAUGGACAGAGGAACAAAUCCCUGAGCUAAAAUCAUCAUAUUCUAAAAUAUUCUAUUAAAUCAACACCACAAAACGCGAACGCUAAACAGAAUUGGAGCAAUUUACCAAAGCUAUUUGUCACGCAAAGCACUAGUACCUCAGAACCCAAUUUGCAAAAAAGCACCAAAAAUGAAAAAUAACAAAUGCCCAGAUGAAAAAUCAGGAAAAAAAAAAAUGCUCAAAUCCAAAUUACAACCCCAUAAGCUGAGUUGUUCUCUUCGAACUGAAUUAAAAAAAAAUUAAAUAGGGAGAUUGACCUCAAACUUUGGAAACAGAAGCGACAGCGAUCUGUUUCUUGUCUGGAGUGUCCAUUUCUAUAAUCUACUUUGUCCGCUUUCAGUCGCUCUGCCACAGAGCUUCUUCCCUCUGAAGCUGAAGCUCACACACACUUGCAAAACGAAAGCAUUUUUUAUUGAUUGAGAGGCGGGAAGGCGGGAAAAUGAGAGAAAUUUGCAUUUGUUUUCUCUUGGUUUGGUCAUACCUGUGCGGGCCCCAGCUUGACAAGCGGUAUUAUUAUUAUUUGUAUAAUUUACAUGACGCGUGUCACGCAAUGACGAUAAAAAAUAUAUAUAUAUAUUGUUAAUUUUUCACUUAACAUUGAAAUAUCAUAUAAUUUUUCCAAUUUUAUGGUUAUUUUCUCGCCCUUAUGCCACAUUCUUUUGAUCAAAUAAUACAGUAAAACUUUUCUAUAAUCAUAAUAUUAAAGCCAAAUUAGCUUUAUUUAUGUAAAGAGGCUAUAGCUUAAUAAAGGUAAAAUUAUAAAAAUUAUUAUUUUGACUCAGUUAUCUUUAGUGUAAGUGAUAUAAAGUAUAAAUAUAUGAUAAUUAAUUAAUGAACUAUGUCAAAUACAAUAUGCUGACAAUGAUAAAAAAGAUAGACAUAAUUUCAAGAAACUAAUACAUAUAUUUAUGUAGUGCUGGGAUUAUACAAAAUCAUCUUAAAAGUGUAAAGUAUUAUUCUGAUUAAUUUAAAAUAAUUAUUAUUGGAUUCAAAUCAUGUCCUAGGCAUUUUUUCUUCUAGUUGGAGCUUCCAUUUGUUCUAGAGAUUCAAAGGCAGCAAGCUGCUUCCCCAGUGCUACUAAUUCUUCCCCGGCAUUGCAUGUGUAGCCUGAGGCUUGUCUACCAGACAAAGUUGCUCCUUCCAUACUAUCUAUGUAAUCCUGUGAGAGUGAAACCAUUUAGAAGACAUAUCUCUUUUUUUCCAAUAUUUGGAAUGAAACAAUUAUAUACAGUUACCUGUUUUGUAUAUGAGCUGGCGAGGAAGAAGUUCUUCACUGGUAUCUUUUGAUCAGGUCUGAAGGGGUCUUUACCAGGUCCCUCACCUCACAAAGAUUGCCGGAUUUUGACGACAGAUAACCAAAUAACUUCUAAACCUUGGGAUGAUGGAAAUAGAGCUAAAACCUAAUAAAAGGAACCGUGAAUGGAUAGUAUGGAUUCAUGUAUAUUAUCCAGAAAGUUGCAUGACCUUUUGUGGUACUCAGGUCACUAAAAAACGUGAGAUAAACAUCUAGGAUAAGAAAAGCAAAAAAGCAUAACCUAAUACGUAUUAUAUGAAUUGAAGGUGUCACUGAACACUACUAACCUGCUUUGCCACUCUCCUUAUGAUUUCAUCAUUUGAUAAGGGCAUAUAAGGAUCUCCAGGCGUCAAAACGCAUCUGAAAGAUAAUAUGGUUAUAGGAAGCAAGAUGGAAUACAAAGACACUUGGCAAAAGGAAGUCAAUCAGAUUCCAUGCACAAAAAAUAACUAAUAAUGACGAGGAUAAGAAAUGUUUCUUACUGGAGAAAUGAACCUUGCCCUUCUCUGUAGUAGUAUUCUGGUGAAGUGAGUGCUAGAUCUGCAAAGCAAGGGAAAUCUGCAUCUGGAGUAUAUAAAAGGUUAUCUAGCCCCACAGCUUGCUUCUAUUGCCUACAUGUUCAAUACAAGGAUCCGUUAAAAAAUGGAAAUUUCUUCAAUGCAUUAGUAAAGGGGAGUGAAGUGAAAGCUGAUUUCUUAGGCCUUCACAGAGCAUCUUGUGUUUGACAGCAAGCACUAAAGAAUAAACUCAAAGUCAGUGCUUCUAACAGAUGAUAUAAACAACAAAUUUACAAAUAUCAGGUCAUUGCAUUAGCUCCAUGCCUCCAUCAGAGCGAACAUUAAUAGAUGCGUAAAAAAAAAAUAAGAGCCAUAUGUGAAACAAUUUACCUUAGACAUGGCAAGUCCUUUGACAAAUGUUUCCCCGUUAGCAAAUUUAUCAUAAUGCAUCUCUCUGCAUCCCCACCUAAGAUGGAACCUGUUCUCACAAGAACAGACUCCAAGGUUGGGAAAAUCAAUUGAUCAUCGGAGAAAACAAACAGGAUUAACAAAUCACUACAAUGGUGUGAACCCGUAAAUACAAAUGUACCUGCCCCCUUUAUUUGCGAUAUAUUUUCUUAUUGGCCCAAUCAAAUAAACAUCCGGAGAACCCUUGAGCAUCUGUAAUAGGGAAGCCUCGGUCUUAGUCGCAAACAGUGCAAAUAUAGUAUGCAUACAACGAGCAAUGAUGUUAUCACAAUCAAUAAACCCAAGGGCAAACGCAACAGAAUCUUACAUUCUUUGGAUACUCAUCCAUGUACCACCCUUGGACAAAAACCAAUCAGAGAAGCUUAUCUGUAAGAAGAAAUGAAGUUUUAGGUAAAAUAAAAAUUUGUAGGAACAGGGAUUGAAAUUCAACAAACAAGAGCAAUAGCAUUUCUUGAUUUAUCAUAAGUCUGCACUUGAAAUUCAAGAAGUGCCUUUACAACAGGACUCAGCGCAAGAGCAAUAGCAUUUCUUGAUUUAUCAUAAGUCUGCACUUGAGCAAUAUACGAGGCAAAGUACAUCAAAAGAGAAUCCAAAAGAGGCAAGAAGCUUCAACAUGAAAAAAGGAGUACUGCCUCGUCAUACUGCUUUGCAAUCACAGUGCAAAAGAUAACAUCAACAAAAUCAAAAUCGAGCAUAAAUCCGUAUGCACUACCUUAAGCUGAUUUGUAGACAAAAAUGCAUGAAUCCCAUGUAAUGGAGCUCUAAUCGGAAACCGGAAAUCAAGUUCUGGAGUUGAAAAUCAAAAUCAUGAAUCAAAUCAGAGUUGUUAUUGAAUUAGACAAUCCAUAAACCAAUAGAAGGUGAUGUCAAACCAUCAAGCAUAACUAUUAGUUGUUUUAAGUGAUCAAGAAAUAACUAUACCACCAAUUUCACCACCCUUAUUUACAAAUUUAUGAGUAUGAUCCUUCAUGAGUAAAUUUUCGUCCGCACCGACCUGUCGACAUCCAUGAAAAACUAUCAGAUCAUAAACACAGGUUCCAGUUAAAGAGGAUCUAUGAUUCUGAUCCAUCAUGUUAUUUGAACAACAUAUUCGGAUUUUCUUACAACCCUAAGCUUUUAUCAGUUAUCAUCGCUACAAAUGAUAUGGUCAAGAGGAAUGAUAGUUCUUGUUUCAAGAAUCUCAAAUCGUAAUUCUUUUGCAUGGCUUCUGUGCUUUUAUAAUCAUUCAAACACGCAUAUCCACAACUAAGCAAGCUUUACCUUUUUUGUCAAUCGGAACAGAUUAUUGUAGCAUCCAAAGAAAACGUGCAGGCUGAUUUCAAUAUGGUUUCCACGUUUACAGACAAAUGAAGCCACUUUACCACCAAUAAAAGACCUCAACUCAUAUAUAUCCACCUGGAAGAAAGGAAAAGUUUAAAAAAAAGGAAUAAAAAUUCUUCUAAUUUCUUUCACCAUCAACAAAAUCAGAAAAACACAUACUAAUUCAAAAUGAAAUAAAGUUUGUGAAUUGAAAUAAUGCCAACUCCUAAGAAAAAUUAUGACUGCUGAUAUUUUUUCCGAAAUGCUGAUAAAAGCUUCUGCUAUUUACUUCGAAAAAAUUGAGGUUAGAAGCCUAUUUACUUGAAAUUUUGAGUUUAGGCAAGAGGAUGAAUGGUAAAAGUGAAACAUUUUAGGGAAAAAUGUACGUCAGAGGCCAAUGAAAGCAUUCAGAAGAUUGAAAUCUAAAUGAGCAAAACCCCGUGGCCUUGAUCCAACAAAUCCACUGCUGUUGACAUGCCUGCAAGCCCAGCUCCAAUAAUAGCCACUCUCAGCUUUGGUCCUCUAUAAUGUUCCGGUUCUGGUAGAAACAAACCCUUGGGAGCUGCCAAGUAUACCAUCCAAUUAUCCACAGCGAUAAUGGAAAUAUAUAUGUGUUUAAAGGUACUAAAUUCCUAAACAUGAAAUGUAUCCAAAGAGAGACACAAAGCAGAAUUGUGAAAGCAUUUCAAUUCCCAAUAAAUUUUAAGAAUACAAAAUACUCGGUCUGUUCCUCAAUUCCUUUAAUAAAAUUUCCACUAGAGGCUACGGAAGCCACUCAAUAACACUCCAAAGCCAGAUUUUAAACGUUAUCUUUAUCUUUAACUCCAAUCCAUAAACAAUUCUGCCACAAAUUCAAUCCAAAAUUGUUCAAGUGCACCGCCAAUUCUCCGUCAAUUCCCUCAAAAAUUCAUAAUUGGCAAACACUACAAACCCAAAAGAGCUUCCAGCAAUAAACGCAUAAAAAUCCACCAAGCAACAGAAAACAAAAUACCCAGAAACCAGAAAAGCCAAAAGAUCAAUGCUUGGCAAACAAGCAAAUCAAAUAAAACAAAAAGAAGAGAAAUUUACCAUUAACGCUCAUAUCAGAAACAUUAGCGUCCAAAGAAGCCCGUACACGGAAUCUUGGACCCUUCACUUGAACCCGAGACCAUGUAACGCCAGUAACUGAAGUUGCAGGAAACAGAACUGAAGAACCCAUAUUGCAAAUCCUGAGCUGAAAUCAAAGAAAUUCAAUUGGAACUCAAUUCAGCUCAACCGAGCGGCGCUCUCUUUUGCUUCAAUAACAAAGUAUUUUUCUUUCAUAUCAACAAAGAUUUGUCAACAUCAACAAAAUUUAACUAAGAAACUAAAAUAAUGAGGUAUCUUUGAGUUUAAGAAUCUAACAAGAUGCUAAGGAAGAGAGUUUUGUCAGGGAACUGUUUCGGAGAGGUUGGCCAAGUGGUUCUUUGUUUUUUUCUUCUUUUUUGGCCCUUUUCAUUAAUACACAACAGUAGUACUCGUGAAGAGCACAAAAUGUUGGUGACUUUGUCACUAACGAUACCAAAGUGGAGUGACCAGAGCAACCAACUAAAUUUUAAAGAGAGGGAGUGAUAAGUAAUAUUUUCUUUGGGUGAUUAAUUAAUUUAUUAUCAAAUAAUUUUAUUUAUUUAAUUAAACGACAUCCUUAUCUUUGUACAAGGCUGAUGAAAGACGACGAUGUUGUGUUGUCACAUAUUUUUGGGCCGACCGUUUCUUGUUUCGGCUUAAAUGAGGCUUUUGUAAUUUUGUGCUGUUUUUUAACUGAGUAUUUUGUGCUAAAUUACGCCAAAGAAAAAGUGUAAUUGUUAAAAGAUCUGCUGACACUCAUAACCUCUUAAGCGGAAUUUAUAAUGUGACAGUAUUGAUAUCUAAGUUCAUAAUAUCUAUGGGAGUGAUAAAACGAAUAAAUGAAUCGAAUCGUAAAUGAAUUUAGUUAAAAUUUAAUGGAUUUGAAUUCGAUGUGUUAUCAAGCGAAUCAUAAUUUUAAGAUUCAAACUCAAUUCAUUUAUUUAAUGGAUAUCUAUUUAAUUCGUUUAUUGUAAAAACUUAAACAAAUUGAGUUGAAUUUGGAUUCGUUUACAAUUUGUUUAAUUCAUUUAUGCAAAAUUAAUAAUAAAUCAAUCAAAUGUGGAUUUGUUUAAAAAAUAAUAAUAAUUAAUAAAAAAAAUAAAGUAAAAUAAAAUAUAAAAAAUCAUAAAAUUAACAACCUACAAAAUACAAACAAAUUAGUGACCCCAAACUCGGAUUCGAUUCAUUUAUUUAAUGAAUUGAAUUGAAUUCACUUAUUUGUUAAUGAAUUAUUUUUUUAAAAUUCAGACCUAUUUAAUUUGAAUCUAAUAAACAAAUCCUAACCUAAAUUGCCAUCUCUAAAUAUGAUGGACCUACUUAAAAUAUAUGAAUACCAAAAUGUGUGGGCUAAAAAGUGGUUUACCAUGCAGCAAUAAGAAUUUUAAGCUCUCUUUUCUUAUGUCACCCAAGGCAUUGGCUGGAUGGCCAAACAGCAGAGUUCAAGUCUACAAUAGAGAAUCGAAAUUUUCCUUUGUAAAUGUUCGUAAGUAUUUAGCAUAGAUUUUUAAGUUAUUCUUGAUAGAUCCCCUACCACAUACGCUAUAAUAUUUCUCUUCUUUUAAUUUAAAAGUAAAUCAUGCAUAAUAACGGGUUUGUAAAGAAAUGAAAUUUCUGGUAAUUAACUGUCAAAAAAAAAGGAUGGAUUAAGCGAAAGAAGUUAAUAUAGAGUUAAGUCGAGUACUUGACAAUAGGGGUGUUCGCGGAUCGGAUUUUACAGAUUAGACAUCAAUCUAUAUCUGAUCCAUAAUUUUACGGAUUAUAAUUUUUCAAUCCAAUCCAAUCCACAGAUUGAUAUAAUUCAAUUCAAAUCCAAUCCAUACAUCUGCAGAUCGGAUGCGAAUUUGACUCAAUCCAUAUCCAAUCCAUAAGUCUGCGGAUCGGAUGCGGAUUUGACUCAAUCCAUAUCCAAUCCACCAUUUUGCGCAUUAGUUUUCGAAUUAAAAAUUUUUAGUUCUCUCCAACUAAUGAAAUAAAAAAAAAAUCUAAUAUAAAAAUAAUUUUGCUACCAAUUAAAUUUAAAAUUGAAUAAAAUUUAAAUAAAUUAAUUGUUUAAAUAAAGCUAAAAAAAUACAUUUAAAAUUUUAAAAUAUAACACAUCGAGACUAAUUAUUCAAAUAAAGCUACAAUAAUACGUUCAAAGUUUCAAAAUAUAAUACACCAAGCUUAAUUGUUCAAAUAAAGUUACAAUAAUACGUUAAUAUAACACCGAAAUUAAUUAUUGAAAUAAAGCCACAAUUAAUUGAAAUGACGAAGCUUCGGAAACCAAACACAGUCUAAUCCUUUACCAGGGCUGUUGCGCUUGUCGAAAAGUGGUGAUUACGGAGCCGUCCACGAUGGGAACUAGGAGAAGUCGUCGAGUGGCAAUCUUGAAGGUUGUGAUAAUGAAAUUGUUCAGCUGGAACCAGUGAAUGUGAAGUGGCUCGGUGGACUUGGGAAAGAAGAUGGCUUGCUCUCGCUGUAAUCGCGCGGCCGAUGUCCUUCAAAUCCGUGUCGAGAGUGUAUCCAACCAGUAUUGAAUGUUGCUAGUGUGUGUCAUGGCGGGGAAGCUUAGGGUUUUUUGUUUGCAAAUUAUUUGUGACUUAGCGUCAUGUUACUUUACUUUUGGGUGACUUUGCAAAUUGUUGGUGAUUUGGCGUUAUGUUACUUUGCUUUUGCUAAUGUGUGUGACUUUGCUUUUAUUUUGUUUUACAAUGUCUACAAGUUAUAUUUGUAUAUUUGAUUAUUUAAUUAUUUUUUAUUUUAUAUUAUUAUUGGGUAAUGGCUAAGAUAUGUUAUAGUGUUUAUGUAACUAUGUAAUGUCACAUUUAUAAUUUUUUUAAUUAAAUUUAUAAUAAUUUUUUAAUUAUAUAUAAAUAUAUAUAAUUAAAAAAUUAUUAUAAAUAUAUAUAAUAUUAUUAGAAACUAUUAACAACGGCACAAAAUGCCUGUGAUAAUGAAACAAUGUGCCAUCCUUAAACUAAUAUUAUUAGAAACUAUAAGUGAAAGUUUUCAGAAAACACGCACGUGAUAAGUUUUCUCCUUUGUUUUGAUUUACGCGAGAGAUAGUUGUAAAGCGUAAAAUUUUAAAAUCCGUAACAAAACAAAAACUUACAUGGGUUGGGCGCACCAUGUGCAUACCAAAUUAGAAUAAUUGACGAAUCGUAAUAAAAAAUUUAUAUAUAAGAAUUGAAUGAGAUCCAUGGUUCACAAUUGCAAAUUAAAGGUUGGUUUUAUAAUAAAAAUCUUUUUGUGCAUACCAAAUUAGAAAAGAUUAUAAGUAAAUUAAGAUUUUCAAAAUUUGACUAGUAUUAUAUUACGUUCAUCAAUAAAAUAUAAAUUUGUUAUAUAUAUAUUUUAUUCUGUAACCAAUGCUUUCAAAAACUUUAUACUUAUAUGUUUGAACAACUUUUUUCGUUUUCUAUUUAUAUACGAUAUCAUUUAUGUUUACAUAAAUUUUCAUAUGUACCCAAAUUAAGCAUUAAAUACACACACUUUGGUAAGACACAUUAAUUUCUAGUAUCAGACAAUGAUAUUAUAUUGAAUGUAAUGCUUCAAUGAAUUUUAUUACUAUAUACUAAAAUACUCAACGAUCUCCAUUAAAAAAAGAAAAGAAAUUGCAUGAUUAGAAUGAUUAAAGAUCAUUUGAUGAGGAGUUUCAUCAUUAACUGUGUCGAAACACAGCAGCAAUCCACAAUACACUUAACAGGAGAGGGGCACACAAGCAUGCAUGAAUCUUCCACCAUUAAACCUGAAAUCAUAAAAUAAAAGAAACAAGAUGAGUGUUGUUUUACGGUCUGAAAGCCGAUUCCAAUUAAUAAUAAUAAUAGUAAUAGUAAUAAACCUUUGUUAAUAAUUACUACUAGUUGUCUCUGCCUUUUGCAUCUUCCUCCUUUGUAUCAUCGUCCUCUUCCAAUCACACGGCUAGACCAGUAUGUCUCGAGAAUCUUUACUGCCUUCUCAGAGAUCCCGUUGACGUCACGACUUCGUAGAUUUUCAAUCUUUUCUAAUCCCUCAGCCUCCUCAACCAACUGGGCAUAUUGAUUAAAAUCUCCAACGGCGGUACCCGUAUUCAUUUCAGCUACCCCGACCUUCAAAAUGUUCUCUAAUCCUUCUAAGCAAACAGUGACGAUCUUUGGAUCAGCACAUUGAAGGAGACCACACAAUGGUUUUAUACACCCCGUUCUCACGAGGUACUUGAUUUGAUCAUGAGUGCCACGCGAGCUGGCAUUCGAAAUUGCCCAAGCAGCCUCCUUCUUUGUAUCAAAUUCAGCAUUUUGAAGUAGAUUGACAAUGGGACCAAUUAAGCCGGAAUCAAUUACCGCCUGAAUCUGCUCCCUGUUUCCAGCUGUAAUAUUUGAAAUAAUCCAGCUAAUCUUCUUCUUGAUGAUCUCUUCAUGAUUAUGGACUAAAAUGUCCAAAAAGUAUGGCAGUGCACCACAGUUAAUUAUAUACUGAGUCUGGAAAUCAUCUCCCGUCACAAUAUUUCCAACAGUCCCCAGGGCAGGGGCAAGCACUGAGGAUGAUGAGUGACCAAGGAGCUCAACAAGUCGUGGACAGACACCUGCCUCGAUCACAGCUUGAAUUUUGUCAUUCGUACCAUCAGCAAGAUACGCGAGUGUCCAACAGGCAUAUGUCAAGACCUCUUCAUCGUUUGAACGAAUAAGCUGUGCAAGCGCCGGGAGAGCUGGCCUUACCUGAUCAAAUGGUGGCUGUGGCAUGCCCCUGCAUAAAUUAGACAAUGUCCAUGUGGCAGUUCUCAGCAUUGAAAGCUUAGUGUGGUCCUUUAAUUGCUCCAGCACUGGAAUCAAAGCUUCUUCGCGAAGCACAAGAUUACGGCAUCCAAGUGAGUCACCACCAAUAUUUCCCAUUGCCCAAACAGCCUGCUCGCGGACAUCCUCACUUGGAGAAGCAAGUAGUUUCACAAAUAUUGGAACAGCACCGUCGUCAAUCACCACCUUAGUGUUCUCUGAAGUUCCAGAAGCAAUGUUUGUAAGAGCCCAAGCAGCCUGAAAAUGAAGUUGCGGAUAGUCUACCCUCAUAAGAAACUCAACAAAGCGCGGGACAACGCCAGAUUGUAUGACUUCAUCAAUUUGUGGACUCCUCUCAAUCGAAAGUAGAUUUCGGAACCAAGUAGUUGCUUCCAGCUGCAAGCCGCUGUCAUCUGACCAAACCCCAGCAACCAUCCUGUGAAAACUCGCGUACUUGUUUUAGGAGCAGGAGCAGGAGGAGGAAAUUAAGUUAGGGAUUUGGAGUGAGAGUGAAGGUGGAGAAAAAGCAAGAGAGGGAAAAAGUUGAUUGUUGAGAAAUAUAUACCUUUCGUAUGGUUGUGUUAAGGUCGUCCUUCCAAUCCCAACAUGCUUCACCCCGCCGCUCCACUUUGUGUAAUUUGGGUGUACUUAAUUUUCCUUCAGAGAAAAUCUUCAUAUCGGGGCAAUCAUCCACCACUAAUCUUUCCAAAGAUGGGAAAUUGAAAGCACAAUUGCCAGAGCAGAAGCUUGUCAGACUUUCUAAGAGUAAAAGCUUCAACUCCUUCAAUUCUCUGAAAGUAAUAACCUCAUCUUGUGCUACAACAUCAUCCCCCAGUACUAUUUCUUUUAUCUUAUCGCAUGAUGCUAUCUCCAUAUAUCUAAGUCUCACCAGAGUCUUUGCAACUGAGGAUGUUAUUACGAUUUUCAAGUUGUUGCAACGCGAUACCACCAGAUUUGUAAGAUUCUGAAAGGAUGUCGACGAUGGCACUAGAUUGACCAAACGGUCACACCCCUUUACACGUAGAAUAACCAAGUUGUUCGUAACAGAGGACUCCUCUAUCAAAAUGUGCUCCAGUUGAUAUUUUGCUUCUAUUAUUUCUACCCUCAUCCCAUUUUCAACCUUCUCUUCCGGCAACCAAGCAUCAAGUCCUCCUAUUUGGAGGAGUUUCAUUGUGUGAAGUCUCUGGAGGAAGUCACCAAGCGAUAAAAUAGUCCGCUCAUCAUCCAACUCCACAAAAAUAUAUUUUAGUUUGCAAAGCAAGUCUUCAGAAAAUAGAUAUUUAUUUGUUACUACGUGCUUUGCAUCAACUUUCAACUCUUCCAAAUUAGGGAAUACCUGGGAGAUUGAUCAGAGCCCAAAAAAAAAAAAAUACAAGAUGAAUCAAUUGAUGAGAAUUAUAAGUUACCACUAAUUUAUAAAAUAUAUUUUAUAAAUUAGAAUAAUUAUGAAUGAAUACUAUACACUAAUCUAGAAUAAUUAUGAAUGAAUACUAUACACUAAUCUGUAAGAGAGUUACGUUGCUAACAAUUUGACUUUUAGUAAGAAACCAAGCGAUAAAGGCAAAGGCAAUAUAACUCUAAACUCUAUGAUAUAAACUCUCACAGAAUAAGAAUUGAAAAAUUGAUUAUAAAAUUCUUGUACGUACCCUUUCCGUGAAGAUACUAGUAGUUCUUUUGUAUCUCGCCAUGAAUUCAGGACAUGCAGAUAUCCAUAAUUCUUUCAAGGAUGGAAAUUCAAGAAUAUCAAGAUCUCCAGUGCAGAAGCUUGUGAUCUUUUCAAGAUCAGACAUCUCCAGAUAUUGCAACAGAGGAAACAUUACAAUAUUAUUCUUCCUUUCUUCUUGGUUGUCCACGACUAUUAACUCUUCCAGGACAGGACAUUUACUUAUCUCAAUGCUUUGGAGUCGAACAAAGCUACUAACAGUAGAAGAUGAAAAUAGACAUCUUAAAUUCAUACAUCCGUGUAGGAUCAAGCGUGUUAAAUUCUGAUUACCACAAGACAUGACUGUAACUGGGCUCAGCCGAAUCCUCCCAACAUUUAUUGAAUCCAACGUCAACUUCUCUAACUCUGGUAACCGAACCUGCUCGAACAAAAAAUUAACUUGUUAAUUGCAAGUAAACGAUCAUUGAUUAUAAAAUUCUUGUACGUACCCUUUCCGUGAAGAUACUAGUAGUUCUUUUGUAUCUCGCCAUGAAUUCAGGACAUGCAUAUAUCCAUAAUUCUUUCAAGGAUGGAAAUUCAAGAAUAUCAAGAUCUCCAGUGCAGAAGCUUGUGAUCUUUUCAAGAUCAGACAUCCCCAGAUAUUGCAACUGAGGAAACAUUACAAUAUUUUUCUUCCUUUCUUCUUGGUUGUCCAAGACUAUUAACUCUUCCAGGACAGGACAUUUACUUAUCUCAAUGCUUUGGAGUCGAACAAAGCUACUAACAGUAGAAGAUGAAAAUAGACAUCUUAAAUUCAUACAUCCGUGCAGGUCCAAGUGUGUUAAAUUCUGAAUACCACAAGACAUGACUGUAACUUGGCUCGGCCAAAUCCUCUCAACAUUUAUUGACACCAACUCCAACUUCUCUAACUCUGGUAAUGCAACCUGCACGAUCAAAAAAUUAACUUGUUAAUUACAAGCAACAAUGAUUUCUGUUGAUGGACAAAUCAAUAAAAUUACUCUUUCUCUGGUUAUAGUUCUUUUCAGUUUUUCAUACAAACAACCGUUAAUCAAGUUUUCCAAAUUAUUCCUUACUAAAUGUAUAGAUUUAGACGGCGGCUAAUAUAAUUCAUAUUGCAAAUAUUUUUUGAUUGUAACGAAUUUUGUAAUAUUAAAUUUUGGUUGAUUAACAAUAGGACCUACUGUCCAGCGCGAGCAGUUCUCGGGAUUUAACUACUGGCACCUCGAUUAUAUAAAAAUUUGGAAUAUUUUCAAAGGAAAUCACAUAAUUCCCCCUUGCAAAUAGUAAUUUCAUUAAUUGCCGCGGGUUCACAUAUAAUUCUAAGAAAUUAGGCGAGAAGAGUCUCAUCAACAAUCAAUCAGCAGAUAUCACGUUUGGCAGAUCAUCAUGAUUUCCUCAGAUGCUAGAGAAUCAAAGUGAUUUCCGCUCAUGCAGGAGUGGACACAUUAUCUUAGAGCAUACCUCACUGAGAUCUUUUAAAAAAUUUAUAUUAUAAAGUGAACAACAUAUUUAGUAUAGAUUUAGACGGCGGCUAAUAUAAGUUAUAUGUAUUCUAAUGACGUAUAUUAAAGAAAAUGACUAACCAUAAUUUCAAUCAACUUAUUAGUCUAUAUAUAUAUAUAUAAUAUAUAUUCAGCGAUUACAACAUAUUUAGUAUUCCAUAACAUGAUGUUUAUAAUAAUAAUUAUUAUUAAUUCACUUAUUGUGUCAGAGUACCUUUUCUUUCUCUAAGAAUGUAUUUGUUACACCCCACUAUACUUCGGAUGAAAAAUUUAGAAUAAUUGUGAAAUAUAAUUAUUAAUCACUCUUUGCCAUAUUUGUUACCAAACAGGAAUAUAACAAAGAAAAAAAACAAAAAUUAUAGAGAAUUAAUAAGACGAUUGACUUAUUAAUAACUGACCUUCUCAGGGAAAAGCGUAUUAGAAAUUUGGACAUUGUCCUCCAAAAUGAUUUCAUGUGACUGCAAAUCAUUAGCUGAUUCCUCUUGUCUCUGUUGACAUUGCAGGUGUCUUGAUUUAAGAGUGUAAACUUAAUUGUGAACACAAUCUUAAUUAAUGCACUUGUCUCUGUUUUACAUUGCAGAUGUCUUGAUUUUAGAGCGUAAACUUAAUUGUGAGCACAAUCUUAAUGCAUAGAUAUAAAAUCUUUAAAAAUGAGUACAAUCAACUUAGCACUAAAUCCAAAUUUGAUAUUUUGGAUUCCAUGAUUAAGAUUUUUUAAAUAAAAAUUUAAUAGAGUUAAUUUAAAAAUAAAAAUUAAAUGUGAAAAAUAAACUUGCAAUUAUGGAUUUAAUUUUGAUAAAUAAUGAGGUUCCGCCUAUGUUGCAACAGUUGCAACAUACCACUUCUUUUGUCAUUUUGUAAUUUAGCCAUUGGAUCCAAGACAAGAAUGGUAAAAGCAAAUCUAACGGCAGAGUGUAUUUAUUUAGGUUAUUUUCAUUGUAAUCCCUCUUGUUUUCUGAAAUGUCAGGAAAAAACAUAAUUAUUAUUUUUUUAUUUAUUGGCUUAGUUGUUAAAUGAUAUGAAUAAGAAGUAGGAAAUUUAAGAGGACUUUUAUUAUUGAUAUUAUGUAAUUACAAUGCAUGAUUCAAUACUAGUUUAUAAGAGUCACAACUUGUUAAAUAUAAAAUAAAGUUUAUGUUUGCAUCCUAACUUCAAAAAGAUAAAUACGUUUAUUUAUUCCACAAAUUAAUAAAUAUUUCAUAUUUUUUUAAUUAUUACUAUCAUUUCUAGAUCUACUCUCAUUAUGUAAAUUUAUUAAAAAUUAUAUUUAAUUAUUAUUUUAUAUUAAUUAUUAAUAUAUAAAUAUAAUAUGAUAUAAUAAAAUAAUAUUAUAAUAUAAUUUAUUUUUAAUAUUUUAAUUAUUAUAGUAAAAAUAAAAAUAUAAUAAAAAUAUAUUUUUAAUAUUUCAAUUAAGAAAAAUUUUAGCACAUUGUAGUGAAUUAUAUAAUUGACCACAAUCUAACUUUUAAAACUUCCAAACAUAGGUAAGUAAUAAAUUAAUGUGAACAAUAUUAUAACAAUAUACAAUACUGUGUUCUAAACACAUUCUAAUGGUGCGUUUAUUAAAUAAGAAUCGAAAUGAGCUAGAAUCAUAAUAAGGAAUCGGAAUGAACAACAUUCCCAUUGAUGUGUUUACUUUUUUUUAUAAUUGGAAUAAACUAUUAUAAGUUAUUAAAAUGCCCUUUGAUAAUUGUGUCCCUAAUAUUAUUUGUAUCUAUUAUAAUUAAAACAAUAAUAAUAAUAAUAAAACUAAAAAUAAUAAUUAUGAAAAUAAUGUUAAUUAAAACAAAAAAUUAAUAAAAUUUAACAACAAUAAUAAUAACAACAACAACAAAAUUAACUGAAAUAAUAAUAUUAAUAAUGAUAAUAAUAAUUAUUAUUAAUAAGUUUUAAUAAUAAUAUUAUUAAUAAAAAUAAUAACAACAUUAAUUAAUAAUAAUGAAAAUAAAAAAGUUAAUAUAUUUUAAUAAUAACAUUAAUUUUAAUCAUAACAAGAUAAAUAUUAAUAAUAAUGAAUUAAUUACAGUAUAAUAGCAAUUAAAAUAAUAAAAGUAAUAAAUUUUAAUAAUAAUAAUAAUGACAAUAAUAAUCAUAAAUAAUAAUAAUUAAAAUAAUAAAAUUUAAUAGCAAUAUAACUCUUAAGCUUUAUGAUUUAAACUUUCACAGUACAUACAUAAGAAUUGAAAAAAUGAUUAUAAAAUUCUUGUACGUACCCUUUCCGUCAAGAUAUUAGUAGUUCUUUUGUAUCUCGCCAUGAAUUCAGGACAUGCAGAUAUCCAUAAUUCUUUCAAGGAUGGAAAUUCAAGAAUAUCAAGAUCUCCAGUGCAGAAGCUUGUGAUCUUUUCAAGAUCAGACAUCUCCAGAUAUUGCAACUGAGGAAACAUUACAAUAUUAUUCUUCCUUUCUUCUUGGUUGUCCACGACUAUUAACUCUUCCAGGACAGGACAUUUACUUAUCUCAAUGCUUUGGAGUCGAACAAAGCUACUAACAGUAGAAGAUGAAAAUAGACAUCUUAAAUUCAUACAUCCGUGCAGGAUCAAGCGUGUUAAAUUCUGAUUACCACAAGACAUGACUGUAACUUGGCUCGGCCAAAUCCUCUCAACAUUUAUUGACACCAACUCCAACUUCUCUAACUCUGGUAAUGCAACCUGCACGAUCAAAAAAUUAACUUGUUAAUUACAAGCAACAAUGAUUUCUGUUGAUGGACAAAUCAAUAAAAUUACUCUUUCUCUGGUUAUAGUUCUUUUCAGUUUUUCAUACAAACAACCGUUAAUCAAGUUUUCCAAAUUAUUCCUUACUAAAUGUAUAGAUUUAGACGGCGGCUAAUAUAAUUCAUAUUGCAAAUAUUUUUUGAUUGUAACGAAUUUUGUAAUAUUAAAUUUUGGUUGAUUAACAAUAGGACCUAGUGUCCAGCGCGAGCAGUUCUCGGGAUUUAACUACUGGCACCUCGAUUAUAUAAAAAUUUGGAAUAUUUUCAAAGGAAAUCACAUAAUUGCCCCUUGCAAAUAGUAAUUAUCAUUAAUUGCCGCGGGUUCACAUAUAAUUCUAAGAAAUUAGGCGAGAAGAGUCUCAUCAACAAUCAAUCAGCAGAUAUCACGUUUGGCAGAUCAUCAUGAUUUCCUCAGAUGCUAGAGAAUCAACGUGAUUUCCGCUCAUGCAGGAGUGGACACAUUAUCUUAGAGCAUCCCUCACUGAGAUCUUUUAAAAAAUUUAUAUUAUAAAGUGAACAACAUAUUUAGUAUAGAUUUAGACGGCGGCUAAUAUAAUUUAUAUGUGUUCUAAUGAUGUAUAUUAAAGAAAAUGACUAACCAUAAUUUCAAUCAACUUAUUAGUCUAUAUAUAUAUAUAUAUAAUAUAUAUUCAGCGAUUACAACAUAUUUAGUAUUCCAUAACAUGAUGUUUAUAAUAAUAAUUAUUAUUAAUUCACUUAUUGUGUCAGAGUACCUUUUCUUUCUCUAAGAAUGUAUUUGUUACACCCCACUAUACUUCGGAUGAAAAAUUUAGAAUAAUUGUGAAAUAUAAUUAUUAAUCACUCUUUGCCAUAUUUGUUACCAAACAGGAAUAUAACAAAGAAAAAAAACAAAAAUUAUAGAGAAUUAAUAAGACGAUUGACUUAUUAAUAACUGACCUUCUCAGGGAAAAGCGUAUUAGAAAUUUGGACAUUGUCCUCCAAAAUGAUUUCAUGUGACUGCAAAUCAUUAGCUGAUUCCUCUUGUCUCUGUUGACAUUGCAGGUGUCUUGAUUUAAGAGUGUAAACUUAAUUGUGAACACAAUCUUAAUUAAUGCAUAGAUACAAGAUGUUUAAAAAUUAGUAUAAUAAACUUAGCACUAAAUCCAAAUUUGAUAUUUCGGAUUCCAUGAUUAAGAUUUUUUAAAUAAAAAUUUAAUAGAGUUAAUUUAAAAAUAAAAAUUAAAUAUGAAAAAUAAACUUGCAAUUAUGGAUUUAAUUUUGAUAAAUAAUGAAUGUUCUCUUUAUAUAUUUUUUUAAAAGGUAAAAGAGCGUACAAAACCCAAAUUCAUUUUUUUAGUCCCUUACUCUCCCAUGAUUCAAACUUCACUUUUUUUUUCUUUUUCUUUUUUUUCUUUUUUUGUUGAGAGAAAAGAGAAGAAGGAUAUUACAAAGCAUGAAGCUCGUGCAAUAUAAGGGCAAUUAUGGUUUUUUCUUUAAAUUAAAAUGGUAAGAUUCUGAAGCUAAAAGAUUAAAAUAUUAAUUAAAUUGCAAACAUUAAAGAUUUUUUUUCCAAAAUUGGUUGCUUUGAAAAUGAGAAUAAUAUAAUAUUUGAAGACUUUUUCAAAAUUAAUUACUGUGAUGCACUAGAAAUUUAUAGCUUUAGUCUAAUGUAUAAAUUGACAAAACGAUAUUAGAAUCCCAGGUGAAAAGAACCCUCUCAUACCAUUUUCUUAAAUUAGGAAUGAUCAUACCUCUGACUCUGCCGGACUGAGGGCGAGGCGUGAACCCCUCAUACGGAGACGCUUGAGAUGGGAAGAGCCUACUUUGACUAACUCGUUACGAAAAUAAUCGACAUCUUGCUCUUGCAAUCUACGUAAUUCAAGGUCUUCAAUUCUCUGCAGUUGCACGAUCAGCGAAUCCUUCAAGCGAAUCUUGUCAUUUAGCUCGAGUCUGAAUUCACGACACCAAAUGCCAGUGCUCUCCCAAUAUUCCCAACCCUCAUCCUCAUCCUCAUCCUCAUCAUCUCCAAUGCGGAUGAUAUGUAUGCUGUACCUUUCCAGCUUCUCCAAGAGCAGGCCUCUGGGCAGAGUGCCGACGUCAUAGACGUGUAAUUCCAAAGAGGUCAAGUUGGGUAAAUGCUUCAACUCCUCAAGGCUUGCAUUCUUAACCCCUUCCACCUCCACCUCCCAAUCGGCAAAGUCAAAGAGUUCACUAGCUAUAUAUAGUUCUUCUAAAUGGGAUAAUUUUGACAGUAUAUUUGGUGGAAUAACUUUUAGUGCAAAACAAUCUCUCAAAUCAAGCAACUUUAGCCAAGUCAAUUCACCUACUUCUACCGGCAACUUCUUAAUAUAAGAACCUCUUAAGCAAAGGAUUUCUAGUUUCUUCAAGUCUCCUACAACACUUAUAUCAGGCAAACUGCAGCGACACAAACUCAGUGUUCGAAGGUUUGACAGGAGACCAAGUGAUGGAGGCAGUGACCGUAUGUAAGUCAAGUUUACAACUCUGACCUCGAUCAUGCUCUUGAAAAGGUUGUCUGGAAUUGUUACUGGUGAGGUUUCGCAAGGAUCAUCACUAAUAAAAAGAAGUUCGAGCUGAGGACAUUCCAGUACUUUAGGAAGCAAAUUAGGCUUGAUAUCAUGUAUGACGAUUGAAGUGCAAUGCUUUAUUGCACUUCCGUCUGACCAUUCCCUGCAACCAUCAACCUGCUCAUUUGUAGCAGUAAACACAUUUCGUUCAGUAGAUGCAAUUGAUAUGGCGACAUCGCGAACUACAUCAUGCAUAGAAAACAACUCUUUCUUCUGGCUUAUAUGGUCAAGCAACAUACAAGAAGCUUUGAGUGUGCGCACCAAUGUAUGUACUCGAUUUCGUGCUGCUUCCAUCUUAUUCACACCUUGAAAUAAACUCAAUCCCAUACCACACAUUAACAGUUCGUCAAUAGAUGCUAUGGCUGUAUAUCCUAUUAGCAAAAAGAUGUUCUUCAGCUCCUCCCCUACCAAUUUGUCGUAACUCAACUUUAUGGCUUUAUAUGCAUCUGGCUGUACAUGCUUAAAAUUCGAUGAAGAGGGCCUUCCUAGUUUUUCCAAUGCAUCCUUCCAUUCCUGUAUGUUCUUGUUCCUUAAUGCCCUUGCAACCGUCACAAUGGAAACUGGCAGACCUGCACAUCCCUUUGCCACAUCCCUUGCUACCGAUUGGAAUUCACUACCUUCAAUAUAAUCACCUGCCAUCUUCUUGAAUAGAUUCCAAGCUUCUUCUUUGUUUAAAACACCAAUUGAGAAAUUUGUUCGACAAUCCAUCUUCUCAGACAAUACAUUUAGACUUCUGGCCGUCAACAAUACUUUACAACCAUCUCCAAGAGGAAUUCGGACACUCCCCAAAUUAAGAUUUUCCCAAAUGUUGUCUAAAACUAUCAGGAUCUUCUUCACUUUUUUUAUACCUUCAUAUAAGCUGCCUGCCCUUCCUUCAUCACUUUCCUCAUGCAACUUCAGGCCUAAUUUAUCUGCGAUUACUCCUUGAAUCUUUCGUAUGUCUUGAUUCUGAGACACCUCAACAAAAACCACCUGAUCAAAGAGUUUGUCACUCUUGACUUUCCUAGCAACUUCUUCGGCCAGCAUCGUCUUUCCGAUGCCACCCAUUCCAUAAAUCCCAAGCAUGUUGACAUCGCGAUCUUCUAGUGCACUGAGUAUACUCCUCAAAGUGGACAUUCUUGAUUCAAAGGGCUCGUAGUCUUUGUUAGGGAUAAGCCGAAUAUCCUCUGGAGCAGUACGGUAGGAAAUUCUAUCAAAUCUUCUAGCGUCCAGGACUUUGACAACAGCCUCCUUCUGCCUCUCUGCUUCCUUGCUAAGUCGACGGCGGGUCUUCAAAUUAGGUAUUAACCCCUUGAAACAACGCUUAUUUUCAAUGGCUUCAUCGUCUGUAAAUUUAUCUGCCUUAACAAUGACAUCAUUUGCCCCUUCGAGCCAAUUCUCAACGUUCUCUUCAAUCGCUUCCCCUUUUGUUUUAGCCUCAGCAACCCGGUGCUCUAUACUAACCUUCUCAGACUUCAGAUUGUCAACUUCAGUCUUGAGAUUGUCUAAGAUGCUCGUGUACUUACUCUCACGCAAAUAGCUAAUUUGGCGAUAUGCGGGAGGAGCCAAGCACUUCACAACUUCUACAACAAUAGUAAGAAUGAUUUCAGCCAUCUUCAAUCCUUUGUCCUUGUCUCUCUAUCUCUCUUUUUUCUGAAUUUGUGAAAAACAAUUGAUCCAGUUAGGAAGCACACUGAGUGAUUGAACACAAGUGACCACAACAAGAUGGAACAAAAUUAAAAGGAAAAAAAUAGAAAGAGUGGAUGGAGAAUAAAACAGAGACAGCGGCACAGCUGGACACAACUAGAUAGAGAACAGAGGAAAACCAAAUAACAAGACUUAAGAUUACAACAAACAGAGGCCAAGUAUUGUUGAGAUCAGAAGAUGGAAAAUUCAAAAGAGUUGAUGACAGAUGCUGAAUAACAGAACAACAAUGAACGCAAUAAACAGAAGCAAAGUGUGGUUGUGAUCGACAGACGGAAGUAAGGAAAAGCGGUUGUCGAUUGAAAAUGAAUGAAUGCAAGGAAAGACUGAUAUUGAAAAUUGACGUCAAUAGCGAAGGAAUAAUUGAACUUUCGCUUAAUUAUUGUUUGUGGCCUUGUUUUACUUUUUAUUUGUGGGUCAUGUCUUUUGGAACUAAUCAUCUUAGCUUAUGCUUUACAGCUUUAAGGCCAGUAACCGGUGUCCGUUGGAUAAGCAUAUAGAAAUCCAACGGUGGAUAUAUAUCCUUGGGAAUAAAAUUCAAGAGCAAAGGGAGUGCUGGGCUGCAGUUUCUUAAGGAGAUUUAUAUAUCCUCCUCAAAAAUAAAUGUUUUAAGGUAGAUAUUUAGACUAUUUCAUCAUAAAAUGAAUGUAAUUAAUUUUCAAUAAAUAUCUUAUAUAAAUAUUUAUUUAUUUUUUUAAUUACUAAUGACCUUUGAAUAUACAUAUAUACAUAUCACUAAUUCAAAAAUAAAUUGUGAUUAUUUGUUAAUAUAUGCGAUUACUUGUGAUGGUAAACAAAGUAGAUAUGGUAUAUUUUGAAGUUAAAUUAAAAAAAAAAAAAACAGAGCUUUUACCAUUACUUGCCUUAUCAUCUUUUAAAUUAGAAUUAUUAUUCUUUUAUUUUUCAAGUUGCCAACUCAUCCGCAUUCUCUUGUAUUGAAUUUGAAGAUCAAUGAUUAUAAAUUUGUGUGAAAAUUUUAAGUCAAAACUUUAAAUUAAAAUAAUCUUUAAGUUAUUGGGAAAUAAUACCUUAGUAUAACAAAUAUUAUAUCCUAUACUUUAUUGCUACAAAAUUACGAAACCUUAUAUUAUAUUAUGUUUCCAUAUUUCUCCUUUAUAGUGAAGACUCGUACUUCUUCUCUAAUAAAUGCUAAAGUAUUGGCUUAAAUUUUUUAACCGGCACAGUAGACCCUUAAGCUAUAUAUACUAUAAUGUCCCUCUUCUCUCACAGAUUAAACCAAUCUGAUCUCAGAGUGAGUUGAUACCAUGACUUUGCAUCAUUCGUGAUCAAAGGAGCAUCAUUACUAACUAAUAUAGGCUCGAUCAAUAGGCAUGAUAAUAAUUUUUUUUUAUCUACAAACACUAUUUUUCAAAAUAUUUUAUCUUAAGACUAACUAAAUAUUUUUUAACUAUGUAGAUAUAGGUUGUUUGAUCUCUUUUAAAUAGUGGAGAUUACAAACAAACGGAUGCGAAUUAGUAGUGAUGUUGAGUUCAGAAGAUUGAAGUUAAGAAAAUUAAGGGUUUCUUGAUCUAGGGAAAUUUCAAAAGAGUGAAGCGUCCUCAAAAUCGGAAGACGAAAAAUAAGGAAAGGGUAAGGGUGUAUUUUCAAAGUAAUUCUAUUAGUAGAUCUUUGAAGUAGGGGUGGGCAAAUCAGGUUAGUUCGGUUUAAAACGGAUUGAAACAAUUUAAUCCAAAAAUUCUACCAACAACCACUUAAAAUCCAAAAAUCUUAAUUCCAAACAUCCUUAAUAACAAAUAUCAACUACAAACCAUCAUUAACAAUAUUUCAACAAUAACAAUAACAAUAAUAACAACAACAACAACAAUAAUAAUAACAACUAUGAAUUAGCAAUUCAGCAUAUUGCCAUAUUCUAAAUUUAAAAAAAAAACACAAAUUAAUUAAUUAACAAUCUCCAAUUUAAUUUAUAAUAACAGCAAAAAUCCUCCCCAAUUUAAUUAAUAUCAGUCUCCAAUUAUUCAAUUAUCAGUCAAUAGCAACAAACCCACUCCAAUAUAAUUAUAACAAUCUCCAAUUGUUCAAUUAUCAGUCAACAACAACAAAUCCUCUCCAAUUUGUCACGAACAGCCUCUAAUUGUUUAAUUUUCAGUCAACAACAACAAACUCACUCCAAAUAAUUGAACAAUUGUUAAUUAAUUAAUUAAAAAUAUCCAAUUUAAUUAAUAACAACACCCAAGAGCAAGUCAGCAAUAAACCCACUCCAAAAUCCAAAUAUCAGUAUAAACUAAGUGUCAAACCUUGAUCGGUGGGAAGCUACAACGUCGGCAAAGCGUGACCAUGUGGGGCUGAGUGAGACCGUCGACCGAGGGUGUGUGAAGGGAGAAGAGGGAGCAGGGAGGUAACGUGGUGUGUGUGAGUUUAUAUAUAUAUAUUAAAAGCUAAAACUUAAAAAAAAAAAUUUAACUCAAUCCAAACGCACACCUAGAUUACUUCCGUUAAGAGCUGAAUCCCACACUCUUGAGCCUUUGUCGUUCCAGUCAACUAUAAAAACAAAUCAUUAUUGAGUGUGAACAGACUUAUUGAUCACCAAAUUUUCAAACUUGUCAUCCUUAUUGAAUCUGCGUUCCCUUUUAAUAAAAUUUAAAAAAGUACAAAUAAUGAAACAAAGUUAUGUUCCUUCAACAGUUGAUAGAGUUACGCGGCUUCAACUUGCAAGUCCAGUCGGCAUUUUCAAACUUGUAAUACCCUUACAACUUGCUUUCCAAGAUAGCUAUAAUUAAUAAUGACAAUAGUCUCCCCUAUAGCGACUAGUGAGCAACUUGUUUCGUGAAAUUAACGGCAUCUUCUCUCGCAUUUUAAAAAAAAAUUGAAUUAUAUAACCCACCAAAACUAUAAAAGAAUUGUUAGUUUUUCUUCAUUAAAAUUAAUAUAUUGCUCCUCAUAUUGAAAAAUCAAAAUUCAGAAUAAGAAUGAUUGAUACUUUUUAUUUACUAAAAUGAAAAUAAAAUAUAUGAAGCCUACAUAUUUUUUAAAUUAAAAAAUAAGAACUUUAUUUUCUACGGGGAGUGUUGGGAAUCAAGUUCUCAUUAUUUAAACUCUCAAUUGUACUUCAUCGAAAUUUCAUAAUUUCACUUUUGUUCUCAAUUAAAAUAUUAUUGUAGUUAUUAUUCUUAUUUUUAUAGUUGUUGUUGAUGAUGAUGGUGAUAAUGAUGAUGAUGAUGAUACAAGAUAAUAAAAUUAAUGAUAAUUAAACCAAUUUGAAUUCAGAGUGAGUGAGUACCAUUACUUCGCAUCAUUUGAUAUCAAAGGAGCAUCAUUACUAACUAAUAUAGGCUCGAUCGAAUUCAUUAUGCGAAGUAUAUUAUCGGCUGUAGGUAUGGAAAUAAAUUUUGUAUCCACAAACACUAUUUUUCAAAAUAUUUUAAGACUUGACUUAGCAUUUUUUAACCAUAUAUGUAUAGGUUGUUUGACCUAUUUUAAAUAGUGGAGAUUACAACAAAUGAACAGAUGUGGAUUUGUAGAGUUGUUGAGUUCAGAAGAUUGAAGUUAACAAAGGGUUUCUUUAUCUAGAGAAAAUUCGAAAGAGCGAAGUGUCUUCGAGAUCAAAAGACGAAAUAAGGAAAGGGUAAGGUUAUACUUUCAAAAUGAAUCUGUUGAGAGAACUUUAAAGAUUACUUCCGUUAAGAGCUGGAUCCCACACUUGAGUCUUCGUCGUCUCAGUCAGUCAACUAUAAGGACAAAUUAAUUUUGAGUGUGAAAGGACACAAUUGAUCACCAAAUUUUCAAACUAGUGAUCCUUAUUGAAUCUACAUUCCCAUUUGAAAAACAAUAAAAGAUUAACAUUAAUUUAACUUCAUCUAAAUUCCCAUUUGAAUCUGCAUUCCCAUUCCCUUGUUCUCUGGGAAUGCACAUAAUCAAACAAAAUCCUAUCCGCAUUUUCAAACUCGUGACCCUUCAAGCUUUCUAUGACAACUAUAAUGAAUAAUUACAACAAUGCUACCUAAUAGUGAGAACUUGUUUGAUGAAAUUAACAGCUUCUUUUCUCUCAUGUAUUUUAAAAAAAAUUAAAUUAUCAAAGUUUUUAUUUCAAAAUUAGUGCUAUAGUUCAUUAAUUUUUCAAAUUUUCCUUUUUCUUUCCACACAACAGAUUGAUUUGCCCUCCAAAAAAUGUAUUAUAUUGUUUAAUAUUGUAACUUCAAGAAACUUAUAAUAAAUUUUUAAAGAGAUAAAUAGAGAAUAUCAGUCUCCCAUCUACUCAAAAUUAAUAUAUAUCAUUAACUCUUGAUUAUUUUUAUAAAAACUAAUAACUUUUUUUGCAGCAUAAUUUUACAGUAUCAUCCUUGUUAGUAAGUAUAUUUUUAUUCAUAUUUAUUAUAAAUUAAUUAAAUCAUAUCAAUGAAAAUUGAAAUAAAAAUUGAAGUACUACAAAUUAAAAAAAUAUGUUUUGGUGUGAAUAAAAAAUUGAAAAUAAAAAUAUUUUUCUUAUAUUUUUUGUUAUUUUUAAAUUUUUCUUAUAAUAAAUGUAUAUUUUAUGUGCUCAACUUUUUCUUUAAAUUUUUGUUAUUAGGAGGAUUUUUAGAUAUAAUGAAAAUUGUAAAGUAGUAAGUAAUAUAUAAUAAUUUUAAUAGAGAAAAGUAAAAAAUCUCUUAUUUUAAAAUACAAGGAGAAAAAUAAUUAAUUUCAAGACAUUUUAGAAGAUAUUUCAAUAUGCGGUGGACCACAAACUCGAGUCUUUGUCAUCUCAGUCAAACUAAAAGGACAGAAUAUUGAGGGCAUGGCUAACGUGCAGAAGCUACAAGUAACAGCUUCGAACUUUCCCAUUUCCAUCACCUUGCAUUGGGAGUUUGGGACCUCUUUCUCUCUCCUCUAGCAGCCGUGGAAGUUCCCCAUUGGCUACUGUUACUUACAGAAGCUGUAACAUAGACUUCUCCGAAUAUUGACCGCGAAGGGCUCAAGUGAUUGUUCAUUUCACAGCAAUUGCCUUUUUUCUUUUUUUCUAAUUAUUGGGAAAUAAGAACUUAGUAUAACAAAUAUUAUAUCCUAUACUUUAUUGCUAAAAAAUUACAAAACCUUAUAUUAUAUUAUGUUUCCAUAUUUCUCCUUUAUAGUGAAGACUCAUACUUCUUCUCUAGUAAACGCUAAAGCAUUGGCUUAAACUUUUUAACCAGCACAGUAGACCCUUAAGCUAUAUAUACUAUAAUGUCUCUCUUCCCUCACAGAUUAAACCAAUCUAUCUCAUAGUAAGUUUGCAUCAAAGGAGUAUCAUUACUAACUAAUAUAGGCUCGAUCAAUAGAGAUGACAAUAAUUUUUUUAUCUACGAACAUUAUUUUUUCAAAAUAUUAUAUCUUUAGACAUAACUAAAUAUUUUUUAACCAUAUAUGUAUAGUUUGAUUAAAUAGUGGACAUUACAACAAAACAUAUGCGAAUUAGUUGUGAUGUUGAUUUCAGAAGAUUGAAGUUAAAAAAAUAAAGGGUUUCUUGAUCUAGGGAAAUUUCAAAAGAGUGAAGCGUCUUUUAGAUCAUGACGAAAAAAAAGAAAGGGUAAGGGUGUAUUUUCAAAGUGAUUCUAUUGAAAGAUCUUUAAAGAUUACUUUCGUUAAGAGCUGUAUUCCACACUCUUGAGCCUUUGUCGUCUCAGUCAACUAUAAAGAUACAUUAUUAUUGAGUGUGAACAUUCCGACUUAUAGAUCACCAAAUUUUCAAACUUGUGAUCUUCGUUGAAUCUGCAAUCCCUUUUGAAAAAAAAAAAAAAAAAAGGGGAAAACUGCAAAUAAUGAAACAAAAUUCUGUUCCUUGAUAGAGUUACGCGGCUUCAACUUGCAAGUGCUGUCGGCAUUUUCAAACUUGUAUGACCCUUCAACUUGCUUUCCAAGAUGGCUAUAAUUAAUAAUGACAACCGAAGACGGCUACGUUUGCGGUACAAAAGUUGCACCAUAUUAGACGUUCUUUUUUGUUCUUAUCCGAAGUAACCGUUGGAUUCAAAGGAAAGUGAUCAGACAUUCAAUAGCUUCACACGUGGACAUUAUAGGAUACCGGUCAAAUCGGUUAGUGCUCCUCCUCAAUCAAACUCACAAGCAUGGCUAUCAUCGUAUCAGCUUGGAAACUUGUUACAAGUGACUAAGAGCAACAGGGUCCGCUCCUCUAGAGUCGGUUAGUGCUCAAUAAUGUUACAGGUUUUAUAAUCUAUGUAACUGGUACGAUCGCUGUCUCAAGUGGUAAACUUUUGAGGCACAAAUUUAGAACGAAAAGUUCCCAAUAAAAUAAGUUAUUUAAUUAAUUAAAUAAGAAUAAAAUGAAUUUGUGAAAAAAAAUUUAAAUUUAAUUUUGAAUUAUUUUGACCAAAAUUUAAGUUUUUUUUUUUAAUUUGUUUAAGAAAAUGCGUUGUAAUUGUCUUGUUUUAAUUGGAAAAUCAAUGAAAAAAUUAUGUAAAAAAAAAAAGCAAAACGCUUUGUUUUGGAUGGAGGCCAUAGAUUCCAAUAUUUCCUUCACGAAAACUACAAAAAAAUUAUCAAAGGCAUCAAUUUCUACACUCUCACCGAGCAAUACUCUUAACCCAGAAGAAAGUGUAUAAACCAACCCCAAUCAGUCCAUCAAUGUCGUCAACCUCAUACAGCAUAAAAAAAAUAUGUGUCCAUUAAACCGUCUUUAUUGAGCCAUUAGACUAUUCGUAUCAUCUUCCCGUCUCGUUGUAGUAUUUUGCCGUUCAAAACUAGUUAUCAAUUGGGGAAAAUGGGGACCAAUCUGCAAGUCUUUAAAAUAGAAAGAAACUUUAAUUGGGCACUAUGUUCACGGUGGCAGACCCAGCAGCAGCUAUUUGUGCUUUAAAAAUAAUUUUACACAUUCUAAUUUUAAUAAAAAUAUAUAUUACAAAAUUACUUAUCAUAUAAGUUACUGGACAAUAUAUUAUAAGUCAACAUUAUAUAAUUACUUUGAACACUUAUAUAGCCCAAUCCUAAUUCAAUUUAUUAUUCUCAUAACUUAAAUAUAAAAAUUUUUAUUUCCAACUUCUUAAUUAAUAUGUAGAUGAAUAAUAAGGAAAUUAACUUUGAGAAAAAAUUAAAUACAAAAUAUGUGUAAUACUUUCAAAAAAAAUAAACAAAAGUAUUGCACAAGAUAAUUUUUUUUGGGGGGGGGGGGGCUUUGGCCAUUCUUCUUCUUCUCCUUCUCUCUCUCUUUUUUUUUUUUUGUAGUAUUUAUGGAACAUUUUCUAUUGUUAUGUUCUCAUUGCAAGUUAUUUUGGGUGUAAAAUUCAACAUUGAAAAUAAAUUAAAUAAAAAAAUUAGUAACUAAAAUUAUGUUAAAUUAUUUUUUAACUUAAUUUUUAAUUAUAUUAUUAGUAUAUGUUAGAUCUCUUAAAAAUCGAGUGUUGAAUAAUUUUAUUAGUUUUUUAAACAAAUAAAGUUAAAUAACUUAAAAAAUUUAAGUAAGGAUAUUUUUAAAUUUUUAAACAGUAUACAAAGUAAAGUUUAUUUUCUUGUCAGUGGCAAAUGAUCACGACAAGAAAUCUAAAGUAGAAACAGCAGAGCUCAACAAAUCACUAAGAGAAAAUAAGACCAAUAACCAAGCAGAUAAAAGAAAAGCAAAAUAACCCAUCUCAAAUCACCACAUGCACAAUUUAAGGGGUUUGUGACAUGGGUUUAAGCAUGAUUUAACAAGUGCCACCUGUGAAUUGUCAGAGAUUGUAUUUUCAUACACAUGUCUAGGGGUGGGCAUAUUUUAACCGAACCGAUCCAAACCGAUCCAAACCGACCAUUUGGUCGGUUUGGAUCGGUUUCAUUAGUAAAAAAACUGGUUUCGGUUUAUUGGAUUGCAAACCGACAUCACUCGGUUUGGAUUUCGGUUUGGAAUGAUUCCAAACCGAUUCAAACCGAUCCAAUCCAAAAAUAUUAUAUAAUUACAUUAUAUUUUAAGUUAAGCAAUCUAACUAAUUAUAUUUAUCAUUUUAUGCAGAUUUUGACAAAUCAAAACUAAUUAGGCCAUAAGUUUUGACGGACAAGAUGCACAAUAUUUUAAUUGUCAAAUGUUGUUCAAGUUUAUUUUAAUUUUGUGAGUUUGUUUUGAAUGAAUAUGUUAAGAACUUCUUUAUUAGGAUGUAUUAUACCGUAAACUUGUAUGGAUGUAUCUUUAAAUUGUUAUGUAGAUGUCAAAGUAGAUAUGAAUAAUAUAAAAGAGGUAUCAAUUUGGAUUACGGACACAAAAAAAUAACAAAUAAUUUAGGUAAAAUAAUAAAAAAAGUGGGCUUUUAGCUAAUAAACUCAAACUGAGAAUCCAAACCGAUCCAAACCGAUCCAGUCGGUUUGGAUCGGUUCGGUUUGAAAAAUUUUUAAGUUGAUAUCGGUUUGAAAAUAUUUCAAACCGAUAAGUUUGGAUCGGUUUGAGAAUAUGUCUCAAACCGAUCCAAACCGACUUUGCCCACCCCUACACAUGUCAAAUUUUCAAGUCCAACAAAUUGUUAUCUUUCUAAAGAGGCUAAUAUUAUUAUUAUCUAUGCAUAGCAUGCUAUAAACAAUUCAUAUUACUGGGCCUUUGUUUUGUGUACACAACAUAUGGACAGAGGAACAAAUGCCUGAGCUAAAAUCAUCAUAUUCCAAAAUAUUCUAUUAAAUCAGCACCACAAAACGCGAACGCUAAACAGAAUUGGAGCAAUUUACCAAAGCUAUUUGUCACGCAAAGCACUAGUACCUCAGAACCCAAUUUGCAAAAAAGCACCAAAAAUGAAAAAUAACAAAUGCCCAGAUGAAAAAUCAGGAAAAAAAAAAUGCUCAAAUCCAAAUUACAACCCCAUAAGUUGAGUCGUUCUCUUCGAACUGAAUUAAAAAUAAAUAAAAAAAUUAAAAUGGGGAGAUUGACCUCAAACUUUGGAAACAGAAGCGACAGCGAUCUGUUUCUUGUCUGGAGUGUCCAUUUCUAUAAUCUACUUUGUCCGUUUUCAGUUGCUCUGCCACAGAGCUUCUUCCCUCUGAAGCUGAAGCUCACACACACUCGCAAAACGAAAGCAUUUUUUAUUGAUUGAGAGGCGGGAAGGCGGGAAAAUGAGAGAAAUUUGCAUUUGUUUUCUCUUGGUUUGGUCAUACUUGUGCGGGCCCCAGCUUGACAAGCGGUAUUAUUACUAUUUGUAUAAUUUACAUGACGCGUGUCACGCAAUGACGAUAAAAAAUAUAUAUAUAUUGUUAAUUUUUCACUUAACAUUGAAAUAUCAUAUAAUUUUUCCAAUUUUAUGGUUAUUUUCUCGCCCUUAUGCCACAUUCUUUUGAUCAAAUAAUACAGUAAAACUUUUCUAUAAUCAUAAUAUUAGAGCCAAAUUAACUUUAUUUCUGUAAAGAGGCUAUAGCUUAAUAAAGGUAAAAUUAUAAAAAAAAUAUUAUUUUGACUCAGUUAUCUUUAGUGCAAGUGAUAUAAAGUACAAAUAUAUGAUAAUUAAUUAAUGAACUAUGUCAAAUACAAUAUGCUAACAAUGAUAAAAAAAGAUAGACAUAAUUUCAAGAAACUAUGUAUUUAUGUAGUGCUGGGAUUAUACAAAAUUAUCUUAAAAGUGUAAAGAGUAAAGUAUUAUUCUGAUUAAUUUAUAAAAAAAUUAUUUUAUCUUAAUCUUUAAUGCAACAUAGCUUUUUCUUUUCUUAACAACAAAGCAUUGUUUCAAAUAAUAAUUAUUGGAUUCAAAUCAUGUCCUAGGCAUUUUUUCUUCUAGUCGUCUUAAACUUUUAAUGAUUUAUUGGGAUGUGUCAAUCAUUAAUGAAAUUAAAUAACUAAGACUUUGUUUUAAUUAACGUUUACAUAAAUAGACAUCAAAACUCAAGUGUGAUUCUUAUCAAUUUUUUCCUGCAAAUUCUUUUCCUCUCAACUAUUCAUAUUUUGACAUUAAUUUCCAGCAAAUUAUUAAAAAAAAAAAGAAGCGUAAAAUGGAGAAAAGUGAUUGACAACAAGGUUUGCAUCUUAAUUUCAAAAUUUUCCUUUCUUUGCUAUUUUUGUGAGUUCUACAAUUGUUGUUUUCACUCUCAGCUGCAGUUCAAUGAACUCUAUUAAUAACCAUGAAGCUUAAUGUAUCAAUUCCAGUACGAGAAGUCCUUCUACGCAUGUUACAACACUUUUUGGUCAUUAUAGGUUGCAAAUGUUCCGUAAUGUACUCAUUCAUAUAACGGAAACGCUAUUAUCAAUAAUGAAAGUUGACUAAGUUUGUAAAUUCUAUUUAACGAAAAAGUAACAUAAAUUUAGUUGAACAAGAGGUAAUCAAUAUGUAAUCUAUGAAACUAGGGUGUGACUAAGUUACAUAGUAAUGUAACUUACAUGAACACAAAAAUAAUUAGUUUUUAAACUACAAGUAAUUUUGGAACUGCUCUUAAAUUGAUAUAAGUUUUAUUAUUAUGUAACUUAGCAAGGUCAGGUAUUUUAAUAAUAGCACAUCACUAUUGUUUCAUGUGAAUGAUGCAAUUGGAUUAGCCAAUACAUACUGUCAUCCCCGGGAGAUGCUAUGGCAAUAGCUUACUCUACCGUGCCAAUGUCAUUAGUAUUAAUCUGUUGAGCCUAAGACCAGAUCUAAGCUGAUCUAGAUUCCCCAAGAUCGCACACCACACAGUGAUUAAUGAAUCAAGAACAAUAAACCAUCAAAGAAUCGCAAACUUACAUGUCGGGUUACAUGUAAUAAAUGUUUUAAUUAUUAGAUGAUUCAUAAUGUUAGACCAUUUUUUGUAUGUUUUGUAAUCUACGUUUGAUAAUUUAAUUAGCUGAUAAACAUUUGAAUAAUAUUAUUUCAUUAGCUAUGUCAUUGAUCCCCAGGAAAAAAAAAAAAAAAAAACCCAAUUUGGGAUGUUAUACAUUACUUUUUCAUUACUUCCCAUUUUAGAUUAAUAUUUAUCACAUAUAUUCUUAGCAACUUGUAACCCUUUUUGCUAAGGGUGAAAUGUGUUUGUUACCCCUUCUAUUUCUGAGAUUGUCCUUACAAUAAGGAUGCCGGCCCCAAUGUCAAAAACUGCUAUCUCUAGGUGUAAAUUCCUUAUAAAAUUCUUUUUUAAUUGAAAUUACUUAAAUAAUUGAAGAUAAAUUAAUUUUUUAUUUCAUUCAAAUAAAAAAAAAUAAUUAAACACUUAAAUAAGCUAUCCUUUUAAUUUUUUUUUUUACACCCAUCCAGUUUCAUAAUUUAUAUUUAUAAUUUAAAUUUUAAUGGAAAAUAUUUUUUUGAAAAAUUUUAAGAAUUAAGAAUUAUGGGGAUAAAAAUUAUGUAAUAAGAACAAAAUAAUUUAAAAUUUUAAAAUUUGCAUGUAUUAUGAACAAAAACUUGAAAGAAAUACUCUUUUCAGGGUGAGAUUUAAUCAGAAAAAGAUUAAUUUUCAUUUAUGGAUCAGUAUUUUAUAAAUUAAACAGAGGUAUUUUAAGAAAUAGAAUUCAAAAGGCAUGGGAACAAGGGCAUUGGGUUUCCUUUUGUUUUGUAUGGAUUGGGAAAAAUACACGGACAGACAAAGGGAACAGUCAUUAUAAUGCUGCGGAGCUUGUCGGAGAUUCCCUGCCCAUUUGUAGCUUAGACUCCUGGGGUUUUGUUCAUGUCUUUUCUGUAUCCCACUUUCUCAUGCAGCAGAUGUACAUAUGAUGAGAUGAAAACAACAGCAAAAAUUGCUGUCUCAUAAGAGAAAUAGUCAUACAUAGUUGGUUAGGCCUCCAGUCCAUUAACUUAAUAAUGAAUUUUACGAAAAUUGAUUAUCUCAUUGGAAUUACAUAGAUAUUGGAAAUCAUUACUCCAGCCCCACCAUGCCAACCAUUUACUUAGUUCAUCAGUAAAAGCUGGAUUUUCCAUUUGUUCUUGAGAUUCAAAUUAAGGCAACAAGUUGCUCAUUCUAUAUUAUCUAUGUAAUCCUGUAAAAGUGAAGGGCGUUUAGAUGUGGAAAAACCUUACUCCUGCCGCAACACCUCAAACAGAUUGUGAUCAGACAAGACUUAGUUCAUCAUUAGUAGUAGUUGGAGCUUCCAUUUGUUCUAGAGAUUUAAAGGCAGCAAGCUGCUUCCUCAGUGCUACUAAUUCUUCCCCGGCAUUGCAUAUGUAGCCUGAGGCUUGUCUACCAGACAAAGUUGCUCCUUCCAUACUAUCUAUGUAAUCCAGUGAGAGUGAAACCAUUUAGAAGACGUAUCUCUUUCUUUCCAAUAUUUAGAAUGAAACAAUUAUAUACAGUUACCUGUUUUGCAUAUGAGCCGGUGAGGAAGAAGUUCUUCACUGGUGUCUUUUGAUCACGUCUGAAGGGGUCUUUACCAGGUCCCUCACCGCACAUAGAUUGCCCGAUUUUGACGAAAGAUGACCAAAUAACUUCCAAACCUUGGGAUGAUGGAAAUGGAGCUAAAACCUAAUAAAAGGAACCGUGAAUGGAUAGUAUGGACUCAUGUAUAUUAUCCAGAAAGUUGCAUGACCUUUUGUGGUACUCAGGUCACUAAAAAACGUGAGAUAAACAUCUAGGAUAAGAAAAGCAAAAAAGCAUAACCUAAUACGUAUUAUAUGAAUUGAAGGUGUCACUGAACGCUACCAACCUGCUUUGCCACUCUCCUUAUGAUUUCAUCAUUUGGUAAGGGCAUAUAAGGAUCUCCAGGCGUCAAAACGCGUCUGAAAGAUAAUAUGGUUAUAGUAAACAACAUGGAAUACAAAGACACUUGGCAAAAGGAAGUCAAUCAGAUUCCAUGCACAAAAAAUAACUAAUAAUGACGACGAUAAGAAAUUUUUCACACCGGAGCCUUCUCUAUAGUAGUCUUCUGGUGAAGUAAGUGCUAGAUCUGCAAAGCAAGAGAAAUCUGCAUCUGGAGUAUAUAAAAGGUUAUCUAACCCCACAGCUUGCCUCAAUUGCCUACAUGUUCAAAACAAGGAUCUAUUAAAAAAUGGAAAUUUCUUCAAUGCAUUAGUGAAGGGAAGUGAAGUGAAAGCGGAUUUCUUAAGCCUUCACAGAGCAUCUUGUGUUUGAAUUCCGGUAACCUCACAAAAGAUUAGAGCAUCACCUUGACCGUUCUAGGUCUUGCAACUCAGUAACCCAACCAUUGUAUCUAAGCUGCACUGUGACAACAUGAACUCCAACGAGCUCAUAAAUAUUGUUGAAAAAUUUCAUUUCCCUCCAGCCUCCACAAUGAUGAAAGCAAUCUUUUAAUUCCAGGGACAUCACAUGCUGCCAUUAAAUAAGAAGUUGAAUAAAGAAAAAUCGUUCAACUAAAUGAUUCAGGAGUUAAAAAAAAAUGUAGAAGUAGAAAUAAAUAACAAAGAUUUAACCAUAAACCUGCAACAUUUGCAUCAGCUUGCACAACCUUCUUGUCAGUGGCCUGAAAUAGAAUGAGAACUUGAAAGACAGUAAGCAUAAAAGAAUAAACUCAAAGAAGCUGCUUCUUACAGAUGAUAUAAACAACAAAUUUACAAAUGUCAGGUCAUUGCAUUAGCUCCAUGCCUCCAUCAGAGGGAAUAUUAGUAGAUGCAUAAAAAAAUAAUUAGAGCCACAUGUGAAACAAUUUACCUUAGACAUGGCAAGUGCUUUAACAAAUGUUUCCCCGUUAGCAGAUUUAUCAUAAAGUAUCUCUCUGCAUCCCCACCUAAGAUGGAACCUGUUCUCACAAGAACAGAUCCCAAGGUUGGGAAAAUCAGUUCAUCAUAGGAGAAAACAAAUAAGAUUAACAAAUCACUACAAUGGUGUGAACCCGUAAAUACAAACGUACCUGCCCCCUUUUUCUGUGAUAUAUUUUCUUAUGGGCCCACUCAAAUAAACAUCCGGAGAACCCGAGCAUCAGCAAUAGGGAAGCCUCGGUCUUAGUCGCAAAUAGUGCAAGUAUGGUAAGCGUACAAUGAGCACUGAUGUUAUCACAAUCAAUAAACCCAAGGGCAUACGCAACAGGAUCCCACAUUCUUUGGAUACUUGUCCGUGUACCACCCUUGGACAAAAACCAAUCAGAGAAGCUUAUGUGUAAGAAGAAAUGAAGUUUUAGGUAAAAUAACAAUUUGUAGGAACAGGGAUUGAAAUUCAACAGACAAGGAAAUAUGAUAUCAUUCUUACACUAUCCAAAUCUCAUAUGUCCUUCAAGGCUCCAUCAGGAUCAACAAGUGCCUUUACAACAGGACUCAGAGCAAGAGCAAGAGCAUUUCUUGCUUUAUCUUAAGUCUGCACUUGAGCAAUAUACCAGGCAAAGUACAUCAAAAGAGAAUCCAAAAGAGGCAAGAAGCUUCAACAUGAAAAAAGGAGUACUGCCUCAUCAUACUGCUUUGCAAUCACAGUGCAAAAGAUAACAUCAACAAAUCAAAAUCGACCAAAAAUCCAUAUGCACUACCUUAAGCUGAUUUGUAGACAAAAAUGUGCGAAUCCCAUGUAACGGAGCUCCAAUCAGAAACCGGAAAUCAAGUUCUGGAGUUGAAAAUCAAAAUCAUGAACCAAAUCAGAGUUAUUAUUGAAUUUGACAAUCCAUAAACCAAUAGAAGGUGAUGUCAAACCAUCAAGCAUAACUACCCACCAAGCAAAACUAUUAGUAGUUUUAAGUGAUCAAGAAAUAACCAUACCACCAAUUUCACCACCCUUAUUUACAAAUGUAUGAGUAUGAUCCUUCAUGAGUAAAUUUUUGUCCACACCUACCUGUCGAAAUGCUUGAAAAACUAUCAGAUCAUAAACACAGGCUCCAGUUAAAGAGGAUCUAUGAUUCUGAUCCAUCAUGUUAUUUGAACAACAUUUUCGAAUUUUGGUACAACCCUAAGCUAUAAUCAGUUGUAGUGGUACAACCCUAAGCUAUAAUCAGUUAUCAUCACUACAAAUGAUAUGGUCAAGAGGAAUGAUAGUUCUUGUUUCAAGUAUCUCAAAUCAUAAUUCUUUUGCAUGGCUUGUGUGCUUUUAUAAUCAUUCAAAUACGCAUAUCCACAACUAAGCAAGCUUUACCAUUUUCAUCAAUCGGAAGAGAUUAUUGUAGCAUCCAAAGAAAACGUGCAGGCCCAUUUCAAUAUGGUUUUCACGUUUAUCGACAAAUGAACCCACUUUACCACCAAUAAAAGACCUCGACUCAUAUAUAUCCACCUGGAAGAAAGGAAAAGUUAAAAAAAAAAAGUGUUGAGAAUUAUGUUUGAUUAAACUUAAUUCUUUCCCCAAGAAAUCUCCACACACUGAUCUUAUUGAAACAAGAAUGAAUACCCAAGAUAGUAAUCAGAAAUAAAGCAAGAGUGUUUAGACAGAAAUAGAGAUUAAAAGCAUAGAAUAAACCGGACACAAGGAGAAUUAUAGAGGUUCGGCUGGGUAGCCUACAUCCUCUUGAGAAACAGAAGCCAUAGCUUUUCUUUGAUGCUUAACAGAUUACAAGACUUAGAGAGUUUGUUACAAAGAACGUUGGUUAUCUAAACUUGGCCUUGGAGACCUUAUAUACAGCUCUCGAAGGAUCCAGAUAAGUGUGCUGCUUGCCAGCUCUUGUUCUGGGUUUGUUGAAACAAACCCAGAAAGUUCCCGCCAAGGCUAACCGUUGAUAACAGCCUUUUAAUUAGAAACGACACUUGCUGCUGCCGUUUAACUAAAGCUUGAAUCCGUAGAUGCUCGUGCAAUUCACGUGCAUUACUUAAGCUAUUCGUGUGACAGGAUAUGGUUGUCAUAUGCACAGCAUUAUCUGUCUGAUUGCUUUGUCGUUACUUGAUUAAUCCUAGACACGACAAAGUCAUCUUCUCCGUAAGCUCUUAAUUCAGGUUCACAAUUAACAAAAAGGAAUAAAAAUUCUUCUAAUUUCUUACACCAUCAACAAAAUCAGAAUAACACAUACUAGUUCAAAAUGAAAUAAAGUUUGUGAAUUGAAAUAAUGCCAACUCCUAAGAAAAAUUAUGACUGCUGAUAUUUUUUCCGAAACGCUGAUAAAAGCCUCUGCUAUUUACUUUGAAAAAAUUGAGGUUAGAAGCCAAUUUACUUGAAAUUUUUGAGUUUAGGCAAGAGGAUGAAUGGUAAAACUGAAACAUAUUAGGGAAAAAUGUACUUCAGAGGCCAAUGAAAGCAUUCAGAAGAUUGAAAACUAAAUGAGCAAAACCUCGUGGCCAUGAUCCAACAAUUCCACUGCUGUUGACAUGCCUGCAAGCCCAGCUCCAAUAAUAGCCACUUUCAGCUUUGGUCCUCUAUAAUGUUCCGGUUCUGGUAGAAACAAACCCUUGGGAGCUGCCAAGUAUACCAUCCAAUUAUCCACAGUGAUAAUGGAAAUAUAUAUUUGUUUAAAGGUACUAAAUUCCUAAACAUGAAAUGUAUCCAAAAAGAGACACAAAGCAGAAUUGAGUAAGCAUUUCAAUUCCCAAUAAAUUUCAAGAAUACAAAAUACUCGGUCUGUUCUUCAAUUCCUUUAAUAAAAUUUCCACUAGAGGCUACGCAAGCCACUCAAUAACACGCCAAAGCCAGAUUUUAAACGUUAUCUUUAUCUUUAACUCCAAUCCAUAAACAAUUCUGCCACAAAUUCAAUCCAAAAUUGUUCAACUGCACCGCCAAUUCUCCAUCAAUUCCCUCAAAAAUUCAUAAUUGCCAAACACUGCAAACCAAAAAGAGCUUCCAGCAAUAAACGCAUAAAAAUCCGCCAAACAACAUAAAACAAAAUACCUAGAAACCAGAAAAGCCAAAAGAUCAAUGCUUGGCAAACAAGCAAAUCAAAUAAAACAAAAAGAAGAGAAAUUUACCAUUAACGCUCAUAUCAGAAACAUUCGUGUCCAAAGAAGCCCGUACGUGGAAUCGUGGACCCUUCACUUGAACCCGAGACCAUUUAACGCCAGUAACUGAAGUUGCAGGAAGCAGAAGUGAAGAACCCAUAUUGCAAAUCCUGAGCUGAAAUCAAGAAAUUCAAUUGGAACUCAAUUCAACUCAACCCAGCUGAGCUCUCUUUUGCUUCAAUAACAAAGUGUUUUUCUUUUAUAUCAACAAAGAUUUGUCAACAUCAACAAAAUUUAACUAAGAAACUAAAAUAAUAAAAGAGGGCACCUUUGAGUUUAAGAAUCUAACAAGAUGCUAAGGAAGAGAGUUUUGUCAGGGAACUGUUUCGGAGAGGUUGGCCAAGUGCUUUUUUGUUUGUUUGUUUGUUUUUUUUUUUUUUUUUUUUUAUCAUUUUGGCCCUUUUCAUUAAUACACAACAUUAGUACUCGCGAAGAGCACAAAAUGUUGGUGACUUUGUCACUAACGAUAAUGGAUGGAGCGACCAAAGCAACCAACUAAAUUUUAAAGAGAGGGAAUGACAAGCAAUAUUUUAAUUGGGUGAUUAAUUAAUGUAUUAUCAAGCAAUUGCAUUUAUUUAUUUAAACGAGGGUUUGGCUACAAUGCCGUUGGCAUUGUAGCCGGCACCAUGCCGGGCUCUCAAAAAGAGAGCCCGGCUGUCUUUGGCUGCCAUCUGGCAGCCAAAGACUUGGUGCAGCCAGUUAACAAACCGGUUGCACCAUAUUUUUUUAAAAAAUAUAUUAAAAAUAUAAUAUAAAAAUAAAAAAAUUAAAUAAAAUGUCAAAAAUAAUUUUUUAUAAUAUAAUUAAUAGCAAAAGAUAAAGAAAUUAAAUAAUAUAAUACAAACCCUAUAAUACAAUAUAAUAUAAUUAAAUAAAAUGGCAAAAAAUAAAGAAAUUGAAAAUGAAAAAAAUAGUAUUUCAGGUUUAACGUCAGUUGUUGCAUGUCCGAUGUCUCGAUUGCAUGUUUGACGUAAGAUGUUGCAUGUGUUGAAUAAAGCCAAAAUAAAGAAUAUUCUCGAAUAUUCUCGUCCGUUUCAUGUUUGACGUCGAAGUUGCGAACUUUACGUGAUAAGUUGUAUAUUUCGCGUGAAGUGUUGUAAGUUUCAUGUUUAACGUCCGUUGUUGCAUGUCGGACGUCACGGUUGCAUGUUUGACGUAAGCUGUUGCAUGUCUUGAAUAAAGACAAAAUAAAGAAUAUUCCCGAAUAUUCUCGUCCGUUUCAUGUUUGACGUCGAAGUUGCGAACUUUACGUGAUAAGUUGCAUAUUUCGCGUGAAGUGUUGCAAGUUUCAUAUUUAACGUCAGUUGUUGCAUGUUCGACGGUUGGAUUUCAUGUUUGACAUACGAUGUUGCAUGUUUUGAAUAAAACCAAAAUAAAGAAUAUUCCCAAAUAUUCUCGUCCGUUUCAUGUUUGACUUCAAAGUUGCAAACUUUACGUGAUAAGUUGCAUAUUUCACGUGCAGUGUUACAGGUUGCAUGUUUAACGUCCGUUGUUGCAUGUCGAACGUCACGGUUGCAUGUUUGACGUAAGCUGUUGCAUGUCUUGAAUAAAGCCAAAAUAAAGAAUAUUCCCGAAUAUUCUCGUCUGUUUCAUGUUUGAUGUCGAAGUUGCGAACUUUACGUGAUAAGUUGCAUAUUUCUCGUGAAGUGUUGCAAGUUUCAUAUUUAACGUUAGUUGUUGCAUGUUCGACGGUCGGAUUUCAUGUUUGAUGUAAGCUGUUGCAUGUCUUGAAUAAAGUCAAAAUAAAGAAUAUUCUCGAAUAUUCUCGUCUGUUUCAUGUUUGACGUCGAAGUUGCAAACUUUACGUGAUAAGUUGCAUAUUUCACGUGCAGUGUUGCAGGUUGCAUGUUUAACGUCCGUUAUUGCAUGUCGGACGUCCUGCUUGCAUGUUUGACGUUCGAUGUUGCAUGUUUUGGAUAAAGCCAAAAUAAAGAAUAUUCUCGAAUAUUCUCGUCCGUUUCAUGUUUGACGUCGAAGUUGCAAACUUUACGUAAUAAGUUGCAUAUUUCGCGUGAAGUGUUGCAAGUUUCAUAUUUAACGUCAGUUGUUGUAUGUUCGACGGUUGGAUUUCAUGUUUGACGUAAGCUGUUGCAUGUCUUGAAUAAAGCCAAAAUAAAGAAUAUUCUCGAAUAUUCUCAUCCGUUUCAUGUUUGACGUCGAAGUUGCAAACUUUACGUGAUAAGUUGCAUAUUUCACGUGCAGUGUUGCAGGUUGCAUGUUUAACGUCCGUUGUUGCAUGUCGGACGUCACGGUUGCAUGUUUGACGUAAGCUAUUGCAUGUCUUGAAUAAAGCCAAAAUAAAGAAUAUUCCCGAAUAUUCUCGUCUGUUUCAUAUUUGACGUCGAAGUUGCGAACUUUACGUGAUAAGUUGCAUAUUUCGCGUGAAGUGUUGCAAGUUUUAUAUUUAACGUAAGUUGUUGCAUGUUCGACGGUUGGAUUUCAUGUUUGACAUAUGAUGUUGCAUGUUUUGAAUAAAGCCAAAAUAAAGAAUAUUCCCGAAUAUUCUCGUCCGUUUCAUGUUUGACGUCAAAGUUGCAUAAUUUACGUGAUAAAUUGCAUAUUUAACGUGACUUGUUGCGGGUUUCAUGUUUUACGUCUAUUGUUGCAUGUUGGACGUCACGGUUGCAUGUUUGACAUUAGAUGUUGCAUGUCUUGAAUCAAGCCAAAAUAAAGAAUAUUUCCGAAUAUUCUCGCUUGUUUUAUAUUUGACAUCAAAGUUGCAUACUUUACGUGAUAGGUUGCAUGUUUGACGUAAAAUAUUGUAGGGUAGGUUUAUAUAAAAUAACUAAUUAUAAAAUGAGAGUGCAUUUCAAAAUUCCUUGACAAAUCAAGUGAUAAUUUAUAACUAAACUUAUUUUUUUCAAAUUUUUUAUUAUUAAUUAAGUUUAAUUAAGCCAAUCUAUUAAGAAACAAAUGAAAAUAUAUUAAAAUUAAAUUAAAUGCAACUUUUACCCAAUAAAUAUAUUUAGGAAUAUAUCUAAUUAAAUUGGUACACAAAUUACAAAUGUUUUCAAGAAAUUACACACAUAAGUUUAAUAGUCUAACUAUUUUUUAUAUGAUUGAUAAAAUGAUGGCUUUGGAAAGAACUUGUGAUUUGAAAAGAAAAAUCUAGUUAAUUAUAAUAAAAUUACAUAUCUAAUCCAACCUUUUUUCCUUAUUUUAGUCAGAUAAUAGUUUUGAAAAUAAUUUGAUAAUUCAAGUGAUAAUGUCUAUUCUUAUUUGUUGUAUAAUAUUUUUUUAGGUGCAUUUCAUUUUAUUUUUAUUUUUUUAGAGAAUCUAAUCAUGGUGGAUAUUUUAAAUUACUAAGUCAUGAAAAUUUUGAAUUCAAUUGAAAUUUACAAUCUUUUAUGAAUGAAAAUAUACAGCAAGACAAAAAAAUUGAGAGAUAAAAAGAAAAUGUGGUAGAAAGAAAAGGCAACAUCAAUAUGAUCAUUUUCUAAGAAAAAUUAAGGCAAAAUCUUCCAAGUAAUAUGGUCAAUUUCAAUAAAAUUACAACUUACUAGAGUAAAUCCAUCUACUAAACAUCCAAAGUUCACAACAUAAUAUUUGAAUAUCACCAAUAACAUCCCCAAUCCUAAAGAUUGCAACAAAUUCAUGUAACAUUUGAGGGUAUUGUUUGGGGGUAAAAAUAACGUGACCAAGUACACAUAAGUAGAACGUGCACCCCUCAGUCGGCCUAAGGCGACUCCUUGAGGAAAGUCUUCCCCGAUGAGUUGAGCAUUGGAGGGUUUAUGUUAGAAAAAUCUCCGACAUCCCCUAACUAGUUGUUAUGAACGCAAGCAUCCUUGGAGAAAGAGCUUGAGGUCCCAAGAGCCUAUUCGAUAAGAAAGAUAGAAGUACAAACCGACUCCCCAACAACUACUAAUUUAAGUGUUGGCGUGGUUGUCUGGUCGCUUCACAGCUCGACGAGAAUUCAACAUCAACAAAUAUUUUAGAACCUAGUGUAUCUUCAAUCAUUUUGGAUUAAAUUCUAUGACACUUUUUUCUUUUCUUCUCUUUUUUUGUGAAAACAAAUUUUAGUACACUUAUUUUAAAAGAAAUUUGUUAAUGAAAAACAAAAUAAUGACAAUGAAGAGCACUCAUUUAUAAAAAUAAGCUACAAAUAGAAAAACAAAAUUCAUAUAAGUAGAAUCUCCCAAAAACUAAAAGCAUUGUCGAAUUGAGUUACAAACUAAUAAUAAUUUCAUCAAAGUUUGUAAACCAAAGAUUGUCCUAAUAUCAAAAAGUUUCCAAUAAAACACUCCAACUGAAUUCUCCCCUGGAAAUAAUUAAAAUUUUCAAGUUAGUCAAUAAGAAAAAACAGCCAUCAAUCAUAAUAAGAAGCAACAGCAAAUUACACUAAAAAAAUGGCAGAAAAAAGCACCAAAACAACAAAUAUAAACAAGAAACAACAAUUAAAAAAAACCCAAAAAUGGCAUAAAAAGAUGCUCAAAGCAGCAAUAAAUUUAUAAAAAAUACCCUAAAAUAGCAGUGAAAAGUGCUUUAAAAAGCAUUAAAAAAUCCAAAAACAAUAGUAAACAUGCCUAGAAACAGUAGAAAAAACCCCCUAAAAUAGCAAGAAAACUGCCUAAAACUAGAAAAAAAAUCUAACAGCAAAAUCUUCCAUUGCCAGAUAAAGCUACGAAAGAAAAGAAAUAAAAUUCAUAAAGAGUCAAAGCUAACAUACUGACCACUUGCUAGAAAUUAAGCUAUAAAUCCCAAAUUUUUACACAAAUUAGUAUCUGAAACAAGAUUGGUUUGAUAUAUGAUAGUCAAGUAAAAUACCUAUAAAGUAGUACAAAUUCAGCAAACCUAAUGGCUUCACUCCACUGAUUUUCUUAAGACUCCAGUGAUGAGAAGCUGCCAACAGAAUGAUAAAUUGAGGUUUGACAGGAAGCACACAAACUAAACAAGAUACAUAACAACUUUGUUAUCCAUGUUACACCCUAGAACCAUUUCUAGGAAUAUUUGUUAGAAUAGCCACCAUAACAGUUGAUGAGCAACAUAAAACAGAGACAACAACAAAACCAGCAACCUGCAAAGUGCCAAUUCUUCCAUAAUUAAAUCAGAUACACAAUAGAAAUAAUUUACUAUUAAAAUCCCAAAUUCAUUUUAUCUUCUUCCUGCAUUUUCUCAUCAAUCAAACAUAAAAGAGAGCUCCUAUCGACACAUGCAAACAGCACCCACCAUCUUGUCGCAUUCAAACACAACCCAAGAUCACAAAAGUUAAUUUUCUAGAUUUAGUUAACCAAAGAAAAUAUACCAUCAACUGGAUCACCUUAUAAAUCAAAUACAAUUCCACAAUAUUACCAACCUCCCAAAAAAAAAAGGCACAAACUUUAAAAUGAAAACAACAACACCAUGAAAAAUAAGCAAAAGUGGGUAUUUAAAUCAAACAUGAUAGAAUGCAACAAAAGCAAAAAAGCUUUCGAUAGAAGCCAAAGCUAGAUGGGGUACAAGCAAGCUAGGAGGUACCAAUUAAAGAUGCUUCAUUCAAGAACAGAAAAGCUACCAGAAUGAUAAAAGUAGAAAAAAUGAAACAAUAAACAGAAAAUUGGGUGAAAGCUGCAACAAUAGUUUCAAUCACUUAACAGUACCAGCAAACUUAUAGUAAACUUUAAGAACUAGAUGUUUAAGCCACAGAUAAUGGGGACGUACCCAUGAGGAUAAAGACACAAGCGUGAGACCAGUAAAGCCGCCCAUCCUUAACUUGUGCAGGAAACAAAGUCGAAUGAAAAAGGAGGCAACGACGGUAGCGACGAAAACAGCUGGAUCGGAAGCGAACAGCUCAAGAUGAAAGCAACAAGUUAAUGGAUUGGAUUGUGUGCGCGAGAUGUGGCUUCGAUUUUAUUUGAUUAGUCAAGAAAUCGAAGAGAGAAAUUUGAGAGAAAUUUGUGAUUUCUGAGAGAGAGGCAAGAAAUUGAGAGAGAUUGGGCACGGUUGAAACACCUAAAUUAUAAAAAUAUAAAUUUUGCAGCCUUUGGGAACUGGUUGCUUCGGUUGCCCUUUUUUUGUUUUUUUUUUUAUUUCUUUUCAAUGUCAGCCGUUGGAUUCAUUUUACUUGAAUCCAACGACUGCAUUUACAAGCCAGCACAAUGCCGGGCCUCAAUGCCCGGCAUUGUAGCUUUAGCCUUUAAACGAUGUCCUUAUCGUUGGACAAGGUUGAGGAAAGACAGCGAUGUUGUGUUGUCACGUAUUUUUGGGCCGACCGUUUCCAGUUCCGGCUUAAAUGAGGCUUUUGUAUUUUUGUGCCCUUUUUUUUACUGAGUAUUUUGUCCUAAAUUACACCAAAGAAAAUGUGGACUUUAGAAUGUGACAGUAUUGAUAUCUAAGUUCAUAAUAUCAUGAUAAAACAAAUAAAUGAAUAGAAAUGUAAAUAAAUUUGGUUAAAAUUUAAUGGCUUCGAAUUCGGUAUGUUAUCAAACAAAUCAUACUCUUAGGAUUUGGAUUCAAUUCAUUUAUUAAUUGGAUGUCUAUUUAAUUCGUUUAUUAUACAAAAUUAAAUGAAUUGAAUUGAAUUUAGAUUCAUUUACAAUUUGUUUAAUUUAUUUAUGUAAAAUUAAUAAUAAAUCAAUCAAAUGUGGAUUUGUUUAAAAAAUAAUAAUAAUUAAUAACAAAAAUCAAGCAAAGUAAAAUAGAAAAAAAAUCAUAAAAUUAACAACCUACAAAAUAAAAACGAAUUAGUGACCGCAAACUUGAAUUCAAUUCAUUUAUUUAACGAAUUGAAUUGAAUUCACUUAUUUGUUAAUGAAUCAAUUUUUUUUUUAAAAUUCAAACCUAUUUAACUUGAAUCAAAUAAACACAUCCUAAUCUAAAUUGUCACCUCUAAAUAUGAUGGACCUAUUUAAAAUAUAUGAAUACCAAAAUGUGUGGGCUAAAAAGUGGUUUACCAUGCAACAAUACAAAGUUUAAGCUCUCUUUUCUUAUGUCAUCCAAGGCAUUGCCUAGAUCGCCAAACACUAGAGUUCAAGUCUACAAUAAAGAAUCGAAAUUUUCCUUUGUAUAUGUUCGUAAGUAUUUAGCAUAGAUUUUUUAGUUAUACUUGAUAGAUCCCCUACCAUAUUUGCUAUAAUAUUUCUCUUCUAUUUAAAAGUAAAUAAUGCAUAAUAACGGAUUUGUAAAGAAAUGAAAUUUCCAGUAAUUAUCUGAAAAAAAAAAGAUGGAUUAAGCGAAAGAAGUUAAUAUAGAGUAAGUCGAGUACUUGACAAUUAAAGUAAUUUUACUCGAGGUUGAGUAAGGAUAGUAGGAUACUUUCCCAAGUUUUCCGAGGACAUUCAUGUAACAUUGGACUAUUGACUAUAGUUAGAGAGAAGUCCUAGGAUGUAAGUGAUGAUGAUAGAUUCACAAUUCUUUUGAAGAAAAUAUUUUAUAUAAACUUAAUUAUAUGGUAUAAAAUGAUUGGCCUUAAUAAAAUUAAAAAAUAAUAAAAAUAAUACACGCCUGGGUCAUGCAAUAUUUUCAACCAACUAAUUUACACGCAAAAUUAAACCUUAUGAGUGAGAACAUUAUGGUACAUUUAUUUGCUAGCAAAAACUCCGCAAAAAUUUUCCGAAGUGUGAAAAUGAACACUUUUAACAAUGGCACAAAAUUCCCACCCCCCAUGAUUAAUUCUCUUAUCUGGAAUAUUAGGGGGCUUCCCCUGCGGAAAUUAGUUCGAUUACAUCGAUUGUCUUUGAUUUGUGUGUUGGAGCCAUUUAUUUCCGUUGAUCGUUUAGAGGCUCUUCGGGUGCGACUUGGGAUGGAUCAUGCUUUAUCUUCCCAAUCUGGGAAGAUUUGGGUUUUCUGGUCCGCACCUUUCUCGGUGGAGCUUUUGCAUGACAUGGGCAAGGUGAUUUAUUAUCGGGUUAGUCACUCUUUUUUUCCUGAUCCUGUGUAAGUUUCAUAUGUGUACUCUAGUUGUUAUAUGGAUGUGCGAGAGAAUUUAUGGGAUGCUCUUAAGACCUUUGUGGAUAGUCAUGACCUACCUUGAAUCGUGGGGGGAGAUUUUAAUAUGAUUCAGGCGGUCUCGGAGAUUUCUGGCUGGCAUCUACAGACUCGGGGAGCUAUUGAUGCCUUUAAUUUAGCGUUGCUUGAUUGUGGGUAGGAGGAUGCUAGCUUUGUUGGCAGUCCUUUUACUUGGACUAAUGGGCGCCCAUGGAGGCAGCUUGAUAGGGUGGUCUGCAACACUCACUAGUAUGCUUUCUUCUCAGUAUUUCGGGUCUCUCAUCUGAAUCGUACUGCCUCAUAUCAUUCUCCUUUGCUUUUUUUUUGGUGAUCGGGACGCUGUUAAAGGACCUUUACGGUUUAAAUUUCUUCAUGUGUGGCUCAUGCAUCCAGGUUUUCUUGAUACUGUGCGGCAGUCUUGGGGUGCUCCGGUGGUUGGUUUUGGAAUGAGAGCCUUUCAACAAAAACUCACUCGGUUAAAGUUCUGCCCAAAAGCUUGGAACAAAAAUGUCUUUGGUAACGUUUUUUAUCGGGUCCAACAAGCAGAGGAGGACGUGGCUCAGAAGGAGAGAUUGUAUGAUAUUUCUGGCUCCGCCGAUUACAGAGCUAAUUUUUCUGAGGCCAGGGCCUGGUUGCAGCAUGCUUUGCUUCGUGAGGAGAUUUUUUUUUGCGUCAGCAGUCCUGUGUUCGAUGGGUUCGAGAGGGCAAUACUAAUACCUAUUUUUUCCAUGCGAUGAUCCGGAAAAAGCGCCAGUUGUUUUAUAUUCACAGGAUUCGAGUUGAUUGUUUCUCAGAGUGGAUUUCUGAGCCCUCCGCCAUUGUAGAUUAUGAUGUCGAUUAUUUUCAAGAUUUAUUAACGGGAGAUGCCAGUCAAUUUCAGCAGACGGACUUCGAAGUUAUUCCAUCUCUUGUGUCUGUAGAGGAUGAUGUAGAGUUAUGUAGAGAGCCGUAUAUGGAUGAGAUUAGACAUGCGGUAUUUUUUAUUGAUCCAGAUAGUGCUCCUGGACCGGAUGGUUUUUGUAGCAGAUUCUAUCAGUCGUGUUGGGACAUCAUUUGCCAUGACUUGUUAAAUGUUGUCCUCGAUUAUUUUAGAGGUUCGGCAUGCCCAGAGGUUUCCAAAGUACUUUAUUGGUCUUUCUGCCUAAGAAGGCUUCUCCGGCUUCUUGGGCUGAUUUCCGUCCAAUUAGUCUUUGUAAUGUGAGCAACAAGGUCCUUACUAAGUUGCUUGUCCCAUCUCCUGCCUCACAUUAUUUCUCCUACUUAGAGUGGUUUUAUUCCUGGUCGAGUGAUUCAUGAUAACAUGCUCCUGGCUCAGGAGUUCGUUCACGAUCUCAAUCGCCAUACUCGAGGGAACAAUGUGGUUCUGAAAUUAGAUAUGGCGCAGGCAUACGACGUAUGUCAUGGCCUUUUAUUAUUAAGAUGAUUCACUGUUUUAAGUUCUCGAAGCGUUGGAUUGCUUUGAUUUGGCGAGCGAUUUACGGUCCUUAGUUUUCAGUGCUUAUGAACGGGGUCAGUAACAUAUAUUUCCAGUCCCAGAGUGGUCUUUAGCAGGGUGAUCCCCUUUCCCUUUGCUUAUUUAUUAUUGCUGCAGAAUUUUUAUCUCCAGGCUUAGAUCAUUUGUAUUCUCAAUAUCCCUCUGUUCGGUAUUGUUAUACUGCACCUACUUCUAUCUCCCACUUGAGUUUUGCGGAUGGUAUUGUUAUUUUUGCAAAUGAGAGCCGAUCUAACUUACAGUGGCUUGUGGAUUUCUUACACCAUUAUAAGGCGAUCUCAGGGCAGUUGAUUAGCGAGGACAAGAGUAACUUCUACAUUGGGAAGCCAGCUUCGACCUCCCGCCAGGCCAUUGUUCACUCUGUGCUUUCAGUGACGUCAGCUUCCGUUUACUUAUCUUGGGUGCCUGAUCUUUACAGGGCACCUCAAGAUCUCCUAUUUUGAUGACAUGGUCCGGAAGGUCAAGGAUAAGAUUUCUGGCUGGGCUAACCGUCUGCUUUCCUUUGGUGGGAAUCUCGUCCUCAUUCGCCAUGUGUUAUCCUCUAUGGCCCUGCACUUAUUUCACGUCCUCCGUCCUUUUAUAACGGUAGUUUAACGCCUAGAGCGAUUAUUCACCCGAUUCCUAUGCGGUGAUUUUGAGGGAAGACACCGGAUCCACUAGUGUAGAUGGCCAAAGGUUUAUUAUCCAGUUGACGAGGGUGGCCUCGAUAUACGAUCUUUUGAUGAUAUGGCGGAGGCUUUUGAGAUUAAACUUUGGUGGCGGUUUUGUUAGCAGAGUUCCUAUAUGAAGUCUAAGUAUUGCAGAUCUACGCAACCAAGCCUUAUCCAGUUUCGCUAUCUUGCCUCUCCUUUAUGGAGACACCUUUAUAAGAUUCGUUGCACGACUAAACCUCAUGUGCGUUGGCUCGUUAGGAGUGGAGAUUGUAGCUUCUGAUAUGAUUGUUGGCUGAGUUCUUGCCCUUUAUUUUUUUAUAACCCUACAACGGCUUUGUCGGUGUCGGUCUAGUUCUUUUGGCAGGGUACAAUCUGGGACAAAGGCAAACUAAAGGAUGUCUUGCCUUCAUCUAUUGUUGAGCAGAUCCUAUUAGUGCCUAUUUCUAGUGGGAAUCCAGACCUGAUUCGUUGGGACCUUGCCCCCGAUGGCACGUUUAACUUGCGGACUGCUUGGGAGCUUGUACGGUGCUCGAGGCCGAGGGAUGAGCUUUUCUCGAUGAUUUGGUAGAGGCAUAUCCUGUCACGAGUUUCCUUUUUUCUCUGGCAGCUACUUCACGGAUUCCUAGCUACUGAUGAUGCCUUAUACUUGAGGGGUUUCUACAUGGUUUCUCGAUGUAUUUGUCAGCGGGUUGCUGAGACUUCUCGGCAACUUUUUAUGGAUUGCCCGCGGGCCCAUCAUAUUUGGGUUCAUUACUAGCGGAUCAUGGGGAUGCGUGAGCUUUAUUUUCUGUCUCCCCGUACUUUGCUUUUAUUUUGGAAACAUUGUGCCCCUUCUCAGAAUCAUCAUCGGGUCCUUCUGCCUUACUUCAUUUUGUGGCAAAUUUGGAAGGCCCUAAAUGCUUUCUGGUUUCAUUCACAAUCUUUCUCCACUGAUGCGGUUAUCUUUCAGGUCGACUCUGAUCUCAGGCUUGCUAGUUCUGCUUUUGGAUUCAAGCCUCCCCAACUGAGGGGAGUCUUGGGUUCUCGUAUUGCGGAGAGCUUGCGAGUGACGGCUCCCCGUAGGAGGUCGAUUCGUCUAGUUGCUUGGAUGAGGCCAACUUCAGGGGUGGCUAAGCUGACUGUGGAUGGUUGCUCUAGGGGCAACCUUGGGAUGGCUGCUUCCGGGGGUAUUCUUCGGGAUCACCGGGGCGUGGUUUUAACGGCUUUUGGAUCCUUUUUGGUUUACAAGCCGAUCUUAUAUGCUGAGCUCAUGGUGGUGUGCGAGGGUUUGGAGCUUGCCAUUCAGCUUGGGUACUCAGUGCUCGAGGUUGAGUCAGACUCGGCUAUAGUGAUGUCAUGGAUUCACACCUCAGGGUCCUGUUCGAUGGGAAUGUUUUUAUUCUCUGCGCUGGGUGUGCCGUCUGGUAACGUCAUUCCCCAUUCAGGUGAGACAUGUUCUUCGCGAGGCUACUUAUGCUGCUGAUGUUCUAGCCAACUGGGCACGCACUCAUCGGACUAGCUGAUGUUUCUUAUCUCCUCGAGAGCUUCCCAAAGGCUUAUCUGGUAUUCUUUACUUAGAUGCCCACGCAAUCCCCCAUGUCAAACGUUAGGAUUUUAUCUUUUUCUUAUAUCUCAUUUUCUCUAGGAGGUUUUGGCUUAUAUCCCCUCCUUUGUAUCUAAUUCAUUUUCAGAUUUAUAUUAUAGGUAAGGGUUCCGUCUAACCCCACCACUCUGGUGGUUUAAAAAAAAAAAAAAACAAUGGCACAAAAUGCCUGUGAUAAUGAAACAAUGUGCCAUCCUUAAACUAAUAUCAUUACAAACUACAAGUGAAAGUUUUUGGAAAACAUGUGAUAAGUUUUUCUCGGAAUUUGUUUUCUUCUUUGUUUUGAUUUAAGUGUAAAAUUUUAAAAUCCGUAACAAAACAAAAAUUUACAUGGGUUGGGUGCACCUUGUGGUUCGUGCAUGCUUUCGUCUAAUAGUAUUUGAUACAUACAUAUUCAUUUUAAAAUUGACGAAUCGUAAUAAAAAAAUUUAUAUAUAAUAAUUGAAUGAGAUCCAUGGUUCACAAUUGCAAAUUAACGGUUGGUUUUAUAAUAAAAAUCUUUAUGUACAUACCAAAUUAAAAAAAGUUAUAAGUGAAUUAAGAUUUUCAAAAUUUGACUCGUAUUAUAUUGUGUACGUCAAUAUAAUAUAAAUUUGUUAUAUAUAUAUAUAUAUAUAUAUAUAUAUAAUCCAGUGCUUUGAAAAACUUUAUACUUGUUUGAACAGUUUUUUUGCUUUCUAUUUAUAUACGGUAUCAUUUAUGUUUACAUAAAUUUUCAUAUGUACCCAAAUUAAGCAUUAAAUACACAAACACUUUGUUAGGGCACAUGUAUAAUUAAUCUUAAUAAUUCUUAUACAAUCCUCUAUUUAACACCAGCAACGUCACCCAUUAUAAUUUAUCACUAAAUAUUGUAAAACUAUUGGUUUUCACGAAUAACUAAUAAAAAUUAUUUUUUUUAAAAGAAAAAUACUGCGAUUCCUUUCACUGUUGUAGUAGUAUAGUUAUCGUGGACGAUGAAUUUCUAGUAUUGUACAAUGAUAUUUAUGUUGAAUAUAACGCUUCAAUGAAUUUUAUUACUAUAUACUACAAUACUCAACCAUCUUCAUUAAAAAAAAAAAAAUUGCAUGAUUAGAAUGAUUAAAGUUCAUCUAAUGACGAGUUUCAUCAUUGACUGUGUCCAAACACAGCAGCAAUCCAGAAUACAUUUAACACGAGAGGCGCACACAAACAUGCAUGAUGAAUCUUCCACCAUUAAACCUGAAAUCAUAAAAUGAAAGAAACAAGAUGAGUGUUGUUUGUCUGAAAGCCGAUUCGAGAAAAAAUAAUAAUAAUAAUAGACCUUUGUUAAUAAUUAAUACUAGUUGUCACUACCUUGUGCAUCUUCCUCCUCUGUAUCAUCGUCCUCUUCCAAUCACACCGCAAGACCAGUAUAUCUCGAGAAUCUUUACUGCCUUCUCACAGAUCCCAUUGCUGUCAUGUCUUUUGAGAUCUUCAAUCUUUUUGAAUCCCUCAGCCGCCUCCACCAACCGUGCAUAAUGAUUAAAAUAUCUAUUGGCGGUACCCGUAUUCAUUUCAGCUUCCCCGACCUUCAAAAUGUUCUCUAAUCCUUUUAAGCAAAUAGUGACGAUCUCUGGAUCAGCGUAUAGAAGGAGAUCACACAAUGGUUUUAUACACCCCUUUCUCACGAGGUACUUGAUUUGCUCAUGAGUACCACCUGAGAUGGCAUUUGAAAUUGCCCGAGCGGCCUCCUUCUUUGUAAAAAAUUCAGCAUUUUGAAGCAGAUCGACAAGGGGACCAAUUACGCCAGCAUCAAUUACCACCUGAAUCUGUUCCCUGUUACCAGCUGUAAUAUUUGAAAUAGUCCUGCAUGCCUCUUUCGCAAUGCCUGUACACUGAGUCAGGAAACCAUCUCCCUUCACAAUAUAUCUGACAGUCCACAGGGGAGGAGUGAGCCCGAAGGGGAAGGGUAAUGGAUGAAGAAGGAGCUUAACAAGUCGUGGACAGACAUCUGCCUCGAUCACAGCUUGAAUUUUGUCAUUCGUACCAUCAGAUAGACAGGAUAGUGCCUCGCAGGCAUAUCUCAAGACAUCGUUGUCAUUUGAAUGAACAAGUUGUGCAAGCGCAGGAAGAGCUGGCCUCACCUGAUCAAAUGGUGGCUCUGGCUUGCCCUGGCAAAAACGAGACAAUGUCUUUGUGGCAUUUCUUAGCAUUGAAGGCUUAGCAUGCUUAUUUAACUGUGCCAGCAACGGAAUCAAAGCUUUUUCACUGAGCACAAGAUCACGGUCUCUAGGUGAGCUACGAGCAAUAUUUCCCAGUGCCCAAACAGCCUUCUCUCGGACAUCAUCACUUGGAGAAGAAAGUAGCUUCACAAAUAUUGGAACAGCACCGCCGUCGAUCACCACAUUAGUAUUCUCAGAAGCAAUGUUUGUAAGAGCCCGAGCAGCUUCCAACUGAAGCUGCGGAUUGUCUUCCCUAGUAAGAAACUCAACAAAGCGCGCGACAACGCCAGAUUGUAUGACUUUCUCACUUGGUGGUAGGAGCAGUUUUCGGAACCAAGUAGUUGCUUCCAGCUGCAAGCCACUGUCAUCUGACCAAACCCCAGCAAGCAUCCCAGGUAAACUCACCAACUUAUUUUAGGAGCAGGAGCAGGAGGAGGAAAUUAAGUUAGGGAUUUAGAGUGAGAGUGAAGGUGGAGAAAAAGCAAGAGAGGGAAAAAGCUUAUUGUUGAGAAAUAUGUACCUUUUGUAUGGUUGUGUUAAGGUCGUCCUUCCAAGCCCAACAUGCUUCACCAUGCCGCUCCACUUUGUGUAAUUUGGGUGUACUUAAUUUUCCUUCAGAGAAAAUCUUCAUAUCGGGGCAAUCAUCCACCACUAAUCUUUCUAAAGAUGGGAACUUGAAAGCACAAUUGCCAGAGCAGAAGCUUGUCAGGCGUUCUAAGUCUACAAGCUUCAACUCCUUCAAUUCUCUGAAAGUAAUAACCUCAUCUUUUGCUACAACAUCAUCCCCCUGUACUAUUUCUGUUAUCCUAUCGCAUGAUUUUAUCUUCAUAUAUCUAAGUCGCACCAGAGUCUUUGCAAUUAAGGAUGUUAAUACGAUUUUCAAGUUGUUGCAACGCGAUACCACCAUAUUUGUAAGAUUCUGAAAGGAUGUCGACGGUGGCACUAGAUUGACUAAAUGGUCACACCCCUUUACACGUAGAAUAACCAAGUUGUUCGUAACAGAGGACUCCCUUAUCAAAAUGUGCUCCAGAUGAAAUGCUUCUCUUAUUUCUACCCACAUCCCAUUUUCAACCUUCUCAUACGGCAACGAGGCACUAUAUCCUCCUAUUUGGAGGACUUUCAUUGUGUGAAGUCUCUGGAGGAAGUCACCAAGUGAUAAAAUCGUCCGCUCAUCACCCAAGUGAUAUUUAUUUGUCACUACGUGCUUUGCAUCAACUUUCAACUUUUCCAAAUUAGGGAAUACCUGGGAGAUCGAUCACAACCCCAAAAAAAAGAAAAAAAAGAAAUACAAGAUGAAUCAAUUGAUAAGAAAUAUAAGUUACCACUAAUUUAUACAAUAUAUUUUAUUCAAUAAAUCUUAACCUUUAAAAAAAAUAGUAAUAAUAGUAUGCCUAACAUCUAGAAUAAUUAUGAAUGAAUACUAUACACUAAUCCGUAAGAGAGUUACGUUGCUGACAAUUUGAGUUUUAGUAAGAAACCAAGCGAUGAAGGCAAAGGCAAUAUAACUCUAAACUCUAUGAUAUAAACUCUCACAGUGCAUACAUAAGAAUUGAAAAAUUGAUUAUAAAAUUCUUGUACCUACCCUUUCCGUGAAGAUACUAGUAGUUCUCACCAUGAAUUCAGGACAUUUAGAUAUCCGUAAUUCUUUCAAGGAUGGAAAUUCAAGAAUAUCAAGAUCUCCAGUGCAGAAGCUUGUGAACUUUUCAAGAUCAGACAUCUUCAGAUAUUGCAACUGAGGAAACAUUACAAUAUUUUUCUUCCUUUCUUCUUGGUUGUCCAUAACUAUUAACUCUUCCAAGACAGGACAUCCGACUAUCUCAAUGCAUUGGAGUUGAACAAAGCUACUAACGGUAGAAGAUGAAAAUAGACAUCUUAAAUUCAUACAGCAGGACAGGGUCAAGCGCGUUAAAUUCUGAAUACCACAAGACAUGACUGCAACUUGGUUUUGCCAAAUCCUUUCAACAUUUAUUGAAAGCAAAUGCAACUUCUCUAACUCUGGUAACCGAACCUGCUCGAUCAAAAAAUUAACUCGUUAAUUACAAGCAACAAUGAUUUCUGUUGAUGGACAAAUCAAUAAAAUUACUCUUUCUCUGGUUAUAGUUCUUUUCAGUUUUUCAUACAAACAACCGUUAAUCAAGUUUUCCAAAUUAUUCCUUACUAAAUGUAUAGAUUUAGACGGCGGCUAAUAUAAUUCAUAUUGCAAAUAUUCUUUGAUUGUAACGAAUUUUGUAAUAUUAAAUUUUGGUUGAUUCGCAAUAGGACCUACUAUCCAGCGGGAGCAGUUCCUUGGGAUUUAACUACUGGCACCUCGAUUAUAUAAAAAUUUGGAAUAUUUUCAAAGGAAAUCACAUAAUUUCCCCUUGCAAAUAGUAAUUAUCAUUAAUUGCCACGGGUUGACAUAUAAUUCUAAGAAAUUAGGCGAGAAGAGUCUCAUCAACAAUCAAUCAGCAGAUAUCACGUUUGGCAGAUCAUCAUGAUUUCCUCAUAUGCUAGAGAAUCAACGUGAUUUCCGCUCAUGCAGGAGCAGGAGUGGACACAUUAUCUUAGAGCAUCCCUCACUGAGAUCUUUUAAAAAAUUUAUAUUAUAAAGUGAACAACAUAUUAAGUAUAGAUUUAGACGGCGGCUAAUAUAAUUUAUAUGUAUUCUAAUGACGUAUAUUAAAGAAAAUGACUAACCAUAAUUUCAAUCAACUUAUUAGUCUAUAUAUAUAUAUAUAAUAUAUAAUAUAUUCAGUGAUUACAACAUAUUUAGUAUUCCAUAACAUGAAGUUUAUAAUAAUAAUUAUUAUUAAUUCACUUAUUGUGUCAAGAACAUUUUCUUUCUCUAAGAAUGAAUUUGUUACACCCUACUAUACUACGGAUGAAAAAUUUAGAAUCAUUGUGAAAUAUAAUUAUUAAUCACUCUUUGCCAUAUUUGCGACCAAAGAAGAAUAUAACAAAGAAAAGAAACAAAAAUUAUAGAGAAUUAAUGAGACCAUUGACGUAUUAAUAACUGACCUUCCCAGUGAAAAGCGUAUUAGAAAUUUGGAUAUUGUCCUCCAAAAUGAUUUCAUGUGACUGCAAAUCAUUAGCUGAUUCCUGUUGUCUCUGUUGACAUUGAGUGUAAACUUAAUUGUGAGCACAAUCUUAAUGCAUAGAUACAAGAUCUCUAAAAAUUAGUAUAAUAAACUUAGCACAAAAUCUAAAUUUGAUAUUUCGGAUUCCAUGAUUAAGAUUUUUUAAAUAAAAAUUUAAUAUAGUUAAUUUAAAAAUAAAAAUUAAAUAUGAAAAAUUAGAUUUGCAAUUAUGGAUUUAAUUUUGAUAAAUAAUGAAUGUUCUCUUUAUAUUUUUUUUUAAAGGUAAAACAGCGUACAAAGCCCAAAUUCAUUUUUUUAGUCCCUUACUCUCCCAUGAUUCAAACUUGGGUGGUUGUAGGGGGACUGAAAAUAUGUAAGACAGUUAACUUCACUUUUUUUUUUUUUUGAGAGAGAAAAGAGAAGAAGGAUAUUACAAAGCACGAAGCUCGUGCAAUAUAAGGGCAAUUAUGGUUUUUUCUUUAAAUUAAAAUGGUAAGAUUCUGAAGCUAAAAGAUUAAAAUAUUAAUUAAAUUGCAAACAUUAAAGAUUUUUUUUCCAAAAUUGGUUGCUUUGAAAAUGAGAAUAAUAUAAUGUUUGAAGACUUUUCAAAAUUAAUUACUGUGAUGCACUAGAAAUUUCUAGCUUUAGUCUAAUGUAUAAAUUGACAAAACGAUAUUAGAAUCCCAGGUGAAAAGAACCCUCUCAUACCAAUUAUUUAAAUUAGGAAUGAUCAUACCUCUGACUCUGCCGAACUGAGGGCGGGGUCUAAACCCCUCAUACGGAGACGCUUGAGAUGGGAAGAGCCCACUUUGACUAAUUCAUUACGAAUAUAAUCGACAUCUUGCUCUUGCAAUCCACGUAAUUCAAGGUCUUCAAUUCUCUGCAGUUGCACGAUCAGCGAAUCCUUCAAGCAAAUCUUGUCAUUGAGGUCGAGACUGAAUUCACGACACCAACUGCCGUUGCUCUCCUCAUCAUCUCCAAUGCGUAUGCUGUACCUUUCCAGCUUCUCCAAGAGCAGGCCUCUGGGCAGAGUGCUGACGUCAUAGACGUGUAAUUCCAAAGAGGUCAAGUUGGGCAAAUGCUUCAACUCCUCAAGGCUUGCAUUCUUAACCCCUCCCACCUCCAUCUCCCAGUAACGAAAGCUUUGAUCUAUAUAUAGUUCUUCUAAAUGUGAUAAUUUUGACAGUAUAUUUGGUGGAAUAACUUCUAGAUAGCAACAAUCCCUCAAAUCAAGCAACUUUAGCCAAGUCAAUUCACCUACUUCUACCGGCAACUUCUUAAUAUAAGAACCUCUUAAGCAAAGGAUUUCUAGUUUCUUCAAGCCUCCUACAACACUUAUAUCGGGCAAGAUGAAGCCGCACAAACUCAGUGUUCGAAGGUUUGACAGGAGACCAAGUGAUGAAGGCAGUGACCGUAGAAACAUGCCAGUCAAGUUGACAACUCUGACCUGCAUCAUCCUCUCGAAAAAGUUGUUUGGAAUUGUUAAUGAUGAAAAUUCCCAACGAUCAGCACGUAUAAAAAGAAGUUCGAGCUGAGGACAUUCCAGUACUUCAGGAAGCAAAUUAUUCUUGAUACCAUGUAAGACGAUUGAAGUGCAAUGCUUUAUUGCACUUCCAUCUGACCAUUCCCUGCAACCAUCAACCUGCUCAUUUGUAGCAGUAAACACAUUUCGUUCAGUAGAUGCAAUUGAUACGGCGACAUCGCGAACUACAUCAUGCAUAGAAAACAACUCUUUCUUCUGGCUUAUAUGGUCAAGCAACAUACAAGAAGCUUUGAGUGUGCGCACCAAUGUAUGUACUCGAUUUCGUGCUACUUCAAUCUUAUUCACACCUUGAAAUAAACCCAAUCCCAUACCACACAUUAACAAGUCAUCAAUAGAUGCUAUGGCUGUAUAUCCUAUUAGCAAAAAGAUGUUCUUGAGAUCAUCCCUUCCUAGUUUAUUGUAGCUCAACUCGAUAGCUUUAAAUGCGGCUGGCUGUACAUCCUUAAAAUUCGAUGAAGAAGGCCUUCUUAGCUGUUCCAAUGCAUCCUUCCAUUCACGUAUGCUCUUGCUCCUUAAUGCCCUUGCAACCGUCACAAUGGAAACUGGUAGACCUGCACAUUCCUUUGCCACAUCCCUUGCUACCUCUUUCAAUUCAUUAUCUUCAACAUAAUCACCUGCCAUCUUCGUGAAUAGACUCCAAGCUUCAUCUUCUUUUAAAAAUCCAACUGGGAAAUUUUUUCGAGACUCCAUCUCUCCAGACAAUACUUCUUCACUCCUUGCCGUGAACAGCACUUUACAUCCCAUGUGAUCAUCUCCGUGAGGAAUUCCGACAUCCAACAAAUCAAGAUUUUCCCAAAUAUUAUCCAAGAUUACAAGGAUCCUCUUCUCUUUCUUCAGUCGAUCAUAGAGUCUUCUUGCCCUACCCGAUUCACUCUCCUCAUCAAAUUUUAGACCUAGUUUAUCCGCGAUUUCUCCUUGAAGCUUUCUUACGUCUCGACUCUCAGACACCUCAGAAAAAACCACCUGAUCGAAAAGCUUGUCACUCUCUGCUUUUCUAGCAACUUCUUUAGCUAGCGUCGUCUUUCCGAUUCCGCCCAUUCCAUAAAUCAAAAGCAUGUUGACAUUGGGAUUUUUUAAUGCAUCAAUUAUUUCAUUCAGAAUGGACGUUCUUGAUUCAAAGGCCUCGAAGUCUUUGUUAGGCAUAAGCAAGGUAUCCUCCGGAAUGAUGCUGUAGGAAAUACUAUUAACUGGUCUAGCGUCCAGGACUUUGACAACAGCCUCCUUCUGCCUCUCUGCUUCCUUGCUAAGUCGAGGGCGGGUCUUCAAAUUAGGACAUAACCCCUUGAAACAACGCUUAUUUGCAGUGGCUUCAUCUUCUGUAAAUUUAUCUGCCUCUUCAAUGACACUGUUGGCCGUUGCAAGCCAAUUCUCAACGUUCUCUUCAAUCUCUUCUCCUUUUCUUUUAGCCUCAUCAACCUGGUGCUCUGUAUUCACCCUCUCAGACUUUAGUUUCACAACUUCAGUGUUGAGAUUCUGUAAGUUGCUCGUGUACUUACUCUCACGCAAAUAGCUAAUUUGGCGAUAUGCGUGAGGAGCCAAGCACUUUGCAACUUCUAAAGCAAUAGUAAGAAUGAUUUCAGCCAUCUUCAGUCCUUUGUCCUUGUCUCUCUAUCUCUCUUUUUCUGAAUUUUGGAAAAACAAUUCAACAAGUGACCACAACAAGAUGGAACAAAAUAAAAAGGAAAAAAAUACAAAGAGUGGAUGGAGAAUAAAACAGAGACAGCGGCACAGCUAGACACAACUAGAUAGAGAACAGAGGAAAACCAAAUAACAAGACUUAAGAUUACAACAAACAGAGGCCAAGUAUUAUUGUUGAGAUCAGAAGAUGGAAAAUUCCAAAGAGUUGAUGGCAGAUGCUGAAUAACAGAACAACAAUGAACACAAUAAACAGAAGCAAAGUGUGUUUGUGAUCGACAGACGGAAGUAAGGAAAGCGGUUGUUGAUUGAAAAUGAAUGAAUGCAAAGAAAGACUGAUGUUAAAAAUUGAUGUCAAGGAAUAAUUGAACUUUCGCUGAAUUAUUGUUUGUGGCUUCUUUUACUGUUUAUUUGUGGGUCAUGUCUUUUGGAACUAAUCUUGUCCAAAAAAUGUUGUUUAUUUGUGGGUCAUGUUAUUCAGCAUCUGCCAUCAACUCUUUUGUUUAUUUAUUCAAAAAAUAAAUUGUGAUUAUUUGUUAAUGUAUGCGAUUACUUGUGAUGGUAAACAAAGUAGAUAUGGUAUAUUUUGAAGUUAAAUUAAAAAAAAAAAAAACAGAACUUUUACCGUUACUUGCCUUAUCAUCUUUUAAAUUAGAGUUAUUAUUCUUUUAUUUUUCAAGUUGCCAACUCAUCAGUGUAUUCUUUUAUUGAAUUUAAAGAUCAAUGAUUAUAAAUUUUUGUGAAAAUUUUAAGUCAAAACUUUAAAUUAAAAUAAUCUUUAAGUUAUAGGGAAAUAAUAACUUAGUAUAACAAAUAUUAUAUCCUAUACUUUAUUGCUACAAAAUUACGAAACCUUAUAGUUUCAAAAACAAAAAUUACGAAACCUUAUAUUAUAUUAUGUUUCCAUAUUUCUCCUUUAUAGUGAAGACUCAUACUUCUUAUCUAAUAAAUGCUAAAGUAUUGGCUUAAAUUUUUUAACCAGCAUAGUAGACCCUUAAGCUAUAUAUACUAUAAUGUCCCUCUUCUCUCACAGAGUAAACCAAUCUGAUCUCAGAGUGAGUUGAUACCAUGACUUCGCAUCAUUUGUGAUCAAAGGAGUAUCAUUACUAACUAAUAUAGGCUCCAUCAAUAGGCAUGAUAAUAAUUUUUUUUUUUAUCUACAAACGCUGUUUUUCAAAAUAUUAUAUCUUAAGACUUAACUAAAUAUUUUUUAACUAUGUAGAUAUAGUUUGUUUGAUCUCUUUUAAAUAGUGGAGAUUACAAACAAACAUAUGUGAAUUAGUAGUGAUGUUGAGUUCAGAAGCUUGAAGUUAAAAAAAUUAAGGGUUUCUUGAUCUAGAGAAAUUUCAAAUGAGUGAAGCGUCCUCGAAAUCGGAAGACGAAAAUAAGGAAAGGGUAAGGGUGUAUUUUCAAAGUGAUUCUAUUAAGAGAUCUUUGAAGUAGGGGUGGGCAAGUCGGGUUUUGGUUCGGGUUGUUCAAAUUUCGGUUUGGGUUUUAACCCAAUCGGGUUUGAGAAUUAAACUCAAUCGGGUUGAAAACGCCAAUCCAAACUAAACCGAACCAAAUUUAAUUCAGUUCGGGUUCAUAAUUCGGAUCGGACUGGGUUGAUAAUUCAUGUUAAAAUUUCGAUUCGGGUUAAUUUGGGUUAGAAUAAUUCAAUCUAAAAUUUUGGGUUAGUUCGGUUUAAAACGGGUUGGAACUAUUUAAUCCAAAAAUUCUACCAACAACCACUUAAAAUCUAAAAAUCUCAAUUCCAAACAUCCUUAACAACAAAUAUCAACUACAAACCAUCCUUUACAACAUUUCAACAAUAACAAUAGCAAUAAUAACAACAACAACAAUAAUAAUAAUAAUACCAACAACUAUGAAUCAGCAAUUCAACAUAUUGCCAUAUUCUAAAUUUAAAAAAACACACAAAUUAUUUAAUUAAUUAAUUAAUUAACAAUCUCCAAUUUAAUUUAUAAUAACAACAAAAAUCCUCUCCAAUUUAAUUAAUAACAGUCUCCAAUUGUUUAAUUAUCAGUCAACAGCAACAAACCCAAUCUAAUUUAAUCAUAACAAUCUCCAAUUGUUCAAUUAUCAGUUAACAGCAACAAAUCAUCUCCAAUUUGUCACGAACAGCCUCUAAUUGUUUAAUUAUCAGUCAACAACAACAAACACACUCCAAAUAAUUGAACAAUUAUUAAUUAAUUAAUUAAAAAUACCCAAUUUAAUUAAUAACAACACCCAGGAGCAAGUCAGCAAUAAACCCACUACAAAAUCCAAAUAUCAGUGUAAACUAAGUGUCAAACCUUGAUCGGUGGGAAGCUACAGCGUCGGCAAAGCGUGACCGUGUGGGGCUGAGUGAGACCGUCGACCGAGGGUGUGAGAAGGGAGAAGAGGGAGCUGGGAGGUAACAUGGUGUGUGUGAGUUUAUAUAUAUAUAUAAUUUUUAAAAGCCAAAACUUAAAAAAAAAAAAAUUUAACCCAAUCCAAACGCGCACCUCAGAUUACUUCCGUGUUAAGAGAUGAAUCCCACACUCUUGAGCCUUUGUCGUCCUAGUCAACUAUCAAAACAAAUCAUUAUUGAAUGUGAACAGAAUUAUUGAUCACCCAAUUUUCAAACUUGUCAUCCUUAUUGAAUCUGCAUUCCCUUUUAAAAUUUUUUAAAAAAGUACAAAUAAUGAAACAAAGUGUUGUUCCUUCAACAGUUGAUAGAGUUACGCGGCUUCAACUUGCAAGUGCUGUCGGCAUUUUCAAACUUGCAAUACCCUUCAACUUGCUUUCCAAGAUAGCUAUAAUUAAUAAUGACAACAAUCUCCCUUGUAGUGACUAGUGAGCAACUUGUUUCGUGAAAUUAACGGCAUCUUCUCUCACAUUUAAAAAAAAAAAAUUGAAUUAUAAAACCCACCAAAACUAUAAAAGAAUUGUUAGUUUUUCUUCAUUAAAAUUAAUAGAUUGCUCCUCAUAUUGAAAAAUCAAAAUUCAGAAUAAGAAUGAUUGAUACUCUUUAUUUACUAAAAUGAAAAUAAAAUAUAUGAAGCCUACAUAUUUUUGAAAUAAAAAAAAAGAACUUUAUUUUUCAUGAGGAGUGUUGGGAAUCAAGUUCUCAUUAUUUAAACUCUCAAUUGUACCAUUAUUUAAACUCUCAAUUGCACCUCACCGAAAUUUCAUAAUUUCACUUUUGUUCUCAAUUAAAAUAUUAUUAUAGUUAUUAUUCUUAUAAAUGUUGAUGAUGAUGAUACAAGAUAAUAAAAUUAAUGAUAAUUAAACCAAUUUGAAUUCAGAGUGAGUGAGUACCAUUACUUCGCAUUAUUUGAUAUCAAAGGAGCAUCAUAACUAACUAAUAUAGGCUCGAUCGAAUUCAUCAUGCGAAGUAUAUUAUCGGCUGUAGGUAUGGAAAUAAAUUUUGUAUCCACAAACACUAUUUUUCAAAAUAUUUUAAGACUUGACUUAGCAUUUUUUAACCAUAUAUGUAUAGGUUGUUUGACCUAUUUUAAAUAGUGGAGAUUACAACAAAUGAACAGAUGUGGAUUUGUAGAGUUGUUGAGUUCAGAAGAUUGAAGUUAACAAAGGGUUUCUUUAUCUAGAGAAAAUUCGAAAGAGCGAAGUGUCUUCGAGAUCAAAAGACGAAAUAAGGAAAGGGUAAGGUUAUACUUUCAAAAUGAAUCUGUUGAGAGAACUUUAAAGAUUACUUUCGUUAAGAGCUGGAUCCCACACUUGAGUCUUCGUCGUCUCAGUCAGUCAGCUAUAAAGACAAAUUAAUUUUGAGCGUGAAAGGACACAAUUGAUCACCAAAUUUUCAAACUCGUGAUCCUUAUUGAAUCUGUAUUCUCAUUUGAAAAACAAUAAAAGAUUAACAUUAAUUUAACUUCAUCUAGAUUCCCAUUUGAAUCUGCAUUCCCAUCCCGUUGUUCUCUGGGAAUGCACAUAAUCAAAAAAAAUCCUAUCCGCAUUUUCAAACUUGUGACCCUUCAAGCUUUCUAUGACAACUAUAACGAAUAAUUACAACAGUGCUACCUAAUAGUGAGCAACUUGUUUGAUGAAAUUAACAACUUCUUUUCUCUCAUAUAUUUUUAAAAAAUUGAAUUAUCAAAGUUUUUAUUUCAAAAUUAGUGCUAUAGUUCAUUAAUUUUUCAAAUUUUCCUUUUUCUUUCCACACAACAGAUUGAUUUGCCCUCCAAAAAAUGUAUUAUAUUGUUUAAUAUUGUAACUUCAAGAAACUUAUAAUAAAUUUUUAAAGAGAUAAAUAGAGAAUGUCAGUCUCCCAUCUACUCAAAAUUAAUAUAUAUCAUUAACUCUUGAUUAUUUUUAUAACAACUAAUAACUUUCUUGGCAGCAUAAUUUUACAGUAUCAUCCUUGUUUGUAAGUAUAUUUUUAUUCAUAUUUAUUAUAAAUUAAUUAAAUCAUAUCAAUGAAAAUUGAAAUAAAAAUUGAAGUACUAAAAAUUAAAAAAAUAUAUUUUGGUGUGAAUAAAAAAUUGAAAAUAAAAAUAUUUUUCUUAUAUUUUUUGUUAUUUUUAAAUUUUUUCUUAUAAUAAAUGUAUAUUUUAUAUGCUCAACUUUUUCUUUUAAUUUUUGUUAUUAGGAGGAUUUUUAGAUAUAAUGAAAUUUGUAAGGUAGUAAGUAAUAUAUAAUAAUUUUAAUAGAGAAAAGUAAAAAAUCUCUUAUUUUAAAAUAUAAGGAGAAAAAUAAUUAAUUUCAAGACAUUUUAGAAGAUAUUUCAAUACGCGGUGGACCACAAACUCGAGUCUUUGUCAUCUCAGUCAAACUAAAAGGACAGAAUAUUGAGGGCAUGGCUAAGGUGCAGAAGCUGCAAGUAACAGCUUCGAACUUUCCCAUUUCCAUCACCUUGCAUUGGGACCUCUUUCUUUGUCCUCUAGCACCCGUGGAAGUUCCCCAUUGGCCACUGUUAGGAGCUGUAACAUAGACUUCUCCGAAAAUUGAGCGCGAAGGGCUCAAGUGAUUGUUAAUUUCACAGCAAUUGCCUUUUUUCUUUCUUUUUUUUUUUCUAAUUAUUGGAAAAUAUAAUUUAGUAUAACAAAUAUUAUAUCCUUUCCUUUAGUGCUGCAAAAAUUCCGAAACCUUAUAUUAUAUAAAGUUUUCAUAUUUCUCCUUUAUAGUGAAGACUCAUACUUAUUCUCUAGUAAAUGCUAAAGCAUUGGCUUAAACUUUUUAACCAGCACAGUAGACCCUUAAGCUAUAUAUACUAUAAUGUCCCUCUUCCCUCACAGAUUAAAGCCAAUAUGAUCUCAGAGUAAGUUUGCUUCAAAGGAGUAUCCUUACUAACUAAUAUAGGCUCGAUCAAUAGGGAUGAUAAUAAUUUUUUUUUAUCUACGAACAUUAUUUUUUCAAAAUAUUAUAUCUUUAGACUUAACUAAAUAUUUUUUAACCAUAUAUGUAUAGUUCGAUUAAAUAGUGGAGAUUACAACAAAACAGAUGCGAAUUAGUAGUGAUGUUGAGUUCAGAAGAUUGAAGUUAAAAAAAUAAAGGGUUUCUUGAUUUAGGGAAAUUUCAAAAGAGUGAAGCGUCUUCUAAAUCAAGACGAAAAUAAGAAAAGGGUAAUGGUGUAUUUUCGAAGUGAUUCUAUUGAAAGAUCUUUGAAGAUUACUUUCGUUAAGAGCUGGAUCCCACACUCUUGAGCCUUUGUCGUCCCAGUCAACUAUAAAGACACGUUAUUAUUGAGUGUGAAUAUUCCGAGUUAUAAAUCACCAAAUUUUCAAACUUGUGAUCUUCAUUGAAUCUGCAAUCCCUUUUGAAAAAAAAAAAAGAAAAAGAAAGGAAAACUGCAAAUAAUGAAACAAAAUUCUGAUCCUUGAUAGAGUUACGCGGCUUCAACUUGCAAGUGCUGUCGGCAUUUUCAAACUUGUGAGACCCUUCAACUUGCUUUCCAAGAUAGCUAUAAUUAAUAAUGACAACCGAAGACGGCCACGUUUGCGGUACAAAAGUUGCACCAUAUUAGACGUUCUUUUUUGUUCUUAUCCGAAGUAACCGUUGGAUUCAAAGGAAAGUGAUCAGACAUUCAAUAGCUUCACACGUGGACAUUAUAGGAUACCGGUCAAAUCGGUUAGCGCUCCUCCACAUCAAACUCACAAGCAUGGCAAUCAUCGUAUUCGUAUCAGCUUGGAAACUUGUUACAAGUAACGAAGAGCAACAGAGUCCGCUCCUCUAGAGUCGGCAACAGAGUUUUAAUUAACGGCAUCUUCUCUCACAUUUUUUUUUAAAAAUUGAAUUAUAUAACCCACCAAAACUAUAAAGAAUUGUUAUUCUUCAUUAAAAUUAAUAUACUGUUCCUCAUAUUAAAAAAUCAAAAUUCAGAAUAAGAAUAAUUGAUACUGUUUAUUUACUAAAAUGAAAAUGAGAAUAAAAAUAAAAUAUAUGGAGCCUAUAUAUUUUUUAAAUUAAAAAAUAAGAACUUUUCAUGAGGAGUGUUGAGAAUCAAGUUCUCAUUAUUUAAACUCUCAAUUGUACCUUACCAAAAUUUCAUAAUUUCACUUUUGUUCUCAAUUAAAAUAUUAUUACAGUUAUUAUUCUUAUUUUUGUAGUUGUUGUUGUUGAUGAUGAUGAUUAUGAUGAUACAUGAUAAUAAAAUUAAUGAUAAUAAUAAUGAUAAUGAUAAUGAUAAUAAUAAUAAUGAUAUGAUAAUGAUGAUAAUAAUUUGAACAACAACAACAACAAUAAAUAAUAAUAAUAAUAAUGAAAAUAAUAACUAUAAUUUUAACAACAAUAAUAAUCAUUAAUAUUAUUAUUGUUAAAAUUAUUAUUAUUAUUAGAUAAUUAUUUUGAAUAAUAAUAAUCACAAGUCUAUUCUGAUUCCAGUUUAUUCCGAUUAUCGAUUAGAAAAUGCAUCAUUACUGUUUUAAUAAUAACUAAUAAUUCUCUUGACAUCAUAAUCGUAAUUCUUAUACUAUUAUCCUUAUUUUAAAAUCCACUACCAUGAGCUUGCAUCAUUUGAAAUGGUAGGUACUAGGUAGCAAUUGCUUACAUCAAAAUAUCUAGACUCACUCGGCAAAGUAUCCGAGGCCAAAACGCCAAAAGAUGGGACACCCACAUGUGCAUCUAAUUACAAAAUCUAAAGUUAAUGAAAAAGAAAAAAGAAAAAGUAUAAAUGAACGGUAUUGGCUGUAGGACAAGGGGAGGGGAAAAAGGACCAUUUUGUUUUCUUUGCUAAUUCACAUGGGGAAGGGAAAAAAAGAAAAAGACAGUUUUGAUUAAAAAACACAGAAUAUUCAAUUCACAAGCCACCAAUGCUUGUGGACCAAUGGUCGAUAUAUGAAAGUUAGAGAUUCUGGCAAAAUGAGCAAAUAUUUUGAGUUGAUUAAUGGAUUUGUUUGUAAUGCAAUACAAGAUAGCAUUUUAAAGCUGGCAAGAAAGAAAGAAAUAAGUCAAUAAUUGAGAUAUUUAAAGAAGCUCAAGUGGUCAUGAAAUCUCUCCUUAAAAACUAUACAAGAUAAUGUUAAUGAUAAAGUUAGCCAACCAAGUCGUUCAAUCAUUGCUAGAAGCAAGCAGCCAUUGAAGUUGAUAGAAGCUAAUGCAUGGAAAAAGGUUCGUUACAUAAAGGAGAUAAUGAGAAAAUUGAUGAACCCCUAUCAUCCAUGUUUUGUUUCAAUCAAAAGGUUUGAAUUUUAAGGCCGAUAUUUUGGACUGAAUCCCCCUGUCUGCUUCCAAAGGGGAGGAUGUGCAUGUAGUUGAUUGGGCCGAUGAUUGUGAUGGGAGGGAACUUUUAGCUUGGAAAUGGACCUAGCAAGCCCAUGUUUGAUUCGGUAAGUUGUGACUUCUCAUGGGCAUUUGAAAUUUUUAAAUGGCCUUUUAUAACCUUUGUCAAGAUUCUCAGAAAUCGAAUCAUUCGGUGAUUACUUGCAAAUUCGGAAAGGAAAUUGGAAUCAAACUGGGGUUCUAAUUAAAAAAAAAAAGGGUUCAGAAUCAGAAUUUUGUUCUUUUGACUGACUAAACUACCCUCAUUUAAUUUUCAAAAUGCCCAAAUUUUUAUCAUGCUCACUUGGCGUUAUCUCGUCUUGUGGGAGCUGUAGGACAGUUGAGAUAAAAGAUAUUGCUCCAGUAUCUACUGUUUUCUCAUCCUGAUCUUCAGAGUUAUUCUCAACAAUGGACAAAUUUGAGUUUAGAACAGCAUCAGAAACCAAUGACACCCAGUCGCAUCCAGCUACUUCUUCACUUUGCUCAAUUCGACAGAUUUUACGCAAAUUUGUUUUGUUCUCAAAAUAGUCUGCUGCUCCCGGAUUGUCCUCAUUACAUUGAACGAAUGAUGACGACGCUCUGUCCGUUUCUGGCUCUCUGCUUUUCUCUUUCACAUCACGAGACACCUCGUUUCUAACUGGGGUACCACCAUCACAUUUAACUGUUAUUGGCAACUCAAUAGCUAAUUCCAAUGUUUCCUCAAGCAGUUUAGAGAUAAACUCUCUCGCUGAACUCCCUGGAGUAACACAAUCCAGUUUUCCAGUGCAAUCAUCAAACAGUUGAACAGCUCCUGAAUUCCCUUUGCUUUUCUUGUUUUCUUUUCCAUGUAAAGGGAGCUCAGGCUUCAAUAUAUCUGGGGAUUGAUUACUAAUGAUAAAGACAACAUGCUGUAGAGGACACAAAUUGUUAUUAAACAACGAUGCACUUUUCAUUUUUCAACUGAGUACGGUAAAGCAAGAAUGGGUAAUUAGUUUUACCUGCUAAGCGAAAAUCUACACUCCCGAAGGUAACCGAUCUUGGGUGAAGCAAAUAAAGACGAAGGCGAAGUAAAAUUCACUGAGUUGAAUGAGCGAUCAUUGCUGAUAUAAUUAAAGACUGGUGAAUCCUGCAUGUUGACAAGCAUCAUUUUUAAUCUAACAUAGAGUCUUAAAAACCUGGUCAGUGGCAAAUGAUCACGACAACAAAUCUGAAGUACAAACAGCAGAGCUCAACAAAUCACUAAGAGAAAAUAACACCAGUAACCAAGCAGAUGAAAGAAAAGCAAAAUAAUCCAUCUCAAAUCACCACAUGCACAAUUUAAGGGGGUUGUGACAUGGGUUUAAGCAUGAUUUAACAAGUGCCACCAGUGAAUUCUCAGAUUGAAUUUUCAUACACAUGUCAAAUUUUCAAGUCCAACGAAUUGUUAUCUUUCUGAAGAUAUUAACUAUGCAUAGCAUGCUAUAAACAAAUCAUAUUAUUAGGGCCUUUGUUUGCUGUACACAACAUAUGUACAGAGGAACAAAUCCAUGAGCUGAAAUCAUCAUAUUCCAAAAUAUUCUACCCAAUCAACACUACAAAACCGUAACGCUAAACAGAAUUGGAGCAAUUUAAGAAAGCUAUUUGUCACACAAAGCACUAGUACCUCAGAACCCAAUUUGCAAAAAAGCAACAAAAAUGAAAAAUAACAAAUGCCCAGAUGCAAAAUCAGGAAAAAAUGCUCAAAUACAAACUACAACCCCAUAAGCUGAGAUUGACCUCAAACUUGGAAACAGAAGCGACAGUGAUCUGUUUCUUGUCUGGAGUGUCCAUUUCUAUAAUCUACUUUGUCCGUUUUCAGUCGCUCCGCCACAAAGCCUCUUCACUCCGAAGCUGAAACUCGCCACACACUUGCAAAACGAAAGCAUUUGAUUGAUUGAGAGGCGGGAAGGCGGGAAAACGAGCGAAAUUUGCUUUUGUUUUUUCUUCGUUUGGUCAUACAUGUGCGGGCCCCCCAGGUUGACAAGCGUUAUCAUUACUAUUUGCAUUAUUUGAAGGACGCGUGUCAUGCAACGACGAUAGAAAAAGUGGUGCAAAACUCCAAUUGUCACGAAAUGAUGAUAAAAUAAAAAUAUAUCGUUAAUUUUUCACUUAACAUUGGAAUAUCAUAUAAUUUUAUGGUCAUUUUCUCGCCGCCACAUUCUUUUGAUAAAAUAAUACGGUAAAACUUUUCUAUAAUCAUGAUAUUAGAACCCAAUUAACUUUGUUUCUACAAAGAGGUUAUAGCUUAAUAAAGUAAAAUUGUAAAAAAUAUUAUUUUGACUUAAUUAUCUAAAGAGUAAAUAUAUAAUAAUUAAUUAAUAAAUUAUGUCAAAUACAAUAUAUGGACUAUGAUAAAAAAGAUAGACAUAAUUUCAUAAAAUUAAUACAUAUGUUUUUGUAGUGCUGCGAUUAUACAAAGUUAUCUUAAAAGUGUAAAGAGUAAAGUAUUGUUUUAAUUAAUUUAAAAAAAUAUUUUAUUAUUAACCUUUAAUGCAACAUAGUAAUUUUUUUUCCCUGGCAACAAAGUAUUGUUCCAAAUAAUUAUUAUUGGAUCUAGAUCCUGCCCUAGGCAUUUUCUCUACUAAUCCUCAUAAACUUUUAGGGUAUGUUUGGCACGUAAGAUUAGAUUGGACAAACUAUUAUGAUUGGACUAACUUAGAAUGGAUUAGAUUAGAUUGGAUUAUAUAUAGUGCUGACUUAUGUUUGGUAUGGUAUUGGAUUAGAUUAUGUUAAAUUAAAUUUACAUAAAAUUAAAUAGUAUUUACAUUAAUAUUUGAAUUUAAAUAUCAACUAUUUAUAGAUAUUUAACAAGAAAUAUUAUAAUUAAUUAAAAAUAGCAAUUGGGUAGUCAUAAUUAUAAUAAAGAAAUAUAAAUUAUUUAAAUUAUAGGUUAUUUCAAAGAGUGAUGAUACAACCACAAAUUCUUGUACAAACUGAUUUGGCAUUAAUUCAUUUAUUGAAUGAAAAUAUAAAAUAAUAAAAAUAAAUCAUGUGGGCCCAAGAUAUAUUUAAUUCAACCAAUUUUAUCAUGCCACAUCAGUUUGUACAAAAAUUUGUGAUUAUAUUAUUACUCUAUUUCAAAUGAGAGAUAUCAUUUCAUUGAAUAAAAUAAAUAAAAUUAUUCAAAUAAUAAAUUAAUUAAUAAAAUUUAAGUAAAUCAUGAAUAAAAAAGAAAUCAAUUAAUUAAAAACAGUAAAUAAUUAAAUAAUUUUUAAUUUAUAAAUAAAAUGGUAUAAUAAAUUAUGGAAGAUACUAUAAAUACACAAAUAUUUUUUUCACAUUAUCUAGUUCUAACUAAACACACAUAAAAAUUAGGAUUAGCAAUCCCAUGAAUUUAGGAUUAAAAUUUGAAUUUAGUCGAUUAAUCCAAUACAAGUGAGCAUGCUAAAUAUGGUAUUAAUAUUUUAUCCCAGUAAUAAGUCCAAUUCUACACUUAAUCGUACCUCCCAAAUAUAAUCUUAAGGAUCUAUUGACAUGUGUCAUUAAUGAAAUUAAAUGGCUAAGAUUUUGUUUUAAUUAUUUUUUACCUAAAUAGACAUCAAAACUCAUGUGUGACUCUUGUUAAAUUUUUUCUUACAAAUUCUUUUCCUCUUAAUUCUUUAUAUUUUGACACUAAUUUCCAGCAAAUUAUUUAAAAAAAAGGAGCACAAAUUGGAAAAAAGUGAUUGACAACAAGGUUUGCAUCUUAAUUUCAAAAUUUUCCUUUCUUUGAUGUUUUUGUGGUUUCUAUAAUUGUUGUUUUCACUCUAAGUUGCAAUUCAAUGAACUAAAUUAGUGUUGCUACUUUAUAAACUGCUAUUACUGGGCAUAUAAUUCUAUUGCUACAAUUUUUUUGAGUUUAUAGUUUCUGUUCUAUUCUCUUUUUGGGUUUGCAACUGCUGUUUGUUGUUUUUUUAGGUUUUAUAGUUGAUGUUUUGGGAAAAAUAAAAAUAAAUGUGAUCUUGAAUUCUUUAACUACUAUGAAACAAUUAAAUUAUUUAGCUGCUGCAUUUUCUGCUGUAUUAUUAUAGGCGAGAUGUGUGUCGAAAGGGAAAGAAUUUGCCUAAAAAAAAAAAUUGACAAGAGUCACAUGUGAGUUUAGAUGUCUUUUUUAAGUAAAAAUUAAUUAAAAUUAAAUAUUAGCCAUUAAUAACACAUGUCAAUAAAUUUUUCAAAGUCUAAGAAGAUUGGAAGAGGAUCCGAUCUAUUAUUUACUCUAUAAAAGGAAGUUCCUUGAAGACAAGAACUAUAAAUAAAUUAAUAUAAUGAAUUUAUUCUUAACCUAGUCUAAAUUGAGACUAAAAUUUUUUACUUAAAAAUUUACUAGCUAGCUUUACCUUGAUGGACUAGCUAUGGCCCAUACACAUUUCUCCAAUUUUAUUAAUAUUUUUGUGCAUAGCAAUUAGGGAUACGUGACAAUAAAUUAUCCUUUUAACAUAUAAAAAGUAUUCUCACAAGUAGUGUGCCCCUCCAAAGGGCACAGACAGACUUUUAGCCUCUUUCUUCGGUUUACCACUCCAGUUGGAAUCUUCAAUAAGAUUAAACAUUGAAUAUAUCUAAAAUAUUAGCAAUAUUUGUACUUAUAUUUAACAAAACUAGAGUAAUAUAUUGAUUAAUCUACAUAAUUUUGGGCGGGUUCUUAUGUAAUGUUACAAUUAACAUAGAUUAUUUUCACGGUAUAAGGCAAAUCUUGAGAAUGAACCCAUUUCAAUAUGGUUUCCACAAUAAAUGAACCCACUUUACUACCAAUGAAAGGCCUUGACUCAUAUAUAUCCACCUGGAAAGAAGGGGGGGGGGGGGGAGAGAAGAAAUCUUCUAAUUUCUUUCACCAUCAACAAAAUCAGUGAAACACAUACUAAUUCAAAAUAAAAUAAACUUUGUGAAUUGAAAUAAUGCCUGCUCUAAAGAAAAUGAUAACUGCUAUUCAUUUUUCUGAACUGCUGAUAAAAGCUUCUGCUAUUUACUUCGAAAAAAUUGAGUAACUUCAAAUUUUGAGUUUAGGCAAGAGGAUGAAUGGUAAAAGUGAGACAUUUUAGGGGAAAAGUAAAUACUUGAUAGGCCAAUGAAACAUUCAAAAGAUUGAAAUCUAAAUGAGCAAAACCUCAUGGCCUUGAGGCCCUUGAUCCAACAAUUCCACUGCUGUUGACAUGCCUGCAAGCCCAACUCCAAUAAUAGCCACUUUCAGCUUUGGUCCUCUAUAAUGUUCCGGUUCUGGUGGAAACAAACACUUGGGAGCUGCCAAGUAUACCAUUCAAUUAUCCACAGCGAUAUUGGAAAAACAUACAUGUUUGAAAGUACUAAAUAUCAAAUGUCUCCCGAAAAAAAUACAAAGCACAAUUGCAUAAGCAUUUCAUUUCCCAAUAAAUUUCAAGAAUACAAAAUACUUGGUCUGUUCUUGAGUUCCUUUAAGAAAAUUUCCACGAGAGAGCACGCAAGCCACUCAAUAACACUCCAAAGUCAGAUUUUAAACGUUAUCUUGAUCUAUAAGUACAAUCCAUGAACCAUUCUGCCACAAAUUCAAUUAAAAAUUAUUCAAGUAAAAUGCCAAAUUCUCCUUCAAUAGCCUCAAAAAUUCAUAACUAGCAAACACUACAGAACAAAAAGAGCUCCCAGCAAUAAACGCAUAAAAAUCCCACCAGAAACCAGAAAACCCAAAAGAUCAAUACUUGGUAAACAAACAAAUCAAAUCAAAUAAAACAAAAAGAAGAGAAAUUUACCAUUAACACUCAUAUCAGAAACGUUAGUAUCCAAAGAAGCCCGUACACAGAAUCUUGGAACCUUCACUUGAACCCGAGACCAACAAACACCAGUAACUGAAGUUGCAGGAAACAGAAGUGAAGAACCCAUAUUGAAAUAAAAGAAUCCAAACCCAAAGUGCCACAUCUAAAUAUGAUGGAUCCACUUAAAAUAAACAUAUAAAAAUCUUCAAUAUGAGUGCGAAAAUGUGUGGGGGAAAAAACUAAAAAGUGGUUUACCAUGCAGCAAUAUGAAUUUUAAGCUCUCUUUUCUUAUGUCACUCAAGGCAUUGGCUGGAUGGCCAAACAGCAGAGUUCAAGUGUACAAUAGAGAAUCGAAAUUUUCCUUUGUAAAUGUUCAUAAGUAUUUACCACAGAUUUUUAAGUUAUUCUUGAUAGAUCCCCUACCACAUACGCUAUAAUAUUUCUCUCCUUUUAAUUUAAAAGUAAAUCAUGCAUAAUAACGCACUUGUAAAGAAAUGAAAUUUUCGGUAAUUAACUGACAAAAUAAAAAAAAAGGAUUAUGCGAAAGAAGUUAAUAUAGAGUAAGUCGAGUACUUGACAAUCAAAGUAAUUUACUCGAGGUUGAGUAAGGAUAGUACGAUACUUUCUCAAGUUUUCUGAGGACAUUCAUGUGACAUUGGACUAUUGAUUAUAGUUAGAGAGAAGUCCAAGGAUGUAAGUGAUGAUGAUAGAUUCAGAAUUCUUUUGAAGAAAAUAUUUUAUAUAAACUUAAUUAUAUGGUAUAAAAUGAUUGGCCUUAAUAAAAUUAAAAAAUAAUAAAAAUAAUACACGCCUGGGUCAUGCAAUAUUUUCAACCAACUAAUUUACACGCAAAAUUAAAACUUUAUGAGUACAUUUAUUUGCUAGCAGAAACUCUGCCAAAUUUUCCGAAAUGUGAAAGUGAACACUUUUAACAGCGGCACAAAAUGCCUGUGAUAAUGAAACAAUGUGCCAUCCUUAAACUAAUAUUAUUAGAAACUAUAAGUGAAAGUUUUCAGAAAACAUGUGAUAAGUUUUUCUCGGAAUUUGUUUUCUCCUUUGUUUUGAUUUACGCGAGAGAUAGUUGUAAAGAUUGUUUUGAUAAGUUUUCAGAAAACAUGUGACGAAUCGUAGUAAAAAAUUUAUACAUAAUAAUUGAAUGAGAUCCAUGGUUCACAAUUGCAAAUUAAAGGUUGGUUUUAUAAUAAAAAUCGUUUUGUGCAUACCAAAUUAGAAAAGAUUAUAAGUAAAUUAAGAUUUUCAAAAUUUGACUAGUACUAUAUUACGUACAUCAAUAUAAUAUAAAUUUGUUAUAUUUAUAUAUGUUAUUCUGUAACUAAUGCUUUCAAAAAUUUUAUACUUGUAUGUUUGAACAACUUUUUUUCGCUUUCUAUUUAUAUACGAUAUUAUUUAUGUUUACAUAAAUUUUCAUAUGUACCCAAAUUAAGUAUUAAAUACACACACUCUGGUAAGACACAUUUCUAGUAUCAGACAAUGAUAUUAUAUUGAAUGUAAUGCUUCAAUGAAUUUUAUUACUAUAUACUAAAAUACUCAACGAUCUUCAUUAAAAAAAAAAAAAAGAAAUUGCAUGAUUAGAAUGAUUAAAGUUCAUUUAAUGACGAGUUUCAUCAUUGACUGUGUCGAAACAGAACAGCAAUCCACAAUACACUCAACACGAGAGGCGCACACAAGCAUGCAUGAAUCUUCCACCAUUAAACCUGAAAUCAUAAAAUGAAAGAAACAAGGUGAGUGUUGUUUUACGGUCUGAAAGCCGAUUCGAAAUAAUAAUAAUAAUAGACCUUUGUUAAUAGUUACUACUAGUGGUCACUGCCUUGUCCAUCUUCCUUCUCUGUAUUAUCGUCCUCUUCCAAGCCGCUGUCAUCUGACCAAACCCCAGCAACCAUGGGAAAAAUCACCUACUUGUUUUAGGAGCAGGAGCAGGAGCAGGAGGAGGAAAUUAAGUUAGGGAUUUGGAGUGAUAGGGAAAAAGCUGAUUGUUGAGAAAUAUGUAUACCUUUUGUAUGGUUGUGUUAAGGUCGCCCUUCCAAGCCCAACGUGCUUCACUCCGCCGCUGCACUUCGUGUAAUUUGGGUGUACUUAAAUUUCCUUCAGAGAAAAUCUUCAUAUCGGGGCAAUCAUCCACCACUAAUAUUUCCAAAGAUGGGAACUUGAAAGCACAAUUGCCAGAGCAGAAGCUUGUCAAACUUUUUAAGUCUAAAAGCUUCAACUCCUUCAAUUCUCUGAAAGUAAUAACCUCAUCUUUUGCCACAACAUCAUCCACCAAUACUAUUUCUGUUAUCAUAACGCAUGAUUUUAUCUUCAUAUAUCUAAGUCGCACCAGAGACUUUGCAAUUGAGGAUGUUAAUACGAUUUUCAAUCUUUCGCAACUGAAUACCACCAGAUUUGUAAGAUUCUGAAAGGAUGUCGACGAUGGCACUAGAUUGACCAAACGGUCACACCCCUUUACACGUAGAAUAACCAAGUUGUUCGUAACAGAGGACUCCCUUAUCAAAAUGUUCUCCAGAUGAUAACAAUUAUUUGCUUCACUUAUUUCUACUGCCAUACCAUUUUCAACCUUCUCUUUCGGCGACCGGCCACCAUAUCCUUGUAUUUGGAGGACUUUCAUUGUGUGAAGUCUCUGGAGGAAGUCAUCAAGUGAUACAAUAGUCGGCUCAUCAACCAACUCCACAAAAAGAUAUUUUAGUUUGCAAAGCAAGUCUUCAAAAAAUAGAUAUUUAUUUGUUCCUAUGUACUUUGCAUCAACUUUCAACUCUUCCAAAUUAGGGAAUACCUGGGAGAUCGAUCAGAACCAAAAAAAAAAAAAAUACAAGAUGAAUCAGUUGAUGAGAAUUAUAAGUUACCACUAAUUUAUACAAUAUAUUUUAUUCAAUAAAUCAAUAAAUACAAGAUAAACUUUCACAGUACAUACAUAAGAAUUGAAAAAUUGAUUAUAAAACUCUUGUACGUACCCUUUCCGUCAAGAUAUUAGUAGUUCUUUUGCAUCUCGCCAUGAAUUCAGGACAUCCAGAUAUCCCUAAUUCUUUCAAGGAUGGAAAUUCAAGAUUAUCAAGAUCUCCAGUGCAGAAGCUUGUGAACUUUUCAAGAUCAGACAUCCUCAGAGAUUGCAACUGGGGAAACGUUACAAUAUUAUUCUUCAUUUCUUCUUGGUUGUCCACGACUAUUAACUCUUCCAGGACAGGACAUUUGACUAUCAUAAUGUGUUGGAGUCGAACAAAGCUACUAACUGUACAAGAUGAAAAUAGACAUCUUAAAUUCAUACAGCUGUACAGGGUCAAGCGCGUUAAAUUCUGAAUACCACAAGACAUGACUGCAACUUGGUUCAGCCAAAUCCUCUCAACAUUUAUUGAAUACAACAUCAACUCCUCCAAAUUUGGUAAUGCAACCUGCACGAUCAAAAAAUUAACUUGUUAAUUACAAGCAACAAUGAUUUCUGUUGAUGGACAAAUCAAUAAAAUUACUCUUUCUCUGUUUAUAGUUCUUUUCAGUUUUUCAUACAAACAACCGUUAAUCAAGUUUUCCAAAUUAUUCCUUACUAAAUUUUGGUUGAUUCGCAAUAGGACCUACUAUCCAGCGCGAGCAGUUCUCGGGGAUUUAACUACUGGCACCUCGAUUAUAUAAAAAUUUAGACGGCGGCUAAUAUAAUUUAUAUGUAUUCUAAUGACGUAUAUUAAAGAAAAUGAUUAACCAUAAUUUCAAUCAACUUAUUAGUCUAUAUAUAUAUAUAUAUAUAUAUAUAAUAUUCAGCGAUUACAACAUAUUUAGUAUUCCAUAACAUGAUGUUUAUAAUAAUAAUUAUUAUUAAUUCACUUAUUGUGUCAGAGUAUCUUUUCUUUCUCUAAGAAUGUAUUUGUUACACCCUACUAUACUUCGGAUGAAAAAUUUAGAAUAAUUGUGAAAUAUAAUUAUUAAUCACUCUUUGCCAUAUUUGUUACCAAACAGGAAUAUAACAAAGAAAAAAAACAAAAAUUAUAGAGAAUUAAUAAGACGAUUGACUUAUUAAUAACUGACCUUCUCAGGGAAAAGUGUAUUAUAAAUUUGGACAUUGUCCUCCAAAAUGAUUUCAUGUGACUGCAAAUCAUUAGCUGAUUCCUCUUGUCUCUGUUGACAUUGCAGGUAUCUUGAUUUUAGAGUGUAAACUUAAUUGUGAGCACAAUCUUAAUGCAUAGAUACAAGAUCUUUAAAAAUUAGUAUAAGAAACUUAGCACUAAAUCCAAAUUUGAUAUUUUGGAUUCCAUGAUUAAGAUUUUUUAAAUAAAAAUUUAAUAGAGUUAAUUUAAAAAUAAAAAUUAAAUAUGAAAAAUAAACUUGCAAUUAUGGAUUUAAUUUUAAUAAAUAAUGAAUGUUCUCUUUAUAUUUUUUUUAAAAGGUAAAAGAGCGUACAAAGCCCAAAUUCAUUUUUUUAAGUCCUUUACUCUCCCAUGAUUCAAACUUGGGUGGUUGUAGGAGGACUGCAAAUAUAUAAGACAGUUAACUUCACUUUUUUUUUCUUUUUUUUUUUGUUGAGAGAAAAGAGAAGAAGGAUAUUACAAAGCAUGAAGCUCGUGCAAUAUAAGGGCAAUUAUGGUUUUUUCUUUAAAUUAAAAUGGUAAGAUUCUGAAGCUAAAAGAUUAAAAUAUUAAUUAAAUUGCAAACAUUAAAGAUUUUUUUUGCAAAUGGUUGCUUUUAAAAUGAGAAUAAUAUAAUAUUUGAAGACUUUUCAAAAUUAAUUACUGUGAUGCACUAGAAAUUUCUAGCUUUAGUCUAAUGUAUAAAUUGACAAAACGAUAUUCGAAUCCCAGGUGAAAAGAACCCUCUCAUACCAAUUAUUUAAAUUAGGAAUGAUCAUACCUUUGACUCUGCCGGAUUGAGGGCGAGCCAGAGACGCUUGAGAUGGGAAGAGCCCACUUUGACUAAUUCAUUACGAAAAUAAUCGACAUCUUGCUCUUGCAAUCGCCAUAACUCAAGGUCUUCAAUUCUCUGCAGUUGCACGAUCAGCGAAUCCUUCAAGCAAAUCUUGUUAUUUAGCUCGAGACUGAAUUCACGACACCCAAUGCCGGUGCUCUCCCAAUAGCCAUCAUCUCCAAUGCGUAUGCUGUACCUUUCCAGCUUCUCCAAGAGCAGGCCUCUGGGCAGAGUGCUGACGUCACGGGCGCGUAAUUCCAAAGAGGUCAAGUUGGGCAAAUGCUUCAACUCCUCAAGGCUUGCAUUCUUAACCCCUUCUUCCACCUCCACCUCCCAAGCAGCAAAGCUUUGACCUAUAUAUAGUUCUUCUAAACGGGAUAAUUUUGACAGUAUAUUUGGUGGAAUAACUUCUAGGUCCUCACAAUGUCUCAAAUCAAGCAACUUUAGCCAAGUCAAUUCACCUACUUCUACCGGCAACUUCUUAAUAUCAGAAUCUCUUAGGCAAAGGAUUUCUAGUUUCUUCAAGUCUCCUACAACACUUAGAUCAGGCAGGUAGCACCAACACAAACUCAGUGUUCGAAGGUUUGACAGGAGACCAAGUGAUGAAGGCAAUGACCGUAGAUCCAUGUUAGUCAAGUUUACAACUCUGACCUCGAUCAUGCUCUUGAAAAAGUUGUCUGGAAUUGUUACUCGUGAAUAUUCCCAAGGAUCAUCACUUAUAAAAAGAAGUUCGAGCUGAGGACAUUCCAGUACUUUAGGAAGCAAAUUAGUGUUGAUAUCAUGUAAGACGAUUGAAGUGCAAUGCUUUAUUGCACUUCCGUCCGACCAUUCCCUGCAACCAUCAACCUGCUCAUUUGUAGCAGUAAACACAUUUCGUUCAGUAGAUGCAAUUGAUCUGGCGACAUCGCGAACUACAUCAUGCAUAGAAAACAACUCUUUCUUCUGGCUUAUAUGGUCAAGCAACAUACAAGAAGCUUUGAGUGUGCGCACCAAUGUAUGUACUCGAUUUCGUGCUACUUCAAUCUUAUUCACACCUUGAAAUAAACCCAAUCCCAUACCACACAUUAACAAGUCUUCAAUAGAUGCUAUGGCUGUAUAUCCUAUUAGCAAAAAGAUGUUCUUGAGAUCAUCCCUUCCUAGUUUAUUGUAGCUCAACUCGAUAGCUUUAAAUGCGGCUGGCUGUACAUCCUUAAAAUUCGAUGAAGAAGGCCUUCUUAGCUGUUCCAAUGCAUCCUUCCAUUCACGUAUGCUCUUGUUCCUUAAUGCCCUUGCAACCGUCACAAUGGAAACUGGUAGACCUGCACAUUCCUUUGCCACAUCCCUUGCUACCUCUUUCAAUUCAUUACCUUCAACAUAAUCACCUGCCAUCUUCGUGAAUAGACUCCAAGCUUCAUCUUCUUUUAAAAAUCCAACUGGGAAAUUUUUUCGAGACUCCAUCUCUCCAGACAAUACUUCUUCACUCCUCGCCGUGAACAGCACUUUACAUCCCAUGUGAUCAUCUCCGUGAGGAAUUCCGACAUCCAACAAAUCAAGAUUUUCCCAAAUAUUAUCCAAGAUUACAAGGAUCCUCUUCUCUUUCUUCAGUCGAUCAUAGAGUCUUCUUGCCCUACCCGAUUCACUCUCCUCAUCAAAUUUUAGACCUAGUUUAUCCGCGAUUUCUCCUUGAAGCUUUCUUACGUCUCGACUCUCAGACACCUCAGAAAAAACCACCUGAUCGAAAAGCUUGUCACUCUCUGCUUUUCUAGCAACUUCUUUAGCUAGCGUCGUCUUUCCGAUUCCGCCCAUUCCAUAAAUCAAAAGCAUGUUGACAUUGGGAUUUUUUAAUGCAUCAAUUAUUUCAUUCAGAAUGGACGUUCUUGAUUCAAAGGCCUCGAAGUCUUUGUUAGGCAUAAGCAAGGUAUCCUCCGGAAUGAUGCUGUAGGAAAUACUAUUAACUGGUCUAGCGUCCCGGACUUUGACAACAGCCUCCUUCUGCCUCUCUGCUUCCUUGCUAAGUCGAGGGCGGGUCUUCAAAUUAGGACAUGACCCCUUGAAACAACGCUUAUUUGCAGUGGCUUCAUCUUCUGUAAAUUUAUCUGCCUCUUCAAUGACACUGUUGGCCGUUGCAAGCCAAUUCUCAACGUUCUCUUCAAUCUCUUCUCCUUUUCUUUUAGCCUCAUCAACCUGGUGCUCUGUACUCACCCUCUCAGACUUUAGUUUCGCAACUUCAGUGUUGAGAUUCUGUAAGUUGCUCGUGUACUUACUCUCACGCAAAUAGCUAAUUUGGCGAUAUGCGGGAGGAGCCAAGCACUUUACAACUUCUAAAACAAUAGUAAGAAUGAUUUCAGCCAUCUUCAGUCCUUUGUCCUUGUCUCUCUAUCUCUCUUUUUCUGAAUUUUGGAAAAACAAUUCAACAAGUGACCGCAACAAGAUGGAACACAAGUGACCACAACAAGAUGGAACAAAAUACAAAGGAAAAAAAAUACAAAGAGUGGAUGGAGAAUAAAACAGAGACAGCGUCACAGCUAGACACAAUUAGAUAGAGAACAGAGGAAAACCAAAUAACAAGACUUAAGAUUACAACAAACAGAGGCCGAGGUGGAUAUAUAUACUUGGAGAAUAAAAUUCAAGAGCAAAGCGAGUGCUGGGCUGCAGUUUCUUAAGGAGAUUUAUAUAUCAUCCUCAAAAAUAAAUAUUUUAAGGUAGGUAUUUAGACUAUUUCAUCAUAAAAUAAAUGUAAUUAAUUUUCAUAAAUAUGUGAUAUCAAUAUUUAUUUAUUUUUUUAAUUACUGAUGGCCUUUGAAUAUACGAUACAUAUUACUAAUUCAAAAAAUAAAUUGUGAUUAUUUGUUAAUGUAUAUGAUUACUUGUGAUGGUAAACAAGGUAGAUAUGGUAUAUUUUGAAGUAGAAAAAAAAAAACAAAAGAAAAAACAGAGCUUUUACCAUUGCUUGCCUUAUCAUCUUUUAAAUUAAAGUUAUUAUUCUUUUAUUUUUCAAGUUGCCAACUCAUACGCAUUUUCUUUUAUUGAAUUUGAAGAUCAAUGAUUAUAAAUUUGUGUGAAAAUUUUAAGCCAAAAUUUUAAAUUAAAAUAAUCAUUAAGUUAUUAAAAAAUAAUAACUUAAUAUAACAAAUAUUAUAUCAUAUACUUUAUUGCUACAAGAUUACAAAACCUUAUAUUAUAUUAUGUUUCCAUAUUUCUCCUUUAUAGUGAAGACUCAUACUUUUUCUCUAGUAGAUGUUAAAGUAUUGGCUUAAACUUUUUAACCAGCACAGUAAACCCUUAAGCCUAUAUAUGCUAUAAUGUCCCUCUUCCCUCACAGAUCAAACACUAUUUUUCAAAAUAUUAUAUCUUUAGACUUAACAAAAUAUCUUUUAACCAUAUAUGUACAGUUUGUUUGAUCUCUUUUAAAUAUUGGAGAUUACAACAGAACAGAUGCGAAUUAGCAGUGACGCUGAGUUUAGAAGAUUGAAGUUAAGAAAAUUAAGGAAAGGGUAAGGAUGUAUUUUCAAAGUGAAUUAUUGAGAGAUCUUUGAAGAUUACUUCCGUCAAGAGCUGGGUCCUAUACUCUUAACCCUUUGUCCUCCAGUCAACCAUAAGACAAAUUAUUAUUGAGUGUGAGCAGACAUUAACCACCAAAUUUUCAAACUUGUGAUCCUUAUUGAAUCUGCAUUCCCCUUUACAAAAGUAAAAAAAAAAAGUGCAAAUAACGAAACAAAAUUCUGUUCCUUGACUGCAAGUGCUGUCGGCAUUUUCAGACUUGUAAGACCCUUCUACUUGCAAGAUACCACUGAAUUUGUCUUUUUUUUUUUAAAUUACACUAUAUUAUCUUAUAUUUUAUAAAAAAUUUAAUAAAUAUUAUAAAUUAUAAAUUUUUAUAUUUAAUAUUCUCAAAAUAAAUUAUCAAACAAAUGAUUCAUUUAUUAUUUUUUCUUUUAAAUUUUUGUUAUUAAGAAGAUUUUUGGAUAUUAAGCGUGAAGGGCUCCACUGAUCGCUAAUUUUGCAGCAAUUGCCCUUUUCUUUCUCCCCUAAUUGUUUUGAAAAAUAUCUAGUCUCAUUCAGCGAAGUAUCCAAGGCCAAAGGGCUAAAAGAUGGGACACCCACAUGUGCUUCUAAUUAAAAAGGGUUAUUUUUCGCUACCCCACAUGUUUUGACAAAUCAUAUUGUGUACCCAUUUGUUUCAACAAUCAUCAGUGUGCACCCAUUCUGUUAAAUUCAGCCGUUUAGUUUAACCAAUCAAGGGUAAAAUGGAUAUUGUACAAUAAAUGAAUAAAAAAUCAAGUUAAACUGUUUACACAGAAGAAAGAGAACAAGGAGAAGUAAAAGAACAACAUCAUUUCUGAAAAAACAACUCCAUCUCUGCAAAUCGUACCAUCCAAGAGCAUAAAUCAAAGCAAAUAUGGAGGGAAAAUAUUAUGUGUUGGAGUUGAUGUUCUUAUAUCCCCAUCUAGAGUAAGAGGUUUUGACAUGGUAGCGUCUUAUGACACCAUUGUAUUACAAGUUAUCAUUGGUAGUUUUUUGGCUGAAGGCUGGAAGGAGUCAAGAUCAUGGAUGCAACCAAAACCAUUGUCUUCUUCUAUGCCAAAAUUCAUCCUAGAAGCAUCAGCAAUUGGAAGCCCACCAUCACAUGGAAACUUAAGUGAAUCAUCUGGUGGACCUGGAAGCCCUCUAAACCACAGCACCGAAGGAGGCUGCAGUAACAGCAAUCCGCCAAGCAUACUGAAAUUUAAUGAGUUGGUGUUGUGUGAUUCAGCAUCAGUUUUUAUUUUUUAAAAUGCAUAUUAACAGUGACUGGUGGCAUUUUUGAAAUUUAAUGAUUUGAAAUUCAAAUUGGGGACAAAAUCACCAUUUCACAAAAUAAUUGUCAGAAUGGUUAAAAUAAACGGCUGAAUUUAACGGAAUGGGUGCGCGGUGAUAAUUGUUGAAAUAAGUGGGUUUACGGUAAAAUUUGUCAAAACAUGUGGGGGGUGGCCAAAAAUAACCGAAUUAAAAAAUCUAAAGUUAGGGGGACCAUAACUUACAUUUAAUAUAAUUUAUGAUAGGAGUCCACUUAUGUUACCACUGUACAACAGGUUUGGUCUUUUCUGACUCAAUUGCUGUAAAAGUUUGUUGAGCCCCUUGUACUCGAUAUUAUUUACUAUUUAUUUAUAAGUAUUAUAAAAAUUUUUGCUUACUUGUUAAAACAAACCUCUCGGCCCCACUUCCCUUUUUUUUUUUUUGAAAAGCCCCACUCCCCUUGUACUCGAUAUUUUUUACGCGUUUCUCUUUUCUCUCCCCCACGUGAACACUUUUGCCUUUUGCUCGUUCACGUGAAAGUCAGUUUAGAAUUUUGAUCUUAUUUCACAGAGCUAAUUUUUUUAUCACAAGCAGGAGAGAAACGGCAUUUCUUAGCAGUAGUUCAUCACUGUAGUAGCGAGCGAGUGAGGAACAAAAUUACCAACAAUUCUCAAAAAAUAAUUAUAAAAAAUGAUCACAUGCUAUAAUUAAUCAUGACACUUUGACAACAUUACUCCCACCGAGCAAAAGUUAACAGCAUCUUCUCCCACAUUUUUAAAAAAAAAAUUGUAUUAUAUAACCCACCAAAAGUAUAAAGAGUCUUUUCUUAUUAAAAUUAAUAAAUUACUCUUUAUAUUGAGAAAUUAAAAUUUAAAAUGAGAAUGAUGGGCGAUGUUCAUUUCUUAAAAUAAAAAUAAAAUUUAUGAAGUUUAUCUAUUUUUAGAAUUAAAGAAUAAGAACUUAAUUUCUUAUGGGGAGUGUUGGAAAUCAAGUUCUUAUUCCUUAAACUCUCAAUUUUACCUCACAAAAAUUUAUAAGUUCACUUUUAUCUUUAAUUAAAAUAUUAUUAUGUUAUUAUUAUGGUUAUUAUUCUUAUUUUUGUAGUAGUUGCUGUUGUUUUUGUUGAUGAUGAUGAUAAUAGUUGAUAAUAAAAUUAAUAAUAAUAAUGAAAAUAUAACUAUAAUUUUAACAGCUACAAUAAUAAUCAUUAAUAUUAUCGUUGUUGUUCUUAUUAUUAUUAUUAUUAUUAUUAUUACUACUACUACUAUCCUAUUAUAUUAUUAUUAUUAAAUAAUUAUUUUGAAUAAUAAUAAUCUCAAUUAUUAUAACAAACAACGACAAUAAUGAACUAAUGUCAUUUUCAUAACUUAUAACAAUUUAUUUUUUAUUUCAAGACAAAAUAAACAUAUUAAUAAUAAUACAGGUCAUUUCGAUUAUGAUUCUUACAGGUAAAAUAAAUAAUUUAUUAUGAUUUUCACAUCAUAAUCAUAAUUCUUAUAGUAUUAUCUUUAUUUUAAAAUACUUUUUUUAUUUAUAUUUAUUAUAAAUUAAUUAAAUUAUACCAAUGAAAAUUAAAUAAAAAUUUAAGUAAUAAAAAUGAGAAAAUAUAUGUUUCCGUUUGAAUAAAAAAUUAAUAAUAAAAUAUUUUUCUUAUUUUUUAAUAUUUUUAUUAUGAAGAAAAUAUAUUUUUCUUUUUUUAAUUAUUUUGAAAAAAUAUCCAGACUCAUUCUGCAAAGUACCCGAGGCCAAAGCGCCGAAAGAUAGGACACCCACAUGUGCUUUUAUUUACAAAAUCUAAAGUUAGGGUGGGUGUCCGAAACUUAAAUUUAAUAUAAUUUAUAAUUAGGUAAAAUUCUUUGAUUGACCCAUUAAAUUUUAUUAUUCUACUACUUAUUUUUAUAUUAAAAAAUUAGUAAUGUAGAAAAAUUCUUAAAAGUUAAUGGAGAAGGAAAAGAAAAAGAAAAAGUGUAAAUGAACUGUAUUCACCUAAGUUUCAAACACGUGGUUCAAUCUGAAUUCGCUUUUUUCAAAAGUAAAUACAAAAGAAAAUAUAAAGAAAAAAAAUUAAACGAGACAAAAAUCUGUGGCGUGGGUCAUUCAUAUCUUUUGUCAUUUCUUUUUUAGAGGUACAUGGGGUGGAUAUUUUGAAGUGACAAGCAGAGCUUUUACUGUUGCUUGCCUUAUCAUCUUUUAAAAUUAGAGUUACUAUUCUUUUAUUUUUAAGUAGCCAACGGAUGGUAGCCAACUCAUCCAUGUUCUCUAUUAUUGAAUUUAAAGAUCAAUGAUUUAUGUUAAUAAAUAUUUUGUUAACUAUCAAAGUUUUUAUUUCAAAAUUACUGUUAUAAUUCAUUAAUUUUUCAAUUUUUCCUUUUUCUAUUCACACAACAGAUUGAUUUGCCCUCCAAAAAAAUGUAUUAGAUUGUUUAAUAUUGUAACAUCAAGAAACUUAUAAUAAAUUUUUAAAGAGAUAACUAGAGAAUGUUAGCCUCGCAUCUACUCAAAAUUAAUAAAUAUACCACUAAUUCCUUAUUAUUUUUAUAAAACUAAUAACUUUCUUGGUAGUAUAAUUUUAUAGUAUUAUCCUUAUUUGUAAGUAUAUUUUUAUUCAUAUUUAUUAUAAAUUAAUUAAAUCAUAUCAAUAAAAAUUAAAAUAGAAUAAUAUGUUUUGGUGUGAAUAAAAGAUUGAAAAUAAAAAUAUUUUUCUUAUAUUUUUUGUUAUUUUUAAAUGUUUUUCAUAUAAUAAAUGUACAUUUUAUAUUCUUAAGAUGAAUUUUGAGUAAAUGACUCAUUUACUCAUUUUUUUUCUUUAAAUUUUUGUUACUAGGAGGAUUUUUAGAUAUAAUGAAAAUUGUAAGGUAGUAAGUAAUAUAUAAUAAUUUUAAUAGAGAAAAAUAAAAAAAUCUCUUAUUUUAAAAUAUAAGAAGAAAAAUAAUUAAUUUUAAGAAAUUUUAGAAGAUAUUUCAAUAUGCUGUGGAUCACACCCUCGAAUCUUUGUCGUCUCAGUCAACUAAAAGGACAGAAUAUUGAGCGUGAAGGCUCAACUGAUUGUUAAUUUCACAGCAAUUACCUUUUUUUUCUUCUUUUUUUCCUAAUUAUUUUGAAAUGGUAGGUAGCAAUUGCUUACAUCAAAAUAUUUAGACUCACUCGGCAAAGUAUCCGAGGCCAAAAUGCCAAAAGGUGGGACACCCACGUGUGCAUCUAAUUACAAAGUCUAAAGUUAAUGAAAAGAAAAAGAAAAAGUAUAAAUGAACGAUAUUCAUUCAAACAUCUAGUUCAAUAUGAAUUUCUUUUUACCAAAAGUAAAUUUGGGCGAGACUUUGCGAGGGGCCUCGGUGUGCCCGCGGGGAGUCGUCGGCUGAGCGCUGCCCAAAAAUAAGCGUCCGAAGGUCGUACGCUCGCGUGUGAGGCUGCCCUUGCUCGCGCGGCAACGUAGAGUAUGCUCACGCACGAGGCUGCCCACGCCCAGUCGCAAGUAGGGCAGCGCGCGCGACAAGUGGUUGCCCACUCUCGCGCACAAAACAAGCUUAUAAUAGAGCAGCUCCAGGCAUAUGAGGCAGUAGCCAUAAGACAUAAUUUUGAGAAUGGUGAGUGUGGAAACAGGGAGGAAUUUCAUAAGGUCAAAAAUGGGAUAUUGGCGGGCGAGGCUUUGCGAGGGGCCUCGGUGUGCCCGCGGGGAGUCGCGGGCACAGCCGCACCCCAAAAUAACGCCCCAAGGUCGGGGUGAUAAAAAGGCCUCAGUGCCCCGAGACGGGUGUGCUAUAGCCUUGGUGGGGGGCGCGGGCGAAGUUCGUCCGCCAGCGCGGCCGUGCCCGCAACUUCCGGCGGGCACACUGAGGCCCCUCGCAAAGCCUCCCCCUAUACCGAGUCCGGCGGACGAACUUCGCACGCGCCCCCCACCAAGGCUAUAGCCCACCCGUUUCGGACGAGACUUUGCGAGGGGCCUCGGUGCACCCGCGGGGAGUCGCGGGCACAGCCGCACCCAAAAAUAGUGCCCCAAGGUCAGGGUGCCGAAAAGGCCCCUAGGGGCCCCGAGACGGGUGGGCUAUACUGCCUCAAGGUCGGGUGCUAAAAAAGCCCCAGGGGCCCCGAAACGGGUGGGCUAUAGCCUUGGUGGGGGGCGCGGGCGAAGUUCGUCUGCCGGACUCGGAAUGAAGCGAGGCUAAACGAGAGCCCUCGGGUGCGCGGGCGAUGCUCGUAUGCCGGACUCAGAAUGGGGCGAGACUUUGCGAGGGGCCUCGGUGUGCCCGCGAGGAGUCACGGUGCCAAAAAGGCCCCAGGGGGCCCGAGUCGGGUGGGCUAUAGUCUUGGUGGGGGACGCAAGCGAAGUUCGUCUGCCGGACUUGGAAUGGGGCGAGGUUUUGCGAGGGACCUCGGCGAGCCCGCAGGGAGUCGGCGGCCGAGGACCAUCUUGAAGUCAUCCAUGAGGACGAUGGAGAAAUCAAGCUUUCCGCUCCACGUACUGAGUGUUAAGUGCACGCCUUGUGCAAUUCCUGCAAUUGACUUGGCGGGUGAGUUUACCGCUUUCAUCGUGCCUCUUUUCAUCUCGAUUCCCGAGGCCCGCUGGUCCCAUUGGACGAAACGGAACCACAAUCAGAUGCCUCGAUCAUGAGUUACGGCCAAAACCGGUAAAAACAACCCCGAUCUUACCCCCCGCUGGCGAUCAAAACCCGCUAACGCACUAGCGGAAAAAGGCCCCGAGACGGGUGGGCUUUAGCCUUGGUGGGGGGCAUGGGCGAAGUUCGUCCGCCGGACUCGGAAUGGGGCGAGGCUUUGCGAGGGGCCUCAGUGUGCCUGCGGGGAGUCGUGGGCACCCUGCCCUUCGGGGCCCAAAAAUAAGCGCCCGAAGGUUGGGGUAGCAAAGGCCCCAACGAAAAAAGGCCCCGAGACGGGUGGGCUAUAGCCUUGGUGGGGGGCGCCGCCGCACAAUUCAUCCUCCGCGGCCCUUUCCCCACUCCCCGGUGGGUCCGAGGUGUCCCGGAGAGUUACGAACUUGACGUGAUAAGUUGUAUAUUUCACGUGAAGUGUUACAUCCUUACUUCUUCAGCUUCCUUGUACGUUCACUUCUUAAGAAUCUGGCUAUGUUUUUUUAAUUUUAGGUAUUUUUAGUGUUGAAAUCUGGCUUGUAGUUGGGCUUAAUGAGUAGUGUAAAGAUUGUUGAUCAAUGAUUAAUGUGCUUGUUGCUGAUUUAUUUCUGUUUUUGUUUCAGAUUGGUGAGUGUCGCCUUGGUGGGGGGUGAGGGCGAAGUUCGUCCGCCGGACUCGGAAUGGGGCGAGGCUUUGCGAGGGACCUCGGGGAUGCAGCCCAGCCUCGCAUGCCAGCAGCACAUGCUCGCGGGCAAGGAUGGGCGCUCGCGCGGGGCAUACAGUAGGCAGUCGCGCGGUAAACUGCCCACGCUCUCGAGGCAAGCAGCUCCUAGUCGGGCAAGGCAGUGCGCGCUCGCCACCAAGGCAAGUAGCCCAAGCUCGCGCGAGGAAGUCAGGCCAGGCUUGUGCGCGCGCGUGGGGUGAGGCUUCGUAAGGGGCCUCAGUGUGCCCGCGGGGAGUCGUGGGCAUAGCCGCACCCAAAAAUAGUGCCCCUAAGGUGGUGGGGGGCACGGGCGAAGUUCAUUCGCCGGGCUCUGAAUGGGGCGAGGCUUUGCGAGAGGCCUCGUUGUGCCCACGGGGAGUCACGGGCACAGUCGCGCCCAAAAAUAGUGCCCCAAAGUCGGGGGGCCAUUGACUGGUGUACCACGAUCAUAUUUAACUGUUGUAUGCAUGAAUCCUUGUGACAUGACAUAUAGCCAAUUAAAUUCUGACAUGCGUGCAAUAAAGACUGUAAAGUGACCGGUUAUUCCGGUUGAAUUCACAAGAACUCUUGUUUGUGUGUUUAUGUUCCAAGUUGUGUACUCUUUGUUACGAGUUCUCUAAUUAGUCUGAUAUUAUCGCAACUGAUGCUCAAUAAUGUUACAGGUUUUAUAAUAUAUGUCACUGGUACGAUCGCUGUCACAAAUUUUGAACGAAAAGUUCCUAAUAAAACAAGUUAUUUAAUUAAUUAAAUAAGAAUAAAAUGAAUUUGUGAAAAAAAAUUUAAUUUAAUUUUGAAUUAUUUUAACCAAAAUUUAAGUUUUUUUUUUAAUUUGUUUAAGAAAAUGCGUUUUAAUUGGAAAAUCAAUGAAAAAAUUUAUGUAACAGAAAAAAAAAAAAAGCAAAACGUUUUGUUUUGGAUGGAGGCCAUAGAUUCCAAUAUUUCCUUCACGAAAACUACAAAAAAUUAUCAAAGGCAUCAAUUUCUACACUCUCACCGAGCAAUACUCUUAACCCAGAAGAAAGUGUAUAAACCAACCCCAAUCAGUCCAUCAAUGUCGUCAACCUCAUACAAUAUAAAAAAAAUCCGUGUCCAUUAAACCGUCUUUAUUGAGCCAUUAGACUAUUCGUGUCAUCUUCCCAUCUCGUUGUAGUAUUUUGCCGUUCAAAUCUAGUUAUCAAUUGGGGAAAAUGGGGACCAAUCUGCAAGUCUUUAAAAUAGAUAGGAACUUUAAUUGGGCACUAUGUUCACAGUGGUGGACCCAGCAGCAUUAAUAUUUAAGGUGGAGCUAUUUGUAUCUUAAAAAUGAUUUUAAAUAUUCUAAUUUCAAUAAGAAUAUAUAUUAUAAAAAUAUUUAUUAUAUAAGUUAUUGGACAAUAUAUUAUAAGUCAAUAUUAUAUAAUUACUUUGAACACUUAUAUAGCACAAUCCUAAUUUAAUUUAUUAUUCUCAUGACUUAAAUAUAAAAAUUUUUAUUUCCAACAUCUUAAUAAAUAUGUAGAUGAAUAAUAAGGAAAUUAACUUUGAGAAAAAAUUAAAUACAAAAUAUGUGUAAUACUUUUAAAAAUAAAAUAAAACAAAAGUAUUGCACAAGAUUUUUUUUGGGGGGAGGGGGGGGGGGGGGGCUUUGGCCAUUCUUCUUCUUCUUCUCCUUCUCUCUCUCUCUUUUUUUUUUUGGGUAGUAUUUAUGGAACAUUUUCUAUUGUUAUGUUCUCAUCACAAGUUAUUUUGGGUGUAAAAUUCAAUAUUGAAAAUAAAUUAAAUGAAAAAUUAGUAACGAAAAUUAUGUUAAAUUAUUUUUUUAUAACUUAAUUUUUAAUUAUAUUAUUGUGAGUAUAUGCUAAAUCUCUUAAAAAUAGAGUGUUGAAUAAUUUUAUUAGUUUUUUUUUAAAUAAAUAAAGUUAAGUAACUUAAAAAGUUUAAGUAAGGAUAUUUUUGAAUUUUAAUUAGUGUACAAAGUAAAGUUUAAUUUUUUUAUAAUUAAAUUAUAAACGUGAAAAAUAAUAGAAUGUUCAAAAUAAUAUUUAGAGUACUAAUAAUCCUACCUUAAUCUUUAUCAUCACAUUAUUUUUCAUAAAAAAUUUACAAUUACCUCUUUAUUGGAUAAUUUUGUUCCCUCUCUUACCUUAUGUUCCCUUACAUUCUCAUUUCUGCAUCACCAUUUAAAUUGUAAUCAUAACGUUAAUCUUUAUCCAUCACAUAUUUUGCCAAAUUUAUUCGCACCGCAAAGCUCUUUCCUUUUUUUUUUUUUCCUCCGUUAAGUUUGCUAUAAUGUACGUGAAGAAUAGUUAAAGAGCUCUUUCGUGUCCUUACCCUUUUUUUCGGGUUCACUUUUGCUGCUUUUUAACGUUUCUCCAGAAUUCACUUCAACAUGACUGGCGCAUUUUCUUCUUUCUCGUUGCAACAUCAACUGGGCCACCACCUCUUGCCUCUCCCGGUUCCCCUCAAUUUUCGUAUUCAAUGUCCACCGUUGAUUGUACAUUUAUUAAAACUCUGUGGUUAUUGUUUUUUUGCAUACAUUUAAUUCCACACGGUCUAUCAAUAGAGCAGGUGCAUCGUAGUUGUGGCCUUAACUGUUAUUGGUAACUCAAUAGCUAAUUCUAAUGUUUCAUCAAGCAGUUUAGAGAUAACCUCUCUCGCUGAACUCCUUGGAGUAACGCAAUCCAGUUUUCCAGUGCAAUCACCAGACAGUUGAACAGCUUCUGAAUUCCCUAUGCUUUUCUUGUUUUCUUUUCCAUGUAAAGGGAGCUCAGGCUUCAAUAUAUCUGGGGAUUGAUUACUAAUGAUAAAGACAACAUACGGUAGAGGACACAAAUUGUUAUUAAAGAAUGAUGCACUUUUCAACUGAGUAUAGUAAAGCAAGAAUGGGUAAUUAGUUUUACCUGCAACGUGAAAAUCUAGACUCCCGACGGUAACCGAUCUUUGGUCAAGCAAAUAAAGAAGAAGGCGAAGUAAAAUUCACUGAGUUGAAUGAGCGAUCAUUGCGUAUGGACUUGACUUGUUCAAUGGGUGAAAGACUGCUGAUAUAAUUAAAGACUGGAGAAUCCUGCACGUUGACAAGCAUCAUUUUUAAUCUAACAUAGAGUCUUAAAAACUUUGUCAGUGGCAAAUGAUCACGACAAGAAAUCUGAAGUAGAAACAGCAGAGCUCAACAAAUCACUAAGAGAAAAUAAGACCAAUAACCAAGCAGAUAAAAGAAAAGCAAAAUAACCCAUCUCAAAAUCACCGCAUGCACAAUUAGGGAUGGCAAUUUCCGGGUCCGGGUCCGGGUCCGGGUUUGGCUGUUCCGGAUCCGGACCCGGACACGAAAUUUUCAUAACCGGACCCGCAUUAAACCCGGGUUUUUUUAAUCCGGGUCCGGUCCGGGUUCAACCCGGAAAAAUCCGGGUUUCCGGAUUCCGGGUUUUGAACCCGGAUUGCUUAUUUUUUUUUUUUUAGAGACCAUAUAACUUAUUUUAACAAGGCACAGGGGAUGGGGUUUAAUGUUUUAAUCUUUUCCCCAACAACACACUACACAAUUCUUCCUAGAAUUGGUUCAAUAAAAUUUGAUGGAUAAAAGGCAAAAUAAAAGAACAUAUAACACAUCAGUGACAUCACUAGACUACUAGAACCAAAUUGUUUAACUUUGGUUCAUCAAAAUUUGCCGGACAUAGGGCAAAAAAACAGAACAUAUAAACACAUCCAGAACCACCAGCCCACUAGAACCAAAUUGUUUAACUUUGGUUCAUCAAAAUUUGCUGGACACAGGGCCAAAUAACAGAACAUAAUAACACAUCCAGCUUCUAAAACAAAUACAACACAAAUACACAAUAUAAAAUCUAAAAUUCAAAGUUUUAAAGUAAUAAACAUCCACAAAUACAAAUUCAUAACAUAAUUCUAUAAUUUAAAGCUGAAAUUUCCAGCCACUGCCCACUAGUGCUCAGAUUUCUAGCCACUGCCCACAGCCCACCAAUGCUCAAAUUUCCAGCCACCGCCCACUAGUGCUCAUAUUUCCAGCCACUGCCCACAGCCCACCAGUGCUCAAAUUUCCAGCCACUGCGGCACUGCCCACCAGUGCUCAAAUUUCCAGCCACUGCCCACCAGUACUAAAGACUAAACUCUGAAUCAUGCACUUCAUUGGACUGUUGUUCACUCAUCAAACUUUCAUCAAUCAAAUGCUCUGCAGAAAGUAUUGCUUCCUCUGGAAUUCCAUUUACAAAAAAUGUGUAAAUCAUAAACAUAAUGAACAAGACAACCAAUUAGUGACAAAUUGAUAAUAAGAACAAUACAACAAAUAAUUUGAUUCUAAUAAAUAAAAUUUUCAUACCUUUUAAGUUUUGUUCAAGCCAAAACCAAUUUUGAGUGCACACUAAUGCCUCUACUGUGGAUGGGUGAAGUCUACUACGAUGAGGGCUCAAAUGUCUACCUCCAGUGCUAAAAGCAGACUCUGAAGCAAUUGUUGAUACAGGAAUGGCCAAAAAGUCCCUUGCAAUCUUUGCAAGUAUAGGAUAUUUGCCUUGAUUAUUCUUCCACCAUGAUAAAAUGUCAAAUUGACUAGUUGAAGGCAAAGUACACUCCUCAAGAUAAAACUCUAAUUCUGAUUUGGAAUGAGUAUUUUGCGUGUUUUCAUUUCUAAAUAAUGCCCACUCAUCAGCCAUUUCAUCCAAAUCUAAAUCUAACAUAUUAGAGUCCUCUCCUCCAGCAGCUUGAGAAUUGGCACCAUUAACCCCCCCACUUGAAUUUGAUAGAUGAUUUACUUCAUACUCAUGUACUAAAUCAACAAAUAACUUACGCACUCUUUCAAUUUCAGAUUCAGCUCUUUCCCCAUAUAUUUUAGGAAAUAAAAAGUUAAUCAAUAACAUUUUACGCCUAGGAUCUAACAUAGUCCCCACUGCAAGAACUCCAUGAAUAACAUCCCAAUACUUUUCAUACUUUGCAAUCAUCCUAGUAGCCAUAUUUUUUAUCCCCUCAAUUGGUGAUUGCAACCAUGCAUUCAUUGACAAUCUAAUUUCACAAAUCUUGGCAAAAAAUAAAUUAGAUGUCGGAUAUUGUGUCCCCGAAAAAAGUUCUGUCAACUUAUAAAAGCUUUUUAAAUACUCACACAUAAGCUUUGACAAAUUCCACUCUGACUCACUAGGUAAAGAUGUAUAAUUUCUCUCACGUUCCUUUAAACGAUCAAAUACAUUUUUAUACAGCAAUGCAGUACUAAGCAUCAAGUAAGUAGAGUUCCAUCUAGUUUUACAAUCAAGUACUAAGUUUUUGGUUUCCUUAAUACCUAAUUGUUUUUUUGCAUUCUCAAAUUUUUCAACUCUAGCUGGUGUUGCUGUCCAAUAAUGAACACUAUCUCUAAUUUUCUCAACUCCCUUUUGUAUCACUGACAAACCAUCUCUAACUAUCAAGUUCAAUAUAUGAGCACAACAACGCAUGUGAAAGAAUUUGCCACCCAUAAUCAUUGAACUAGUAGAAAAUUUCCCCAACAACAAGGCAAUCAUAGAAUCAUUUGCAGCACAGUUAUCAGCAGUUACAGAGGACAAUUUUCUAUCUAUAUUCCAAUCCAUCAAACAAUCAUAUAACUCAUUACACAUUACCUCAGCACUAUGUGGAGCUGGCACAUAUAUAAACCUAAUAAUGUGAAAAAAUAAUUAAAAUAUUAGACAGGACAUUAAUUUAUGCUUAAACCAGAAAAAAAAGUUUCAAGAAUAUUACCUCAUAAUACGACUUCGCAACACCCAUGAACUAUCAAUGUAAUGUGCCGUAAUAACCAUGUAUCCUUUUUUUUGGUUACUAGCAGUCCACAUAUCAGUAGUAAUUGCGAUUCUACUCUCACAAGCUUCCAAAAUACCCAUUGUCUUUUUCUUUUCAACAUCAUAAAGCCUCAAAAUUUCAGCUUUGAUGGUGUUUCUACUAAUAGUCUCAAUAGAAGGUUGGAGUAGCUUCAACAAGUCAUAAAACCCAACAUACUCAACAAAUGCCAAUGGGAGCUCAUGUAAUACAAUCAUUCUAGCUAUAAAAAGCUUUACUGUAGCCAUAUCCCAUUUUGACUCAGAACUAAAAUUACUAAGUGAAGUGCUUCCAUCAACUUUAGAAGAAAAGGAUAGGUGCAUUUGCUGUACAUUCUUAAAUGACCUUCUAGGACAACGUUUAGCAUGGUUUAUUAAGUGAUUAGUACCCCUCGAAUAAUGUCCUUGCAUAACUAACCCACAGUAAUUGCAAAUUGCCUGAACUUCCUCACCCAACUUAACUUUUUUGAAAUGAUUCCAAGCAUCAGAGACUACUCUACCACCACUAUCUCGUUUUUGUGAAGUGACAGAAUUAGUAUUACCCCUACGGCCACGGCUACGGCCACGACUAUUCCCCUGAACUGCUGCUGUUGAAUUUGGUUCUAAUUCAACAGCUGUAUCGUUAUUAUUUUCUAAUUCUGUCCUAACUCUCACACAAACACUUUCAUCACUUUUUUCAGAGGCGUCCAAGUCGAUUCUUUGUUCAUUUUCCAUAUCAAAUUUUCACUCUACAAAAAUUAUGUCAAGAUAUAAUUAAUUCCAGCAACUUCUUCCAAUUUAUAUGCUAUGUUUAACCGUAAAAGCUAUAAAUAAUAUUUUAGAGAUACCAUUUCUAUUCUAUUAACAGCAACAAUAAAAAUAAUUCAAAAAAUAAACUAUAAAUAAUAAAAUUGAAGCAUAACAAAGUAUAGAUACUAAAAAUCACAGAGUUUAGCUAUUAAAGUCACAAAGUAUAGAUAUUAAAAUUACAAAGAGAGCAAAACAGAACACAGAACACAGAGCACAGAACACAGAACAUAUUUGAUUUGAAAACUCAAUGUUAAUGGGUCUUUUAAGCAAAGGUAUGUUAUCAAGUUUUUAUGCAACCUUAGAGAUAGCUAGUAUAUUUAAUCUAUCUCUACAGAAUUCUGAUACAGAUUAGUAUGAUUUACUGUGUUAACCGAUAUUAGACUUCUUUUGCAGACUCAAAAAAGUGCCUGCGACAAAUUUGCAGAUAUCCUAAACAAUUCUUACUGCAUUGGCAGAUUAUUCUAAAUUUCUAAUCGAGGAAAAGGAUCAGGAGUGUACAAUACUAACUGGAAAGAGUCAUUACUCUUCAAGCAACUCAGUAUACACAAGUAGUAAAAGCACAGGACAAGGUCGAACCCAAUUUCAGUGAGAGAAAGCAGAAGCAAGCCAAACAGAGUAUUAAUGCUAGUCAGGCUCAGAACUACCAUUCAUGCAGCUAGCCAUAGGCAGCAGCCCUUUGGCUAAUUAUACUUCAAAUUCAAUUCUAAGCUUACUCACUAACCAACUCUUAAUGCACAAAACCAACAAUACGCGGCAGAAGAAAAAUGGCAACUGUUCUGUUUUAGACAACAAUUUCUCCUUGUGCCAGAAAAACAAAGAACAAAAAGAGGCAAAUAAUUCAGAAAAACAAAAAGCUUAUAAUUAGUCAAGUGCUCUCAUAUGUCAUAUACAAAGAAAACAAUGUAUGAGGAAAAAUCAAAUUGUGCCAGCAGCAAUACAAGCUCAAAGCAUAACAGCACAAAAAUUGCAAAGAGGGAAAAUCAAAGUGUAAUAGAGCAUAAAUUGUAAAGAGAAAAGCCGAGACUCACAAAUAUUCACAGCGGCAACUGAAGUAUAUGCUGAUGAACACAGAACACAGCAGCGAGACUGAGGUGGAUUUCAACCCCUUUUGCUGGCCGCGACAGAGUGAGAGAUCAGACGAGUGAUGAAACGAACAAAGCCUCGCCGUGAAGGUGAUGACAAGCCACGACGCGAAGGAUCUGAUCUGAUCUGAAGAAGAGAUUACAGGAGAGUUGCAGAGAGAGUGAGAGAGAUUAAGUGACGAUGGAGGACUGAGAUGAGCAAUGAGUCACGGCUCACGGGUGAGAGAGAUUGAGAGAGGAACGGAUUACGGUUUACGGAUGAGACUUGAGAGAUUGAAAGGAGAAAUUACAGAUUUACAGUAAUUUUUUUUAGGUUGAAGGAGAAAUUUCGAGAGAGGAUUAGAGGAACGAGACGAGAGAGAUCUAGAUUCUAGGGUUCACUUUUGUUUUCGUUUUUUUUUUUUCUAUUUAUAAUUACGGAUUUACGGAUCAAAAUUAAUAUUAAAAUAAAUAAUAUCCGGGUCCGGGUUCCGGAUUUGCGGGUUCACCUGAAACCGGAUCCGGACCGGAAAAAUGCGGGUUGUCAAAAACUGAUCCGGAUUCCGGAUAAAAACUAUGCCGGUGCGGGUUGAACCCGGACCGGAUUUUCCGGGUUCAAUCCGGGUCCGAUCCGGGUCCGGGUUUGAUUGCCACCCCUAUGCACAAUUUAAGGGGUUUGUGACAUGGGUUUAAACAUGAUUUAACAAGUGCCACCUGUGAAUUGUCAGAGAUUGUAUUUUCAUACACAUGUCAAAUUUUCAAGUCCAACAAAUUGUUAUCUUUCUAAAGAGGCUAAUAUUAUUAUUAUCUAUGCAUAGCAUGCUAGAAACAAUUCAUAUUACUAGGGCCUUUGUUUUCUGUAAACAACAUAUGGACAGAGGAACAAAUCCCUGAGCUAAAAUCAUCAUAUUCCAAAAUAUUCUAUUAAAUCAACACCACAAAACGCGAACGCUAAACAGAAUUGGAGCAAUUUACCAAAGCUAUUUGUCACGCAAAGCACUAGUACCUCAGAACCCAAUUUGCAAAACAGCACCAAAAAUGAAAAAUAACAAAUGCCCAGAUGAAAUAUCAGGAAAAAAAAGGCUCAAAUCCAAAUUACAACCCCAUAAGCUGAAUCGUUCUCUUCGAACUGAAUUAAAAAAAAUUAAAAAAAUUAAAUAGGGAGAUUGACCUCAAACUUUGGAAACAGGAGCGACAGCGAUCUGUUUCUUGUCUGGAGUGUCCAUUUCUAUAAUCUACAUUGUCCAUUUUCAGUCGCUCUGCCACAGAGCUUCUUCCCUCUGAAGCUGAAGCUCACACACACUUGCAAAACGAAAGCAUUUUUAGUGAUUGAGAGGCGGGAAGGCGGGAAAAUGAGAGAAAUUUACAUUUGUUUUCUCUUGGUUUGGUCAUACCUGUGCGGGCCCCAGCUUGACAAGCGGUAUUAUUACUAUUUGUAUAAUUUAAAUGACGCGUGUCAGGCAAUGACGAUAAAAAAUAUAUACAUAUAUUGUUAAUUUUUCACUUAACAUUAAAAUAUCAUAUAAUUUUUCCAAUUUUAUGGUUAUUUUCUCGCCCUUAUGCCACAUUCUUUUGAUCAAAUAAUACAGUAAAACUUUUCUAUAAUCAUAAUAUUAGAGCCAAAUUAAAUUUGUUUCUGUAAAGAGGCUAUAGCUUAAUAAAGGUAAAAUUAUAAAAAUUAUUAUUUUGACUCAGUUAUCUUUAGUGCAAGUGAUAUAAAGUACAGAUAUAUGAUAAUUAAUUAAUGAACUAUGUCAAAUACAAUAUGCUGACAAUGAUAAAAAAGAUAGACAUAAUUUCAAGAAACUAAUACAUAUAUUUAUGUAGUGCUGGGAUUAUACAAAAUUAUCUUAAAAGUGUAAAGAUUAAAGUACUAUUAUGAUUAAUUUAAAAAAAUUAUUUUAUCUUAAUCUUUAAUGCAACAUAGUUUUUUUUUUUCUUAGCAACAAAGCAUUGUUCCAAAUAAUUAUUAUUGGAUUCAAAUCAUGUCCUAGGCAUUUUUUCUUCUGGUCGUCUUAAACUUUUAAUGAUUUAUUGGCAUGUGUCAUUAAUGAAAUUAAAUAACUAAGACUUUGUUUUAAUUAACGUUUACAUAAAUAGACAUCAAAACUCACGUGUGAUUCUUAUCAAUUUUUUUCCUGCAAUUUUUUUCCUCUCAACUAUUCAUAUUUUGACAUUAAUUUCCAGCAAAUUAUUAAAAAAGAAGAAGCGUAAAAUGGAGAAAAGUGAUUGACAACAAGGUUUGCAUCUUAAUUUCAAAAUUUUCCUUUCUUUGCUAUUUUUGUGGGUUCUACAAUUGUUGUUUUCACUCUCAGCUGCAGUUCAAUGAACUCUAUUAAUAACCAUGAAGCUUAAUGUAUCAAUUCCAGUACGACAAGUCCUUCUACGCAUGUUACAACACUUUUUUGUCAUUAUAGGUUGCAAAUGUUCCGUAAUGUACUCAUUCAUAUAACGGAAACGCUAUUAUCAAUAAUGAAAGUUGACUAAGUUUGUAAAUUCUAUUUAACGAAAAAGUAUCAUAAAUUUAGUUGAACAAGAGGUAAUUAAUAUGUAAUCUAUGAAACUAGGGUGUGACUAAGUUACAUAGUAAUGUAACUUACAUGAACACAAAAAUAAUUAGUUUUUAAACUACAAGUAGCUUUGAAACAGCUCUUAAAUUGAUAUAAGUUCUAUUAUUAUGUAACUUAGCAAGGUCAGAUAUUUUAAUAAUAGCUUACUCUACCGUGCCAAUGUCAUUAGUAUUAAUCUGUUGAACCUAAGACCAGAUCUAAGCUGAUCUAGAUUCCCCAAGAUCGCACACCACACAGUGAUUAAUGAAUCAAGAACAAUAAACCAUCAAAGAAUCGCAAACUUACAUGUCGGGUUACAUGUAAUAAAUGUUUUAAUUAUUAGAUGAUUCAUAAUGUUAGACCAUUUUUUGUAUGUUUUGUAAUCUACGUUUGAUAAUUUAAUUAGCUGAUAAACACUUGAAUAAUAUUAUUUUAUUAACUAUGUCAUUGAUCCCCAGGAAAAAAAAAAAAACCAAUUUGGGAUGUUAUACAUUGCUUUUUCAUUAAUUCCCAUUUUAUAUUAAUAUUUAUCACAUAUAUUCUUAGUAACUUGUAACCCUUUUUGCUAAGGGUGAAAUGUGUUUGUUACCCCUUCUAUUUCUGAGAUUGUCCUUACAAUAAGGAUGCCGGCCCCAAUGUCAAAAACUGCUAUCUCUGGGUGUAAAUUCCUUAUAAAAUUCUUUUUUAAUUGAAAUUACUUAAAUAAUUGAAGAUAAAUUAAUUUUUUAUUUCAUUCAAAUAAAAAAAAUCAAUUAAACACUUAAAUAAGCUAUCCUUUUAAUUUUUUUUUUACACCCCUCCAGUUUCAUAAUUUAUAUUUAUAAUUUAAAUUUUAAUGGAAAAUAUUUUUUUGAAAAAUUUUAAGAAUUAAGAAUUAUGGGGAUAAAAAUUAUGUAAUAAGAACAAAAUAAUUUAAAAUUUUAAAAUUUGCAUGCAUUAUAAACAAAAACUUGAAAGAAAUACUCUUUUCAGGGUGAAAUUUAAUGAGAAAAAGAUUAAUUUUAAUUUAUGAAUUAGUAUUUUAUAAGUUAAACUGAGGUAUUUCAAGAAAUAGAAUUCAAAAGGCAUGGGAACGAGGGCCUUGGGUUUCAUUUUGUUUUGUAGGAAUUGGGAAAAAUACACGGACAGACAAAGGGAGCAGUCAUUAUAAUGCUGUGAAGCUGGUCGGAGAUACCCUGCCCAUUUGUAGCUUAGACUCCUGGGGUUUUGUUCAUGUCUUUUAUGUAUCCCACUUUUUCAUGCAGCAGAUGUACAUAUGAUGAGAUGAAAACAACAGCAAAAAUUGCUGUCUCAUAAGAGAAAUAGUCAUACAUAGUUGGUUAGGCCUCCUGUCCAUUAACUUAAUAAUGAAUUUUAUGAAAAUUGAUUAUCUCAUUGGAAUUACAUAGAUAUUGGAAAACAUUACUCCAGCCCCACCAUCCCAACCAUUUACUUAGUUCAUCAGUAAAAGCUGGAUUUUCCAUUUGUUCUUGAGAUUCAAAUUAAGGCAACAAGUUGCUCAUUCUAUAUUAUCUAUGUAAUCCUGUAAAAGUGAAGGGCGUUUAGAUGUGGAAAAACCUUACUCCUGCCGCAACACCUCAAACAGAUUGUGAUCAGACAAGACUUAGUUCAUCAUUAGCGGUAGUUGGAGCUUCCAUUUGUUCUAGAGAUUCAAAGGCAGCAAGCUGCUUCCUCAGUGCUACUAAUUCUUCCCCGGCAUUGCAUAUGUAGCCUGAGGCUCGUCUGCCAGACAAAGUUGCUCCUUCCAUACUAUCU